GUGCCGGUGGAUGUUCGACUGGGGGUGACUUUGUACAAGCUUUUCAAGAACACAGAUUACCUGGAUCUGGCACCAAGCCCCAAACCACCCAGCAGUCUUGGCGCACAGGGAUGACAUCAGCCCUAACCUCUUGCUCCACUGAGCUGCUAGCAGCUUCUCCCCUCCUUAAAAAAAAAGGUCUGUUGUUCUCUUGGAGUUCAAGAGGCAUCUUCUUCACCGUCUCCUCUGUUUUUGCUAGCUAGUUAGCUCUUACAAGAAGGAGCACAAGCCAAGUUCAGCUUCAUGCUCAGCUCUAUCAUCUCCUCUUUAAGACACCUCACCUCUUUGAACAUUCAGGAGAGCUAGCACGCUUCACGUCUAGACGUCCCCCCCCCCCCUUUUUUUUUCACAAUUGUCUCUUCAAACUCAUCAUACUUAUUUAACUCACCAAACCUUACCAAGCCGAGUGCAGGUUUUGAAACCCCAUGAGUCACCUUGGCUUCCAGUUGAGCUCUCCAACAAUCUUGACGUGCGGAUGCGUGCAAACUGCUCCUUGAGCCAGGACCAUUUCUCCAGGAGAUAACUUAUGCUACAACACUCUCCGCUCGACGAUCUCAAUGUGGAAAGAUCCACAAAGCUGUCCCACUCAUCAUAGUUGUAGAAGAAAUCAUCCUCAUACUGCAUCUGCAACCUUGCUCGAGCCCAAGCCUCCGCCAUCACAAGCUUCUCCCUCAUCUUGAUCAGCUCACACUUGAGGCGGCAAAACAAGUCCAGGUCCUGAGGAACAACAAUGGAAUACACCUUUCCCGGGUACCUGUCUCGAAACCUGUGAAAGUACAGUGGACGAUGUGGUGUUUCAGAUCACAGCGGAAUGAUAACUUGAUGAAAGCAACAAAACCAUCGAGCUCGCUCUUUGGGGAUCAAUUAUCAUCUCCUCCUUUGAAGCAAUGAGCAGCAGGCCUUGAUCGCAUCCAGAAGUACUAGAGAUAGUCUGCAAAAGCAAGUUUGACACCAGUUAUUUUGGCAACACAGAAGAAAAAGAAGAAAAUUUAUAGAGAUCCAUACAAUCCAAAUCAAGAUCAAUCCUCCACGAAUUUAAUGCCGCUUUCAGCACCUCCAAGCUCUUCCGAAAAACGUAGCCACGGUAUGCCACAAUCGUUCACUUGAAAAUCUGAAGAUGUCAAUCGAAGCAUGCAAGCAAAAACAUGAAGUAAAGAAGCGCAGGUGGACAACAAAGGAGAUGAACUGAGCAAGGCCAAGAACACAUAUAAGGACUGACUGUAAGCACUUGAGGCCUCGCGCAGUUUUUUCCUCCGUGCGUGGCUUCAUAUGCAAAAGAGUUUGGUGUGGUAAGGUAUGUUGCAGAGCAGCCAGAAGCCCAGGGUGAAUAUAAGUACGUGAGGCCUUGUGAGGUUUUACCACUGCCCGAGGACUCCUGUGCAUGGACCCCGGGCGAGACUCAUUUGCGAAAGUGUUCUGCAUAAAACUGGUGCCCUGAGGCUUUUGGCCGUGUCGCCCCAUGAAGAGCAUUUUUUAUUUAAUUUGUGUAGAGUGUGGUUUAUUUUUGCAUAUUGAGUGUAUCGAUAUCUUUUAGUUAGCAGAUUAUAUUGAAGAACUGAAGACUACCUACAGUUAAGUGCAUGCAGCAACAGAUCAUAUAAAAAAUGAAUGCAGAGAAUAACAAAUCGGGAUUUCUAGGAAGUUCGUGCGUGUUGUUAGCAUGUACUGAUUCUUUAGCUCUUGAGCAACUGAUUGCUGCUGGCUCACAUUCUAUAUAUAUCAAAGAGAUUUUUUUUAAACAAUAAACAUCUAAGCUGCUGCAGUUAAGCUGUGACAUUGUAAAGUUUAAAAAGGAAAAGAAGAAAAAACAGAAAACACGAAAUCGGGAUUUCUAGGGUAUGCGUGCGGCGCUAGGGUUUGUGUGGUGUGUGUCAUUUCUCAACAAUCUCAUGGAGUGGAAAACGUUUUUCAGGGAUCCCACUUUCUGGUGGGACAACAGGUUCAAGAAGAAAAACAAGUUCUUCUCAGAGUCCUACCUGGAUUUCAAACAUGUUUCUACCAGAGAGAGCCUGUGGAUCGCCAACAGGAAAACACCAACCUGGGUCUCUGCAAAACUCGAGUCGCUCGCUGACCCAGCUGUAGGUAAGGCCACCACGGCCCGCUACAAAUCUCCACAUACCCCACCUGUAGCUGGUGAUGAACGGGUGAGUUUAGGGAGGCUGAUACACCGCGUGAGAGACUCAGCUGAGAGCAGAUCCCUUUCUUUGGGAAAACAAGCCCAUGAAGCUGUGCUCAAGAGUGAUAAGCACAAAAGCAACAUCUACUUGUUGACGGGAUUGAUCGAUAUGUACUGCAAGUGUGGCGAGCUUGAGGAGGCUCGCAAGAUUUUCGACUCCAUGGGAACCCGGAGUGUUGUGUCCUACAACGCGAUCAUCCAGGGCUGCGGCUCGAAUGGGCAAGCUGAACUUGCUCUGGAGUACUACUCUGCCCUGAGAGCUUGUACCACCAUUCAACCCAACGAUCGGACACAUGUCGCGGUGAUCAGCGCCUGCUCCAGACUUACUACCGAAUCCAGCGAGAAGAGGGAGAGAGCUCUACGCAUUGGGAUGGAGAUCCAUUCAAUUCUCAGCAAGGAGAAGAAACAGGUAGAUCUGUUCGUGGCGACUUGCCUGGUCGACAUGUACUGCAAGUGUGGCGAGCUUGAGGAGGCUCGCAAGAUUUUCCACUCCAUGGGAACUCGGAGUGUUGUGUCCUACAAUGCGAUCAUCCAGGGCUGCAACACGAACGGGCGAGCUGAACUUGCUCUGGAGUACUACUCUGCCCUGAGAGCUUGUACCACCAUUCAACCCAACGAUCGGACUCACGUCGCGGUGAUGAGUGCCUGCUCCAGACUUGCUACCGAAUCCAGCGAGAAGAGGGAGAGAGCUCUACGCAUCGGGAUGGAGAUCCAUUCAAUGCUGAGCAAGGAGAAGAAACAGCUAGAUCUGUUCGUGGCGACUUGCCUGGUAGACAUGUACUGCAAGUGUGGCGAGCUUGAGGAGGCUCGCAAGAUUUUCCACUCCAUGGGAACUCGGACUGUUGUGUCCUACAACGCGAUCAUCCAGGGCUGCGGCUCGAACGGGCAAGCUGAACUUGCUCUGGAGUACUACUCUGCCCUGAGAGCUGAUAACACCAUUCAACCCGACGAUUGGACUCAUGUCGUGGUGAUCAGCGCCUGCUCCACACUUGCUACCGAAUCCAGCGAGAAGAGGGAGAGAGCUCUACGCAUUGGGAUGGAGAUCCAUUCAAUGCUGAGCAAGGAGAAGAAACAGCUAGAUCUGUUCGUGGCGACUUGCCUGGUAGACAUGUACUGCAAGUGUGGCGAGCUUGAGGAGGCUCGCAAGAUUUUCCACUCCAUGGGAACUCGGAGUGUUGUGUCCUACACCGCGAUCAUCCAGGGCUGCAACACGAACGGGCGAGCUGAACUUGCUCUGGAGUACUACUCUGCCCUGAGAGCUGAUAACACCAUUCAAGCUAAUGCUUGCACCUACACCUGCGUCCUUGUUGCUUGCGGGAGUGUGAUGGCGACUAAGCUCGGGAGGGAGAUUCACCAGCUGGUGAAGCAUAAAGGGCUGCUGAAAAACAAUCCAGUUCUGGGCUCCAGCCUGGUGAGCUUCUACGGCAAAUGCGGCGAUGUUGAUUCUGCUCAGGAAGUGUUUGACGAGUGCCGAGCUCGGGACAACACGGGUCUCUGGAAUUCUCUUAUACAGGCUUACACUCUCCAGGGCCGAUCGAUCGAGGCCUUGGAGCGUUUCUAUUCCAUGACUCAGGAGGAGGGCUGUAAAGCUGACGAUGUGAGUUUUGUCUUGGUGUUGAACGCUUGCAGCCAUGGUGGUCUGAUCGGGAAAGGAAGGCAGCUUCUGGAUGAAAUGCCCAAGCAGUAUGGAGUCAAGCCACGUCUGGAGCAUUAUGUGUGCCUGAUCGAUAUGCUCGGGCGAGCUAACCUCCUUGACGAAGCUGUGAGAGUUCUCAGAGCCAUGCCUUUUGAACCGGAUGCAGUGGUUUGGACGUCCCUGCUCGGAGCCUGCCGGAAGUGGAAGAAUUACACGGUUGGCAAACUCGCGUUUGAGCGUCUUGUGGAGAUGGAUCCCAAGAGCGGCACGCCCUACGCAUUGAUGGCCAAUAUAUUUGGAAACCUGGGGAUGCUCAGUGAAAGGGCCGCUGUUGUGGAGAGAAUGAGAGGUGAAGGCAGCUUCAGGGAGCCCGGGAGAAGCUGGUGGACGGAUGUUAGCUCAGGAAAAGUGCAUUCUUUUUCUGUCGGGGAUAGGAGUCACUCACAGAGCGACGAGAUUGCGGCCAAGCUCAAGCAAUUGUUGCUGAGAAUGAAAGAGGAGGGGUACGCGAGCGAUGUGAUCAACGUUCUAAAAGACAUACCAGAGGAAGAGAAAGAGGAUCACCUGUGCGGCCACAGUGAGAAGCUUGCGCUGGGGUGUGCUCUGGUGAACUCGCACCAGAAGGAAACCAUCAAAAUUGUGAAAAAUCUCCGAGUUUGUGACGAUUGCCAUGCGGCCACUGCUCUCAUCUCUAAGCUGGAAAAAAGGCUAAUCAUCUGCAAAGAUGCCAGUCGGGUUCAUGUGUUCCAGGAUGGCAGAUGUUCCUGUGACAACUACUUUUGAAAACAUGUCAGUGCUCUUUCUUGCAGUUAUCCCUGGUUUUAAACCCUCUGUGAGUCAAGCAGAAACAUGGGCCGCUGAGUGAGCAUGCCUCGUCAAAGUACCGCCGUCAACUUGAACUUCACGGAGAAAAAAUUAACAUUUAAAAGUUAAAACUAUGCAAAAGGAGGAUGACACGUUGUCUUAAAUUUAAAUUUCUUUUUGGUAGCAGAAUCGGGGAAUGCUGACUAAACCUGCCAACAGGUGCGCCCAGAUUCAGAUAAUAAGCCUUAGUAUGAAGACUUGCCGGUACCAAACUCUUUGCUGAUAGCAAGUACCGCCUCAUGUUCCGGGAGCAAGGAGAUGGCAGCUUGUGGCAUGACUAACUUUGGGUUUGUGCUCCUAGAGCACGUUGAAGACGUGUGGAAGCUGGUGAUGACAGCAUUUGUUUCUUGCGACGUCACCAGUUCCUCAGCGAUGUCUUCCUUCCAGAUUUUUUGAGCUUGUCGUGAGUGGUGACCUGCUUGCUCUCUCAUGUGACGACUUCUUCCAGCCUCUGGUGCCCAACCUCAGGACUCUCUUGUGGAUGGAGCUAGCCCUACACAGUGUCUGUGUGUGUGUUUAUCAACCAGCAGAUGCACAAAUCGUUGAGAAUCAUAGGCUUAGUAUGUAAUGUACUAGUGUACAUGUACAUGUGUUUCACAGCAGUGGACAAGCUAUGAUACAAUGAAAAAGGUAAAGUCAGGUAUUUGUUUAACGUCUGCUUGGAGCAAAUAUGGCCUCAUGACAACCUAUUACAACCCAGGAUGAAAACUCCACAUCAAAGCUUAAGGCAGCAUCGCUAUUGCCUUCAUCUUGCUUUACAAACUGAAGUUAUCGAGGUUCGUGAUUGGAUAAUGCUUGAUGGUGCUGAGACUCAAAUCAUCUUUGUUAUGGAAACAACCCCAUCACCUCAAGGUAUUGUUUUCUAUCCCCAUAACAGUGGUGCACUGUUUCCAUGUAUAGUUCCCGAGGAGGUCCCAGUUCCCAGGAUGGCCUUCGGUAAAAGGUUCAGGACGAUACAUCAGAGAGGGAAAUACACUGAACUGGAUCCUAAGGUUCAACUGGGAGAAUGCUCUGCAAUACACUAGUUUGGGGAGUACCUAUAUCUGAUCUUAUAUAGGAUCCGGCUCAGUUAUCCUGGGAAGGUAAUGAGUUCAGUGUGUCUUUUUUAUGUACAGGUCUAAGCAUGGCAGAGAGCUUUUGAUGGAUAAAAUUGACACCAAGCUUAUGUGAAAGUUGAAGAAUCGGAAGUGAACAUGUGGAAGACACUGGUGGAAGCUAACGUAAGCUGGCUUCUUGUGCAGGACAGCAUCCCUGUUGGUGAUUGGCUCACAGUUCACAAAACUCUCUGUAUUCUAUGCAAUGAAAACCCCGUGGAGAUGCUUGAACACCUCUUCACAUGCAAAUUUGCAGUUGGUAUUUGGCUCUUUGAUCAGAGACCUAGAUCCAGAAUCAGCUGGUUCAUCACGAAAUACGGUGACAUUUUUCCCUACUGUGAUGAACAGUAGCUGAGGAGAGAGAAGCUAGCAAAGCAUCCCGCUAACAAAACCACUAGCUGUCUCACGUGACACAACACCUCCAGCCAUCAACGGGGUCAGAAAAGAAAGAAAGGAUAGGAGCAAGUGACUAUUUCUCCUCUUCCUCUGGAAUGCAUCCAAGUCAUACUCAAAAUUAGGAAACAACAUCAUCCUCAGCUUCCCAUGUAGCAUCAUAUGGAGAAUAACCAUUCCACUGAACAAGUAACUCUCUCCAAGUCUUACGAUGUAUGCGCACUAGCCGUUGCUAUAACACACAACUAGGGCCAACCUUCAAACAUCUAUCUCUGGAAUCUUGAUUGCAGACUGGUCCAAGAUAUUACCAGAAUGCAAACACGCCUUCAACUUCCUACAUAGAAGACGGGAUGAAUCUUCACACCACUAGGCAAGUCUAGUUGAUAGGCAAGGUCUCCAACUCGUUUGAGAAUAAUCCAAGGCCCACAGUACUGUGGUGACAACUUAGAACUACCUCCACCUUGAAGAGCUCAUUGAGCUUCAGACAACCGAAGGAAAACCUUGUCUCCAACCUGAAACUGCUUGUGCUGACGAUGCUCCUUUGCCUGGUGCACCUCAAGAGAAGCGAAGUUCAUACCAAUAGGGGACCGAGGUUGAAAGCUAUACAUUGCCAUAAACAGAGCCAUCUCAAUAGCCAAAUGGAAGGCACAGUUAUGGGCAAACUCUAACAAAGGCAGGUACUUCUCCCAAAUACCUUACCUCUUCAGAUACCAACAAAUGAUCUCAGCAUGUCUUCCAGCACCUAAUUAACUCCUUUUGUUUGUCCAUCUGACUGUGGAUGCUCAUGCUCAACUUUGUCUCAAGCUUCUGAAACACCGUCUGCCAAAACACCAAAGUGAACGUGCAAUCCCGAUCACUUACAACAUCCUUAGGCAGCCCAUAGAGAAAUACAGCUGAGCAAGGUCAAAAGCCUUAGCAUUCAUCUUCACAAGGAAGAAGUGAGCUAACAUCAUCACACAAUCCACAACAACCCAGAUAGCAUCAUUGCCUUGAAACGCCUACUAUGAAACUCAUAGAAAAUGUUAUCCCACUUCUGUUGAGGUUAACUAUGGUAGAGACCUUCAUGCUUCUCACAAUCCAUUGUGACCACCUGGCCGGUCUAACAACUGUGCACAUACUUAUCAACACCUAACUUCAUUCGAGACCAAAAUAAAUGCAUCUCUACCAGAACACACGCCCUCAAUGUCCUGCACUUGGUGCAAUGGACACUCUUACAGAAUCCACUGUAAAAGAACAUCAUCUCUAGGAACCAUAGCCCGAUUCCUCUUGACUAGGAAACCAUCUCAUACAUUGAAGGAAGCACAGUCGCAUUGGAAGAGGCAUCCCCCUUCAAAACAACUGCACGUGCCUUCACUACAAAGGAGUUGAAGUCAGCAAGCUCAUUAAUUUCAUCCAGCAAACCACUGGAGAGCUUCCCAAACAAGAUAGAGUUCACCAUCCUAAACAAUGGAGAAAUAACCACCUUUACUGUCUACUAUCUACAAAUUUUCUUUAAGACAAUUUCCCUAUUUCUGAAAGGUCUUGGAAACCUAGCAACUUUGCUUUAGUAAUCUGAGGUCAAAAUUACCCUUUGACUUUUACUCGGGAGAAAUCGGUUUUCAUCACCUUAAACCCCAGAGCUAAACUCCUUUGGUGGUUUGGAAUCUGCACGUCCAUUUCCUGCAAAAACUCUAGUCAAUGAGCUAGCCGGCCUCGAAACUCCAUCUGGCAAGUGAAAAGAGUGACAAGUGGUAAAGUUAUUGACAUGAAAAAUCCAAACCAUACAGAUAAUGCCUCCACUCUUUGACCGCAACAACUACAACAUAUAACUUCCUAUCCCGAGUUGCUAAGUUGCGUCAAACUUGUGGCUUAUGUAGGCAAUAGGACAGCAGUCUUGCACCAAGACAGCUCCUAUACCCUCAUCACUAGCCUUGUUAAUGAAAGUAUGCGUAGCAUCAGAGCCAAAGAGGACACUGAGCACUUGGCUAUGCACAACUCAUUGCACAAACAACUGUACAGCUCAGAUGAGUUGAUACAAUUCUUCUUCACUCCUUCAGAAAGCUUAGUGACAGCAGUGUCAGCUAGAACACGAGUAGAUACAAUCUCUCCUUGGUCCACACUGACACCCAUGGCCUCACUAGGAUCAGAAAGAGAAAAGGACUCAUGAGCCAUACCCUCUGAACGUAUAGACUCCAUAGCGUGAACCUUAGCCUUCUACCACAAGUGGCUUAUCACAAGCAAAUAUUUGUAGAAUAUACAUGAUUGCUUUAACCGCUCAAACGCUUCUUGACACUUUCACCCCACACCAACUUAGCAUGCUUGGUGGUGUUUCGAAGAAUAUCCAUCAAAGGAGCAGCAAUCAAGGAGAAGUCCUUCACAAACCGGCAAAAGACUCCCAGCAUACCAACCCAUGCACAGGAGGGGGAACAAGCUAGUCAACAACUAUCUGAGUCUUUUGAGGAUCAUCUUGUGGCACCACAUGUCUGAGAUAGGUGAUCUCUUCCAAGAAGAAUUCACGCUUUGACAGUUUAGAAUACAGCUUAUUCUCCUUCAAUAGUGGCAACAUUUGCCUCACAUGCAUCUCAUGUUCCUCCUUAGUCGUAGGACAUCGUCAAAGUAGUGCCUUGCACAUGAGAUUGCAAAACUCUAUCAAAAGAACUGUUUAAUAAUAGUUAGCCUUGGCCAUCAUAUGAAGCAACAUCUUUGCUGAGUUAGAAAAGACUCCUUGAGCAUUCCAAAGCUUCAAAACGAGAUAGUCAAAGGAUCUCAACUAGCAAUAAGUUCUAGCAUGGCUAGUCUUUUUUUGAUCAAUUCUUCUUAGUUGAUUUUGUAUUGUAUUGCCAUUCGUAGUGAUGAAACGAUGUACUUGAGUGGUGUCAAAGCUUCAAGGCUGUAGGUGAGCUUAAAUGGUGUCGAAUUUGUUGAAACCUUAUAUGCAAUUCAAUAUGCCUAUAGAGUGAUCGUCCCUGUCUUUCUGAUUUAUUUUCAUGAUUUUCAUGAGGAUGUUUUUGAGUGUCUUGUUUGUAGACUCUGCUUGACCAUUGCCUUGAGGGUAGUAUGGUGUUGAAACCUUGUGCUUGAUAGUGAAUUCUUGAGUUAAAAUCUUGAUGGUUUCAUUGAUGAAGUGUGUUCUUUGAUUAGUGACGAGUUCUCAAGGUAAGCCAUAUCUUGUGAUGAUGUUUUCGUAGAUGAUCUUUGUUGUGUUCUUUGUUAUAGUAGUCUUUAUUGGUUGAGCUUCAGCCCAUUUUAUCAUAUAGUCUAUUGUAAUUAGAAUGUACUAGUUUUGCUUGGAGCUUGUUAUAAGUGGACCAACAAAGUUGAGUCCCCAUUAUUGAAAAGGUUUGAGUGGAGUUUCUAGAUGAAGUUCUUGAGUUUAUUUCUUUAGUGCAUACUUGGUUCAUUGUAGAUGUUGCAUUUUUGACAGAACUUGGCUUAAUUGUGCCAAAGUGUUGGCCACCAAAGUCUUGCUUGUAAAAUUUUUUGAGUUAUGAAUUCUUUAGCAAAAUGUCCUCCUACUUGUCCACAAUAGGCUUUUUCAAGUAGAUCUUGUGUUUCUUCCAUCUUUAUAAAAUGUUAUCUCUUCCUUAUUUGUGCAAUUUUCUUCCCACGAUUGAAUAUGGUUUUGUCCUCAAGACAAAUUGCUUGCUCUUGUCGGAGGUUGAAUAUCAACUUGUAUUGUUGCUAUUGUGAGGUAGUAGUAGAUGUUGUCCAUCUAGGUUGGUGAUGUGUGGAUUCAAAGGAUAUUGGAGUCAGGAAAGUCAUCCAUGUUGUGUUUCAAUUGUUCAUUGGUUGUAAUGCGGCUUAGGUGUUCAUGUUCUCUUCCAGGCUUGUAAAUGAUCUUGAAGUUGUAUUUUUGAAGUAGUAAGAACUAUCGUGCAAUUUUGCCGGUGAGGAUUGUUUUGUUGAGAAGGUGGAGGAAGUUAUCGAGUAGGUAGUAUCAAAACUUUUGGAGUGUGUAGAUCAUUGCUGGAGCUUCUUUUUCAGUUGUAGUGUAGUUCAUUUCAGCUGAGUUGAGUCUUCAACUUGCAUAGUAGAGUUGUCGGUCUUUAUGAUCUUUUUGUUGUUGCAAAAGGAUCACUCUGAGGGCAUAGUUGGAGGUGUUGACUUGGAUGUUGAAGUCUUUGUUCUAGUUUGGUUGAGCAAGUUUUGGAGCUUGGGUGAGGGAAUUCUUGGCAUUUUGACAAUCUUGGGUCCAGUUGUAAGCUUGAUAUUUCUUGAGGAGUUUGGUGAUAGGUUUUGCAAUCUUGGUGUAGUCUUUGAUGAAUCUUCGAUAGUAUCCCAUCUUACUGAGGAAUGAUCAAAGGCUUGAAAUGUUGAAUGGAUGUUGUAUGUUGGUGAUUGUGAGGGUCUUGUCCUUGUUGAUGAGGAUUCCUUCUUUGGAAAUUAAUGUUCGAGUGGAAUUCCUGAUUUGAUAAAGAAAAUACACUUGUCAAGGUUCAAUGUGAUAUUGUGUUCAUGGCAUUUGAUGAAGCAUUUCUCUAAGCAUUGGAGAUGAUCUUCUUUGUUGCUGAAGACAUUAAAGUCAUCCAUAAAUACUCGCAUAAAUUUGGUGAGGUAUUUUCGAAAAGUGUCAAUGAUGAUCUAUUGAAACAUGAAUGGUGCAUUGGAGAGACUGAAAGGCAUGUGAAGGUAGGCAUAUGCUCCCUAUGGAUUGAUGAAAGCUGUCUUGUGUUGAUCUUCAGAUGCAAUGUGUACUUGAUUGUGUCUAUUGAAGCCAUUGAGAAAGGAGUACAUCUCAUAUCCUACAAUUGCAUCAAGAAUUUCAUUAGAGAAUGGAAUUGAAAAGGUGUCCUUUUGAGUUGUAUCGUUGAGCUUUUUAUAGUUGACACAAAUACUAAGCUUGUUUUUCUUCUUGGGGACAAUGAUUAGUGGUGAUAGCCAUUUUGGAUUUUGAAUUGGGAAGAUGAAUCCAACAUUUUCGAGUUUGUUAAGCUCUUAUUUGACUUUGGUUUGUAUGUUGGGAUUCAUUCGGUAGGUUAAUUGCUUUGUUGGUACCACUUUUGAUUGAAGUUCAAUCCGAUGUGUGUAAAGUUCAGAUGGAAUUCCUUGUAAGUCAGUCUAGGACUAGGUGAAAACAUCUUGAUAAGUUUCAAGUAGUUGGGUUGCUUUUGCUUUAAAAUCUUCAUCAAGCUCUUGGGCAAUGUGAAGUUUUUUUGGUUCUGCUGCCAUGUUUUAAUUCUCGGGCCAUGCUGUGAGAUCAGAUCUUCUUUGCAGGCACGCCAAAGCCUUACCAAAGAAUCUUCUUGAAUAUUUCCGGAAUAAAUUUUAAAAUGACCCCAACACUUUAGAUUUGGUCAGGGUUUUUGAAAAUUACUUAAGAAUCCUCUAAAUUCACCUUUUUUUUUGUGCUGUGAGGGCCAAGUGUAUAGCUACGAUGCUGUAUACUAAUAUUAACGUAGUGAGAUUUUGGUAGCCAUCGGAUUGGUUUCAAUCUGGGCCACUCACUCCUGUAUAUAAGCUAGGGUUUUUGGGCUAAUUGAUAUGCACAUUUUCUGUAUUCCCUUUCUAUAUUCCAAACACUCACAUUGGUGGAGGUGAGGGGCACCUUUGAUUGUCCCUGGGGAGUGUUUGGAUUUAGGAUUUCAGUUUAGAUCUAACUUCUGCAUUGUCUAGAUCUAACUUUUUUUAUUUCCUUUCUUUUGUUCUUUCCUUUCAGGAUUUUGGUUUAGAUCUAGUGUUUUGCAUUGUCUAAAUCUACCAUUUCCUUCUAGCUUUUUGUCCUUUCUCUUCUUUUGCUCUUUCUUUUUCAUUUGUCUCCAUGGCAGAUCAACAAUCUCCUUCUAAAUAUGUCGGAGCGGGUCAAGCCAAGAAUGUUGUGGCUAGCACUUCGUCAAGAUCUUGUCAGACUUGUGCAUGCACUUGCUCCUGCCACCCUUGAUGAUGCUCUUCGCUUGGCAUAACGUUAUAAUACAUCGCCUCUUCCACUUCUCGCUACACGUCCUUCAACUCCACUUCCUAUGAGUGAUAGUCCUGUUCCAAUAGAGAUUGAUGCUGCUGCUACUCGAGUCCAAGGACAAGGGCGAGGACGUGGUUGUGGCUGUGAUGUUCAUUGCUGGGCAUGUGAUGAAGUUGGUCAUACUUAUCAGAGUUGUUGGCGCUUUCCGGAUUGGCGACCUCCAUUUCCUCGGUGGAGACCUUGGUGUCAGCAAUGUCCCAUUGGUGCUAUUGCGGUGGAAGAUUUGGACACCGAGGUGCAUCCGGGAAACGAGGUGUCACUUGAGUAAUGGAGGGACCUUGCGCGAAUAAGUUAAUGACCCUUCUAUCUUUCUUUCGGGAGUAUCAUCAAGGGGUUCACUCGGCACUGGUUUAUCCAGUGUUUACUUUCCAAGCUCAUUUUUAUAACAAGAGGUCUCAUAUUAUUCUCUCUGUGUUGGUUGAUACAGGUUCGAGUUUAUCUUCUAUUGCUCGACUUAUUGCCACACGUUGUCGUCUACACUUGCGUCGUGCGGUAGAUCCAGUUUUCAUUCUUUAUGGCAACGGCCGCACAUAUGCAUGUGCACGAGAUGAGGCAGACCUUGUUGUGUGUGUGGGCGAUCUCAAGGUUGAGUUGCAGUCGUUGCGGGUGGUGCCGAGUCAAGCUUUUGACCUCAUUCUUGGUAUGGAUUGGUUGCAGCACAAUCAUGCCAAGUAUGACUUUGAGGCUUCUCCCCCUUGUCUCAUACUUCCUUAUGUUUCAUCCAUUCCUCUCACUUCCGUACCUCUUCAUCCCUCUACUUCUACCUCUGCUUCCAUUACUUUCCCCCACUAUUUCCUCCUAUGUUUCUAUCUUGUUCUGCUUUUCCCUUUUCUAAUCCCUCCAAUGAUCUUUGUGUUGCAGCUGUUGACCGGCUCAUGAAGGAGUAUUCUGAUAUCUUUGAAUUUAACUUAUCAUUUGGGGCCAAGAUUGCCACACAUCAUCUGAUUCCAACCGGGGAUGCUCGUCCAAUCAAGGUUCCUGUUUGUCGUCGGUCACCCAAGGAGAUCAAGGUUUUACGUGCAAACAUCAAGGAGAUGUUGGAGAAGAGUGUUAUUUCGAAGUCGUGGAGUCCUUGGGCAUGUGAACUUGAUCUUGUGACAAAGCUUAAUGGGAGUAUUCAUUUCUGCAUCGACUAUCGUCCAUUAAAUGAAGUGACGAUCCCGGAUGUGUACCCUCUUCCUCACACUAUUGAUCUCUUGGAUCGUCUAGGGUGAAGUCGUUGGUUCACCAAGCUCGAUCUUGCUUCUGGGUACUGGCAAGUACCGAUGGCCGAAGAAGAUAUUCCUAAAACUGCUUUUUGUACACCGUUUGGUUUGUAUGAGUUCUUGGUGAUGCCAUUUGGUUUGAACAAUGCUCCAGCAAUUUUCCAAUAGAUGAUGGAUAAGGUUCUUUGUGAUAUGCCAGAGGUGACUACUGACUUCAUUGAUGAUGUCUUGAUUCAUUCAGAGGGGACGUGGGAGGAGCACAUUCGUGAUAUGUGUAAAGUGUUGGAUCGGCUACGGGACGUUGGUUUAAAGCUGAAGCGGUCAAAGUGCGUGUUUGGGUCCAAGGACACAAUUUAUCUUGGGUACUGUAUUUCUCGUGAAGGUUUGCAAGUUGAUCCUAACAAACUUGUAGCUGUUCUAAAGUUCCCUACUUCGAAGUGUGUGAAUGAUGUGUAGCGCUUCCUAGGCAAGGUGCAGUAUCUCGGUUGUUUUGUGGAUCAUCUUUUUGAUCGCACUGCACCAUUGCAAGCAUUGCUAAAGUCAUCAAUGUCAUCUUUCAUUUGGUCUUCAGCUUGUGAGUAGGCGUUUGUGGAUUUCAAAGAGCCCUCCAGUUUUGGCAUAUCCUGAUUACACUCGACCUUUUAUUUUGCGCAUAGAUGCUUAUGAUAUUAGUCUUGGAGGUGUGUUGAUGCAAGAAAGCCCAAGUGUGCCUAGUCAGCGUCAUCCCAUUGCAUAUAUAAACCAUACGUUACAACCAGCAGAGGUGAACUACUCCACGACAGAGAAGGAGUGUUUAGCGGCAGUUUAGGGUUUCAAGAAACUUCAUGCAUAUCUACAUGGUUCUUGGACGUUACUUGAAGGUGACCAUGCUGCCAUUACUUCAUUAUUGAAGCGGAAAAACCUGUAAUUUUGAUGUUGUUCAUUGCCUAGGGAGUUCUAUGGCUAAUGCUGAUGCCCUUUCUCGAGCUCCUCUUCCUUCUCCACUAUCUUCUCAUGUUUCUGAUGAGCCUAUUGUUCCAGCAUCUUUGGAUUUUCUAAACGAGGAUUCUAUGCCAUCGGCGGUUGCUAUACUUGACGUUCAGUGUUCACAAGGUGCAAAGCAAUAUCUACUUUUUCUUGAUAAGGUUCGCGAGGCUCAAAAGAUUGAGCCGUGGAUUCAAAGGCUUCAAGGUGCAUUUGAGAAUCCUACAUCACUUACUGAUGACUUGCCUUUUCAGCAUUUACAUUCUCAAUAUCGCCUUGAAGAUGGCCUUCUUUAUUUUGUGAGGACGAAUCCUAAUGAUCAUUUACGGCUGGUGGUGCCUUCUAUCUUUAUUCCGCGGUUUCUCCAUGCCUAUUAUGAUUCUCUUAUUUUAGGUGGGCAUAUAGGACAUCGUUGUGUGACCGAGAAGCUGCACAGGUCUUUCUAUUGGCCGGAGAUGCGACGUGAUAUUAUCCGGUAUGUGUGUAGCUACGUUUGGUGCCAAGCUCGUAAUACUCCCCUUUGUGCUGUAGAAGGACGGUUGGAGUUAAUUGCAAUUUCCUGUCCCUUUGAGUUGGUGGCGUUUGAUCUUAUUGGACCUUUUCCAUAGUCGAUUGCGGGCAAUGAAUAUGUUAUUAUUGUUUUUGACUACUUGACUCGUUGGGUGGAAGUUGGUGCUCUUGCUAGCACCUCGGCAACUACUGUUAGAUACUUCCUCCUCAAUCGAGUGGUGUUUCAGCAUUCUUGUCCAGAGCGAAUUUUUUCGGAUAAUAGUCCUGCAUUUAUGGCUGAGGCAUUUCAUGUUUUGACAUCUUGUUUGGGGAUAUGCCACAGUUUCACGAGUGCUUAUUAUCCACAAUCAGAUGGUCUAGUGGAACAGCUCAUUCGGACAUUCAAAAGGAUGAUUGCGAAGUAUGUGAACUUUCAGCAUUCGGAUUGGGAUGGUUAUUUGCCGUCUCUUCGGUAUGCCUAUGUCACAGGGGUGCAGAGUUAUAUUGAUGCUUCACCAUAUAAACUUCUAUAUAGUCAUGAUCCAAUAUUACCAACAGAGUUGGGUUUACCUUCAUGAUUGCCACAAGCUCCCGAUUCUACGUUGUGGGAUCAAUAUUUGACGAGCAUUCUUCCACUUGUCCGAGUAGAGUCUGCCGAACACUUAGGCCACGUACAAGUGGGACAACAACGGCACUACAACUCCCAUCAUCGUUCACUUGCGGAAUACAAAGUCGAUGAUUUGGUGUUAGUUUGUUUUCCCGAUUUUAUGGUACGUUAUCUAAGGGGCUCCUUGCACAGUGGAAAGGACCAUAUCGGGUGUUGCAGCAAGUUGGACCACAAGUUUAUGAGGUUCAGCAUGACGUCUAGCAAGCCAAUCCUUCGGAGAUUGUGCAUGUGCAGCAGUUGAAACGCUUCAUACAAAGGGAUCAGGAGUAGUUAAUACCAUCUACAGAUCCACCAAUGCCUCCUCUUGAUGUUCCUCCAAAUCUUGGCCCAUCUACAAGAGAACCCUGAUGGCCUUCCAUUAUUCCGAGAGGAGGGGAUGAUGUGAGGGCCAAGUGUACGGCUACAAUGCCAUAUACUAAUAUUAACGUAGUGGGAUUUUGGUAGCUGUCGGAUUGGUUUCAAUCCAAACCACUCGCUCCUGUAUAUAAGCUAGGGUUUUUGAGCUAAUUAAUAUGCACAUUUUCUAUAUUCCCUUUCCAUAUUCCAAGCACUCACAGUGCGAAUAAUUAAAAAAUACUGGUAAGUACAUUACUUUAGCUUAAGUUAUUAUGCAAAUAGGGAAAACGUAAACUUUAAACUUUAAUUUUCGGGUAACUCUUGGUCCAGAGCUAAACUUUUAUAAACAUAUCUAAACAUGCUCAUUUAAUUAACCACCAAUGAACGGCCAAGAUAUCUUUACCAGCACUCCCCCACUAAUUUUCUUUCGAAAAUAAAAAACUAAAAGCAAAGAUGAUAUUAUCAAACACUAUUUUUUCAAUGUUUGUUUUUUUUUCUUAUUUUCUACUAUUAAUUAACUUACAACUCAAUCACACAAUACUUGGAGCUGGAAGAAUUGAAUCCAACUUAAUUUCAGCAAACUGAUGAGGAUGGACAAUUUUUAUUUUUAUUUCUUUUGCACUUCUUAAUUUACAUUUUUUAAUUUUUUUCUACUCUUCUUAUAUGCACUUCUUCGGUGUAUUUGGCCCAUUAUAUUUAGCUGAAACACAUGUACAUGUACACUAGUACACUACGUACUAAACCUAUGAUACACACUUGUUGCUAAUUCUCAACGAUUUGUGCAUCUGCUGGUUCACACACACACACACACACACACACUGUGUAGGGCUAGCUCCAUCCAUAAGAGAGCAUUGAGGUUGGGCACCAGAGGCUGGAAGAAGUCGUCACAGGAGAGAGCAAGCAGGUCACCACUCAUGACAAGCUCAAAAAAUCUGGAAGGAAGACAUCGCUGAUGAACUGGUGAGUACGUCGCAAGAAACAAAUGCUGUCAUCACCAGCUUCCACACGUCUUCAACGUGCUCUAGGAGCACAAACCCAAAGUUGGUCAUGCCACAAGCCGCCAUCGCCUUGCUCCCGGAACAUGAGGCAGUACUUGCUAUCAGCAAAGAGUUUGGGUACCGGCAAGUCUUCAUACUAAGGCUUAUUAUCUGAAUCUGGGCACACCUGUUGGCAGGUUUAGUCAGCAUUCCCCGAUUCUGCUACCAAAAAGAAAUUUAAAUUUAAGACUACGUGUCAUCCUCCUUUUGCAUAGUUUUAACUUUUAAAUGUUAAUUUUUUCUCCGUGAAGUUCAGGUUCGCAGCGGCACUUUGACGAGGCAUGCUCACUCAGCGGCCCAUGUUUCUGCUUGACUCACGGAGGGUUUAAAACCAGGGAUAACUGCAAGAAAGAGCACUGACAUGUUUUCAAAAGUAGUUGUCACAGGAACAUCUGCCAUCAUGGAACACAUGAACCCGACUGGCAUCUUUGCAGAUGAUUAGCCUUUUUUCCAGCUUAGAGAUGAGAGCAGUGGCCGCAUGGCAAUCGUCACAAACUCGGAGAUUUUUCACAAUUUUGAUGGUUUCCUUCUGGUGCGUGUUCACCAGAGCACACCCCAGCGCAAGCUUCUCACUGUGGCCGCACAGGUGAUCCUCUUUCUCUUUCUUGGGUAUGUCUUUUAGAACGUUGAUCACAUCGCUUGCGUACCCCUCCUCUUUCAUUCUCAGCAACAAUUGCUUGAGCUUGGCCGCAAUCUCGUCGCUCUGUGAGUGACUCCUAUCCCCAACAGAAAAAGAAUGCACUUUUCCUGAGCUAACAUCCGUCCACCAGCUUCUCCCAGGCUCCCUGAAGCUGCCUUCACCUCUCAUUCUCUCCACAACAGCGGCCCUUUCACUGAGCAUCCCCAGGUUUCCAAAUAUAUUGGCCAUCAAUGCGUAGGGCGUGCCGCUCUUGGGAUCCAUCUCCACAAGACGCUCAAACGCGAGUUUGCCGAUCGUGUAAUUCUUCCACUUCCGGCAGGCUCCGAGCAGGGACGUCCAAACCACUGCAUCCGGUUCAAAAGGCAUGGCUCUGAGAACUCUCACAGCUUCGUCGAGGAGGUUAGCUCGCCCGAGCAUAUCAAUCAGGCACACAUAAUGCUCCAGACGUGGCUUGACUCCAUACUGCUUGGGCAUUUCAUCCAGAAGCUGCCUUCCUUUCCCGACCAGACCACCAUGGCUGCAAGCGUUCAACACCGAGACAAAACUCACAUCGUCAGCUUUACAGCCCUCCUCCUGAGUCAUGGAAUAGAAACGCUCCAAGGCCUCGAUCGAUCGGCCCUGGAGAGUGUAAGCCUGUAUGAGAGAGUUCCAGAGACCCGUGUCAUCCCGAGCUCGGCACUCGUCAAACGCUUCCUGAGCAGAAUCAACAUCGCCGCAUUUGCCGUAGAAGCUCACCAGGCUGGAGCCCAGAACUGGAUUGUUUUUCAGCAGCCCUUCAUGCUUCGCCAGCUGGUGAAUCUCCCUCCCGAGCUUGAUCGCCAUCACACUCCCGCAAGCAACAAGGACGCAGGUGUAGGUGCAAGCAUUAGCUUGAAUGGUGGUACAAGCUCUCAGGGCAGAGUAGUACUCCAGAGCAAGUUCAGCUUGCCCGUUCGAGCCGCAGCCCUGGAUGAUCGCGUUGUAGGACACAACACUCCGGGUUCCCAUGGAGUCGAAAAUCUUGCGAGCCUCCUCAAGCUCGCCACACUUGCAGUACAUGUCUACCAGGCAAUUUGCCACGAACAGAUCUACCUGUUUCUUCUCCUUGCUCAGCAUUGAAUGGAUCUCCAUCCCGAAGCGUAGAGCUCUCUCCCUCUUCUCGCUGGAUUCGGUAGCAAGUGUGGAGCAGGCGCUGAUCACCGCGACAUGUGUCCGAUCGUUAGGUUGAAUGGUGGUACAAGCUCUCAGCGCAGAGUAGUACUCCAGAGCAAGUUCAGCUUGCCCGUUCGAGCCGCAGCCCUGGAUGAUCGCGUUGUAGGACACAACACUCCGGGUUCCCAUGGAGUCGAAAAUCUUGCGAGCCUCCUCAAGCUCGCCACACUUGCAGUACAUGUCUACCAGGCAAUUCGCCACGAACAGAUCUAGCUGUUUCUUCUUGCUCAGCAUUGAAUGGAUCUCCAUCCCGAUGCAUAGAGCUCUCUCCCUCUUCCCGCUGGAUUCGGUAGCAAGUGUGGAGCAGGCGCUGAUCACUGCGACAUGUGUCCGAUCGUCAGGUUGAAUGGUGUUAUCAGCUCUCAGGGCAGAGUAGUACUCCAGAGCAAGUUCAGCUUGCCCGUUCGAGCCGCAGCCCUGGAUGAUCGCGUUGUAGGACACAACACUCUGAGUUCCCAUGGAGUGGAAAAUCUUGCGAGCCUCCUCAAGCUCACCACACUUGCAGUACAUGUCUACCAGGCAAUUCGCCACAAACAGAUCUAGCUGUUUCUUCUCCUUGCUCAGCAUUGAAUGGAUCUCCAUCCCGAUGCGUAGAGCUCUCUCCCUCUUCUCACUGGAUUCGGUAGCAAGUGUGGAGCAGGCGCUGAUCACCGCGACAUGAGUCCGAUUGUUGGGUUGAAUGGUGGUACAAGCUCUCAGGGCAUAGUAGUACUCCAGAGCAAGUUCAGCUCGUCCGUUCGUGUUGCAGCCCUGGAUGAUCGCGGUGUAGGACACAACACUCCGAGUUCCCAUGGAGUGGAAAAUCUUGCGAGCCUCCUCAAGCUCGCCACACUUGCAGUACAUGUCUACCAGGCAAGUCGCCACGAACAGAUCUACCUGUUUCUUCUCCUUGCUCAGCAUUGAAUGGAUCUCCAUCCCGAUGCGUAGAGCGCUCUCCCUCUUCUCGCUGGAUUCGGUAGCAAGUCUGGAGCAGGCGCUGAUCACCGCAACAUGUGUCCGAUCGUUGGGUUGAAUGGUGGUACAAGCUCUCAGGGCAGAGUAGUACUCCAGAGCAAGUUCAGCUUGCCCGUUCGAGCCACAGCCCUGGAUGAUCGCGUUGUAGGACACAACACUCCGAGUUCUCAUGGAGUCGAAAAUCUUGCGAGCCUCUUCAAGCUCGCCACACUUGCAGUACAUGUCUACCAGGCAAGUCGCCACGAACAGAUCUAGCUGUUUCUUCUCCUUGCUCAGCAUUGAAUGGAUCUCCAUCCCGAUGCGUAGAGCUCUCUCCCUCUUCUCGCUGGAUUCGGUAGCAAGUCUGGAGCAGGCGCUGAUCACCGCGACAUGAGUCCGAUAGUUGGGUUGAAUGGUGGUACAAGCUCUCAGGGCAUAGUAGUACUCCAGAGCAAGUUCAGCUUGCCCGUUCGAGCCGCAGCCCUGGAUGAUCGCGUUGUAGGACACAACACUCCGGGUUCCCAUGGAGUCGAAAAUCUUGCGAGCCUCCUCAAGCUCGCCACACUUGCAGUACAUAUCGAUCAAUCCCGUCAACAAGUAGAUGUUGCUUUUGUGCUCAUCACUCUUGAGCACAGCUUCAUGGGCUUGUUUUCCCAAAGGAAGGGAUCUGCUCUCAGCUGAGUCUCUCACGCGGUGUAUCAGCCUCCCUAAACUCACCGGUUCAUCACCAGCUACAGGUGGGGUAUGUGGAGAUUUGUAGCGGGCCGUGGUGGCCUUACCUACAGCUGGGUCAGCGAGCGACUCGAGUUUUGCAGAGACCCAGGUUGGUGUUUUCCUGUUGGCGAUCCACAGGCUCUCUCCGGUAGAAAUAUGUUUGAAAUCCGGGUAGGACUCUGAGAAGAACUUGUUUUUCUUCUUGAACCUGUUGUCCCACCAGAAAGUGGGAUCCUUGAACUCCAUGAGAUUGUUGAGAAAUGACACACACACCACACAAACCCUAGCGCCGCACGCAUACCCUAGAAAUCCCGAUUUGUUAUUACUUAACUGUAGUAGUAAAAAGCUCGUGUUUUCUUGUUUUUUCUUUUUCCAAUUCUUUUCCUUUUUAAACUUUACAAUGUCACAGCUUAACUGCAGCAGCUUAGAUGUUUAUUGUUAAAAAAAAAUCUCUUUGAUAUAUAUAGAAAGUGAGCCAGAAGCAAUCAGUUGCUCAAGAGCUGAAGAAUCAGUACAUGCAUAAUUUUCAGACAAUCUUCUAACUGGCUGAACAUCAGGUUUUUAUGAUUAUUAUUAUUAUUACUAACAACACGCGAUUUGUUAUUCUCUGCAUUCAUUUUUUAUAUGAUCUGCUGCUGCAUGCACUUAACUGUAGGUAGUCUUCAGUUCUUCAAUAUAAUCUGCUAACUAAAAGAUAUCGAUACACUCAAUAUGCAAAAAUAAACCUCACUCUACACAAAUUAAAUCAGGGCACCAGUUUCAUGCAGAACACUUUCGUAAAUGACUCUCGCCCCGGACCCAUGUGGUGGUAAAACCUCACAAGGCCUCACUUACUUAUAUUCACCCUGGGCUUCUGGCUGCUCUGCAACAUACCUUACCACACCAAACUCUUCACACAUGAAGCCACGCACAGAGGGAAAGACCGCACGAGGCCUCAUGUGCUUACAUUCAGUCCUUAUAUGUGUUCUUGGCCUUGCUCAGUUCAUCUCCUUUGCUGUCCACCUGCACUUCUUUACUUCAUGUUUUUGCUUGCAUGCUUCGAUUGACAUCUUCAGAUUUUCAAGCAUACGAUUGUGGCAUACCGUGGCUACGUUUUUCGGCAGAGCUUGGAGGUGCUGAAAGCAGCAUUUAGUUCGUGGAGGAUUGAUCUUGAUUUGGAUUGUAUGGAUCUCUAUAAAUUUUGAAACUUGAGUUUAUUUUCUUCUUUUUCUUCUAUGUUGCCAAAAUAACUGGUGUCAAACUUGCUUUUGCAGACUAUCUCUAGUACUUCUGGAUGCGAUCAAGGCCUGCUGCUCAUUGCUUCAAAGGAGGAGAUGAUAAUUGAUCCCCAAAGAGCGAGCUUGAUGGUUUUGUUGCUUUCAUCAAGUUAUCAUUCUGCUGCGAUCUAAAACACCACAUCAUCCACUAUACUUUCACAGGUUUUGAGACAGGUACCCGGGAAAGGUGUAUUCUAUUGUUGUUCCUCAGGACCUAGACUUGUUUUGCCGCCUCAAGUGUGAGCUGAUCAAGAUGAGGGAGAAGCUUGCAAUGGUGGAAAUCCCUUUUAUAUACUUGUUGAAGAAAUCCAUACCAAACACUAUCUGAAAAUUUAGUAUUUUCAACACUACCAAGUCCACUCUUUCUUUCCACUUAGAUAUCUUUAUUGGAACAUCACUCACAAACUUUCUGGCUACUUGCCCACCUUCCGCAAACCAGAAGUGCAUAGGUGACAUUUGCUUAGAAUUCAAUCCUAACAACUUAACUAAGUCUUCGGAUAUCACACUAUGCGUAGCUCCCAUGUCAAUCAUCUCUUGGAUUCGGUGUCCAUAGACAAAGCCUACAAGAUACAUCAACGGAGCAGUGUUUGCAUUAACUGCAAGAAAAGCUUGAGGAAAGCAAUAAAAGUUACUCACCUCUUCUUCCUCAUAGUUUGCAUUGACCAACUCGUCAACCCCUUCAGCUUCACCACCACCGUCUUCCCUCAUGACAUUAACGCGAGACCUUGUCUUAUGCUUGUUGGGACAUUCCGAGGACCUAUGUCCCGACUCUCCACAAUGGAAGCAAUGACCCACACUACCCGUUCCGCUAGGAACAGGUUUUGCAUGUUGCUGCUGCUUGUACCCACCAGGAGGAGGAAUAGAGGGCCUAGGACCAGAAGAAGCUGCUGGUGGUCUCCAACCACCACCACCUUUGUUAACCGUAGCUUGUGAGCCUCCAGGGUGGUACCUACUUUCCACCCUUUGUUUAUGAUCACCUUGGUUAUUCCCAGAAUUUCUAUUCUUAUCCGAGUUACCAGCCUGCGGUUGCUGAUAUUGUUCCAUGAGCGAGUGACUAAAGGCAACUUGCUGCGCUGCCUCCUUACACUCCAAGUAUGUCUUCGGCUUAAACUUCAAAAUCUCAUUGUGAGAAAAUGAACUUAAACCCUCCAGAAAAUAACUCUGAGCAUCUUUGUCACUCAUAUUUGCAAUCAUAAUACACUUAUGAGCAAAUGCAUUAAUGUAAUACAUGAAAUCCCCUCGCUGCUUUAACCGCCACAACUCUGCGCGAAGUCUCAGACCAAGAUCAUCCGGCAAGUAUUCCUUACAGUCUUGGUCCAACUUCUAGUCUGCCCUUUUUCAGCACAUACCUGGCGCCACCAAGUUUUGGCAUGAUCGGUAAGAAAGGAUUGCGCGCAUGCAACUUUCGUAUGAUCAUCUAUGUCUGCCGCUAUGACAUAAUUUUCCAUAUCGUAGACCUAGUCUUCCAAAAUUUGAUAGUCCCACAUGCCUCUGAAGUUGGGUGGUUUUGGAGGCUUGAACUUUGAAACUCGUGCAACUGGGGGUGGCUGCAGAACUUCAUCGUCCUCAGAACUUGAAGAGGAGUCCGGUUGCUUAGGCUUAGCUGGUUUAGCUACCUCAGCUUCUUUCUUCCUCUUUUUGUUUUCCUUCUUCAAUUUGUGAAUCUCCCUUCGCAAAUUAUCAAUCUCGACUUCCUGAGCUGUACGCUGCAACGCCACAGCAUCUGGCUCUUCCUCUUCCGACUCAGCCUCAACCUCUUUCACAGCAUCUCUAACAGGAGUUUCCUCCUCUCGAUUCGCCCGUCUAGAGGUUUCAGUGUCAUCAGCAUGGUUCCUCUUCACCAUCCUGCUAGCUGCAUGCAUGCUUCUAUCAGUAACUGAACAUGCAUACAAUGUUCUUACCGAAUGGUGCUAUCCAACUAAUCCUACACAGGUCGCUUCGGAUCUACUAGAAAACUCUCUGCGUAUGCAACUUGAGUCAGAAAAUCUGGCAAAAGUUGGAUAGGAAUCGCUGAGACAAAUCCUCUGAUACCAAAUGUAGCGCACCUGAAUUUGGAGCUGAACUCCAAGCCUGUUGUGCUAUGAAACGAGGGUCCGGUACAAUCCCAUGAGCACCAGCUCCACGUAUCCAACACCUGCACGCAAAAUGGUGUCAGACGGAGUCUGGCACAAUUUUGGCAUACUGGUGGCCUAACGCGAGGAGGAGGGUACCCCACCGACUAGAGCAGCAUGGAGCUUGGCUUAGACCCAAGCCGGACGUAGAACAAGGAGCGACACAGCCCAGUGGGAGCCAAACUAAUGUCUCAGGUGGUCGGACAUGCAUUCCAACCACUAUCCCUACUAUACAUUUGGAACCCCCCACAGCCCCCCCCCUUGAGGAACACACGCUUUGGGCUUUCACCCCAAGCUUCCCUUAGUACUAGGAGUUAGUCUCUGGGACAAGUCCGAAACUUACUAAAUAUGGAAUGGCGCUAGAUUAUGAAUUUGGACACAGGACGAACACCAUUGUGUUCAGGCCAAUCUCUACAUUCCAUAGAUAUGCUAAAUGAGCUAAUCUAGAUACUUUCCAUAAAUAGCACUUGGGACCAAAAUAAGACUAACACAAAGGACAUGAUAGCAAGGGUGUUUGGCAGACAUGGUAAGCUAUCAUCUAGCGAAUAUUGAGGGACUAGUCUCACUAUCGCGGGGGUUCCCAACACUAGCAAGUGCAAGUCAACGAAUGAGUUUCUCUAACCAAUUCAAGUAUGCUUGACAAAUAGCAUAUAAGAAUUCCGUCCUUAUGCUCAUCUGGUCAAGUGCACAAGCGAUGACCAGUUUCUCAACUAGUUUGGGUGGAGACCAUAAAAGGGACCAGCAGUACCGACCUCUUGCCAUUGUGACAGUAAGGAAAGAGUGCUCGUAAGGAUUGGUCGACAAGUAUCUUUUGAUACCCGAAGUUACAUUCGCGACACUCCCCUCCUUGAGAAAAAGGUUUGUUGUUCUCUUGGAGUUCAAGAGGCAUCCUCUUCACCUCUUCAACUCUUAAAGGCUAAGUAUUUUACGCGACUUGAUUUGCGGUCCGGGUAUCAUCAGAUACAGGUGGCGGAUCAGGAUGUGGAGAAGUGUCGCGAAUGUGACUUCAGGUAUCGAAAGUUACCUGUCGGCUAGUCCUUACGGACACUCUUACCUUACUGCCACGAUGGCAGGAGGUCGGUAUUGCUGGACCCUUUAUCAGCCCCUCUUGUUCAAGUGUUAGUAAACUGGACUUUACAUCUGUACUUGGCCGGAUGAGCAUAAGGAUGGAAUUCCUAAGUGUCUAUUCAUCCAAGCAUACUUGGCCUGGCUUUUUAGUUCUCUUUUGCUCUGUCUUGCACUGGCUUGACAAGAACCCUCGCGUAUUGAGAUUGGUCCUUCAAUAUCGCUAGAUGAUAGCUUACCGUGUCUGCCAAACACCCUCGCUAUCAUGCCCUUUGUGUUAGUCUCAUUUCGGUCCCAAAUGCUAUUUAUGGAAAGUGUCUAGAUUUGCUCAUUUGGCAUAUCUACGGAAUGUAGAGAUCAGCCUGAACACAAUGGUGUUCGUCCCGUGUCCAAAUUCACAAUCUAGGGACAUUCCAUAUUUAGUAAGUUUCGAGCUUGUCCCAGAGACUAACUCCUGAUACUAAGGGAAGCUUGGGGUGAAAGCCCAAAGCGUGUGUUCCUCAAGGGGGGGGGCUAUGGGGGGUUCCAAAUGUAUAGUAGGGAUAGUGGGUAGGUCGGGCAUGGCCGACCAACCUGAGGCAUAGUCUAGCUCCCACUUGCGUGCCUGUCCUUGUUCUGCGUCCGGCUUGGGUCUAAGCCCAAGUUCCAUUCCAUGCUAGCUGGUGGAGUACCCAUAUCCUCACGUUAGGCCACCGGUAUGCCAAAAUAGCGCCAGACUCUGUUUGGCUCCGUUUUGUGUGCUGGUCCUGGCAUUGGGAAGCUGGUUGCUCCAGGACUGUUCCAAGUCGCUCCGGGCUCCUGUCCCUUCGCUCUUUGGGCUAUAUGCUCGAGAGUUGCUCCGUGGUUCGGUUCCAUCACUCCUUGGCUAUAUGCUUGGGAGUUUGGCACCGUUCGUUCGUUCAGUGGCCCAAGGCCCUGAACCUCGGGUUCCUGUGGACACGUGGCAUGGACACGUGGCAUGUGACACAUGGCAUCUGUCACAUGGCACAAAGAGGGUUUAGGUUCCGCUUCGUGGUGUUAUCCUAUGGUAAAUCACCAUAGAAUAAAGGGUCAAAACCACGUGCGCUACAAGAAGACAGCAUUUAAGACUCGGUACGGAUCUUAUGAGUUCCUUGUCAUGUUGUUCGGGUUAUGCAAUGCUCUAGCAACAUUCAGCACUAUGAUGGAUAGAAUAUUCGAAGAUUAUUUAGAUGCAUUUGUUGUCCUAUAUAUCAACGAUAUUCUAGUCUUUAGUGAAACAUUGGAGGAUCAUUUGAAACACUUGGAGCUGGUGUUUCAAAAGUUGCGCGAACACAAAUUGUAUGCUAAGGAAAGUAAAUGCGCUUUUGGUCAAUUGUGUGUAAACUUCUCGGACAUAUAGUUGGUGGUGGCGUGAUUGAGGUCGAUCCAAAGAAGGUGGAAGCAGUGAAGUCUUGGGAAGUUCCGACCACUGUAUCAGAUGUUCGUUCCUUUCUCGGUUUGGCAGAUACUAUCGCAAGUUUGUCCACAAUUUUGCAAGAAUUGCUCUUCCGUUGACUGAGUUGACGAAGAGUAAUAUUCCAUUUCAUUGGACACCAGCUUGUCAACGUGCUUUUGCACGGUUGAGGAGAUCUUGACUAUGGUUCCUAUUCUCAGGAUUCCAGAUCUUGAUAAACCCUUUGAAGUGCAUUGUGAUGCGUCUGGUUAUGCUAUCGGUGCCGUGUUGCAGCAAGAUUGUGACAAAGUGGUUGGUGUUACGCUAAGGCGACAUGGUUGUCCCGUUGCGUUCUAUUCCAAGAAAUUGGAUGAAACUCAACGAAGAUGGCCAAUGCAUGAGAAAGAGAUGUUUGCUAUAGUGUCGGCCCUGGAACACUGGAGACACUACUUGGGUGGACAUACCAAGGUUUAUACAGAUAAUAACACACUAAGCUACUUUGCUACGCAGCCUAAGCUUACGCUGAAGCAGGCUCAUUGGCAAGAGAAGCUUGCUAGAUAUGAUAUUGAAAUCAUGUAUAAACCUGGUAAAGACAAUAUUGUCCCAAAUGCGUUGAGUCGUCAGGCUCAAUUCCAGGCAAUAUCAGCCAUCAAUUCAGACUGGUUAGAGCACGUUUGGGCUUCAUAUGGAAGUGUUCCAUUGGCAAAGGCAAUCUUGCACUAUGCGGAGUUGGUGAAGUAGAAACCUGGUAGUGAAGCGGCAAAAGUUGCUAGUCAUACCAAUGUGAAGCUUCACUUCUCAGUUCAAGAUGGGCUUAUAUUCUAUAAGCAAGAAAGAUUGUAUCUUCCCUCUAAGGAUCUGUAGCAGUUGUUUCUGUGGGAACAUCAUGAUGUUCCGACAGUAGGACAUGGUGGAAAACAAAAGACUUUGGCUUCAUUGAAAAAGGGAUUUUUCUGGUCUAGUAUGGAAGGUGAUGUAGCGGACUAUGUCCAUUCUUGCCCUAUAUGCCAGAAAUGUAAGCACAGAACUGAGAAGCAGGCUGGAAAGUUGCAGUGCAUUCUAGCACUGGCAUGGCCAUUUCAAAGUGUGACACUUGAUUUCGUCACUUGUUUGCCAAAGUCUAAGUGUUAUGAUACUUUGAUGGUGGUUGUGGAUCGGUUGUCAAAGAUUGCACACUUCAUUCCAGUGAAUGCAAAACAAGCAGCAAAGCUCUUUUUCCAUGAAGUAGUUCGGGCUCGUGGUCUUCCCGAAGAGAUGAUCUCAGAUAGAGAUUCAAGAUUUACAGGGAAGUUUUGGGGCACACUAUUCCAGCUGUUCUGUACCAAAUUGAAGUUUAGUAUAGCUUAUCAUCCUCAAACCGAUGGGCAGACCGAACGCAUGAAUGCUCAAGUAGAGGAUUAUCUGCGGUAAUAUGUCACGGUAGACCAACACCACUGGGUUGAGCAUUUAGACAUAGCAGAAAUUUGUUAUAACAACACAUUUCACAGCACUAUUGGCUAUUCUUCAUAGGAGAUACUACAAGGGAAUGCUCAUGGGGUGCCUUAACAGAUAGUUGUACCAAAACCAAUGACCGAAGUGUUGGUCCCGGCCAUUGAGACUUAUGCAGAGCAGCUACGCCAAGGUUGGUCUAGAGCUACUGAGGCAAUGGGCAAAGCUCAGGAUAGGUAUCGACGUGAUAAGGAUCAACAUCGUCAGGAUGUAUCCUAUCAAGUGGGAGAUCAGGAGUGGCUAUCUUCCCGGAACUUGAACAUUAAGGGAUCUUUGUCUCGGAAGCUAUUACCAAGAUAUGUUUGACCCUAUCGGGUGUUAAAACACAUUGGUGAUGUAUCCUAUAAGUUGGAUCUUCUGGAUGAGUUAUCCCAGCUACAUGAUGUGUUUCAUGUCAAUUUACUGGCACCAUAUCAUGCUGCUGUGGAACACUCUAUGGACAUGCGUCCUCCGCCAGUGAUUGUGGAUGGUGAACCUGAUUAUGAAGCUGAGUCUAUCUUAGAUUCUCGGUUUCGAAGAUGGGCUCGUGCGAAGGAAUACCUAGUAAGUGGAAAGGUUAGCCAACUUAUGAAUCAACUUGGGAACCUCUUAGGAAUCUUACAUAUGCUCAUGAGCUUGUCACAGAGUAUGAGAAUCGUAAUAAAGAUUAGCUUUUGUAAAUCUUGUAAUAAAUCUUGCAAAUUAAUAAAGUAAUAUAUUUUUAUACAUCAAAGUGUCGUCUCUUUUGUUCAUUAGUACUUGGGUCAGUUUUGGCAAGCUGACUCUGGCACUUCGGUGCAUGGGUCCAAUCCAUAACCAUGGGGAUCACUAUUAUAGACUGAUCAUAAGUCCCUGCCUCUCUCUCGAUGACUCAUUCUUGACAAAGGGGUGUGGUCAUGUAAACAACUUUAUCUGCCAGUUUAUAAUAGUUGUCUAAAUCUUCCCGACGGGGUUGAUUUCUUGCUCAGGGGAAGUGGGGCCUCUGGCCUCCUCCCUAUGUUCAUGCGGGCAGGGAUGUAUCAUUCCUUUGUAAGCCAAGUGGUACUUCGAGCAGCAAGGGGGGCUAACUUCAUUAGUCAUUUCCUUGUCGGCGACGGCCAGAGGGUGUCUAAGUCUUAACAUCUUUAGACAUAGAGGAGAGGUCGUUCCAUAACUCAUUUAAGUUGGUGUGUUUCCUAUAUAGUGUGCUUUCCGUUAACUUUUGGAGUUGUUUCCUUGACAGUUUGCUAGACUCAGGUAUGCAUCGACGAGGACGUCGAUCUUCCCCAAGGGGGGGAGAGUGUUGCGAAUGUGACUUUGGUAUCGAAAGAUACUUGUUGGCCAGUCCUUACAAGCACUCUUUCCUUACUAACAUGACGGCAGGAGGUCAGUACUACUGGUUUCCUUCAAUAACCCCUCUUGUCCAAGUGUUAGUUUACUGGGCUUAGUAUCUGUGCUUAGCCAGAUGAACAUAAGGUAGGAACUCCUAUGUGUUUCUAGUUGAGCAUUCUCGGCUUAGCUCUUAGUUCUCUUUUGCUAUGUGUUACACUAGCUUGGCAAAAACCCUUGCAUAUUGAGACUAGUCUCUCAAUAUUGCUAGAUGAUAGCUUACCGUGUCUGCCAAACACCUUCGCUAUCAUGCCCUUUGUGUUAAUCUUAUUUUGGUCCCAAAUGCUAUUUAUGAAAAGUGUCUAAAUUUGCUCAUUUGGCAUAUCUACGGAGUGUAGAGAUCAUUCUGAACACAAUGGUGUUCAUCCCAUGUCCAAAUUCACAAUCUAAGAACAUUCCAUAUUUAGUAAGUUUCAAGCUUAUCCUAGAGACUAACUCUUGGUACUAAGGGAGGCUUGAGGUGAAAGCCCAAAGCGUGUGUCUAGAACACAUGUCCUCGAUAUCUUGCACUUGGUGCAAUGGACACUCUUACAGAAUCCACUGUAAAAGAACAUCAUCUCUAGGAAUCAUAGUCCGAUUCCUCUUGACUAGGAAACCAUCUCGUACAUCGAAGGAAGCACAAUUGCAUUGGAAGAGGUGCCCCCCUUCAAAACAACUGCAUGUUCCUUCACUACAAAGGACUCGAAGUUAGCAAGCUCCUUAAUGUCAUCCAACAAACCACUAGAGAGCUUCCCAAACGAGAUAGAGUUCACUAUCCUAGACAAUGGAGAAACAACCACCUUUACUGUCCACUCCUUUCAGAAAGAGGAAAAUUGUCUUAAAGAAAAGUUGUAGAUCUUAAAAAACCUAGCAACUUUGCUUUAAACAUCAAUCUUCCGAAUUCACGAGUAAUCUGCAGUCAAAAUUACCCUAUGACUUUUACUCGGGAAUCCCCGGGGAAAUUGGUUUUCGUCACCUUAAACCCCAGGGCUAAACUCCUCUGGUGGUUUGAAAUCUGCACAUCCAUUUCCUGCAAAAUCUCCAGUCAAUGAGCUAGCCGGCCUUAAAGCUCCAUCUGGUGAGUGAAAAGAGUGACAAGUGGUAAAGUUAUCGACAUGAAAAAUCCAAACCAUACAGAUAAUGCCUCCACACUUUGACUGCAACAACUACAACAUACAACUUCCUAUCCCGAGUGGGCAGUUCAGCUAAAUUGCGUCAAACUUGUGGCUUAUGUAGGCAAUAGGACAGCAGUCUUGCACCAAGACAGCUCCUAUACCCUCAUCACUAGCCUUGUUACUGAAAAUAUGCAUUGCACCAGAGUCAAAGAGAAAACUGAGCACUUGGCUGUGCACAACUCAUUGCACAAACAACCGUACAGCUCAGAUGAGUUGAUACAAUUCUUCUUCACUCCUUCAGAAAUAGUGACAGCAGUGUCAGCUAGAACAUGAGUAGAUACAUUCUCUCCUUGGUCCACAUUGACACCCAUGGCCUCACUAGGAUCAGAAAGAGAAAAGGACUCAUGAGCCAUAACCUCUGAACACAUAGACUCCAUAGCGUGAGCCUUAGCCUUCUAUCACAAGUGGCUUAUCACAAGAAAAUAUUUGUAGAAUAUACAUGAUUGCUUUAACCGCUCAAACGCUUCUUGACACUUUCACCCCACACCAACUUAACAUGCUUGGUGGUGUUUCGAAGAAUAUCCAUCAAAGGAGCAGCAAUCAAGGAGAAGUCCUUCACAAACCGGCAAAAAACUCCCACCAUACCAAGGAAACCCAUCCACAGUAGGGGGAACAAGCUAGUCAAUGAUUAUCUGAGUCUUUUGAGGAUCUUCCCGCACACCAUCUCGUACCACCACAUGUCCAAGAUAGGUGAUCUCCUCCAAGAAGAACUCACGCUUUGACAGUUUAGAAUACAGCUUGUUCUCCCUCAAUAGCAGCAACAUUUGCCUCACAUGCAUCUCAUGUUCCUCCUUAGUCGUAGGACAUCAUCAAAGUAGUGCCUCGCACAUGAGAUUGCAUAACUCUAUCAAAAGAACUGUUUGAUAAUAGUUAGCCUCGGCCAUCAUAUGAAGCAACAUCUUUGCUGAGUUAGAAAAGACUUCUUGAGCAUUCCAAAGCUUCAAAAUGAGAUAGUCAAAGGAUCUCAGCUAGCAAUAAGUUGUUCUAGUAUGGUUAGUCUUCUUUUUAUCGAUUCUUCUUAGUUGAUUUUGUAUUGUAUUGCCAUUUGUAGUGAUGGAACGAUGUACUCGAGUGGUGUCAAAGCUUCAAGGCCAUAAGUGAGCUUGAACGGUGUCAAAUUUGCUGAAACCUUAUAUAUGGUUCAAUAUGCCUACAAGGCAUCAUAGAUGUGAUCGUCCCAGUUUUUUUUAUUUAUUUUCACAAUUUUCAUGAUGAUGUUUUUGAGUGUCUUGUUUGUAAACUCUGCUUGACCAUUGCCUUGAGGGUAGUAUAGUGUUGAAGCCUUGUGCUUGAUAGUGAAUUCUUGAGUCAGAAUUUUGAUGGUUUCAUUGAUGAAGUGUAUUCCUUGAUCAGUGACGAGUUCUCAAGGUAAGCCAUAUCUUGUGAUGAUGUUUCUUAAAUGAUCUUUGUUGUGUUCUUUGUUGUAGUAAUCUUUAUUGGUUGAGCUUCAGCCCAUUUUAUCAUAUAGUCUAUUGCAAUUAGAAUGUAUUAGUUUUGCUUAGAGCUUGUCAUAAGUGGACCAACAAAGUCAAGUCCCCAUUAUUGAAAAGGUUCGAGUGGAGUUUUUGGAUGAAGUUCUUGAGUUUAUUUUUUUGGUGCAUACUUGAUUCAUUGAUAGAUGUCGCAUUUUUUAUAGAACUUGGCUUAGUUGUGCCAAAGUGUUUGCCACCAAAGUUUUGUUUGUAAAAUUUUUCAAGCUAUGAUUUCUUUAACAAAAUGUCCUCCUAUUUGUCCAUAGUAAGCUUCUUCAAGUAGAUCUUGUGUUUCUUCUGGGUUUGCACAUCUUCUUAAAAUGUUGUCUCUUCCUUGUUUGUACAGUUUUCUACUGAAUAUAGUCUUGUCCUCAAGACAAAUUACUUGCACUUGUCGGAGGUUGAAUAUCAACUUAGAUUGUUGCUAUUGUGAGGUAGUAGUAGAUGUUGUCCAUCUAGGUUGGUGAUGUGUGGAUUUGAAGGAUAUUGGAGUCAGGAAAGUUGUCCACGUUGUGUUUCGAUUGUUCAUCAAUUGUAAUGUGGCUUAGGUGUUCAUAUUCUCUUCCAGGCUUGUAGAUGAUCUCGAAAUUGUAUUCUUGAAGUAGUAAGAACCAUUGUGCAAUUCUGCUAGUGAGGAUUGUUUUGUUGAAAAAGUGAAGGAAGUUACAAAGUAGAUAGUAUUGAAACUUCUGGAGUGCGUAGAUCAUUGCUAGAGCUUCUUUUUUAGUUGUAGUGUAGUUCAUUUUGGCUGAGUUGAGUCUUUGAUUUGCAUAGUAGAUCAGUCAGUCUUUAUGAUCUUCUUGUUGUUGCAAAAGGAUCACUCUGAGGGCAUAGUUGGAGGUGUCGACUUGGAUGUUGAAGUCUUUAUUCCAGUUUGGUUGAGCAAGUAUUGGAGCUUGGGUGAGGGAAUUCUUAAGGUUGAUAAAGGCAUUUUGACAAUCUUGAGUCCAAUUAUAAGCUUGAUUCUUCUUAAGGAGUUCAGUGAUAGGUUUUGCAAUCUUGAUGUAGUCUUUGAUGAAUCUUCGAUGGUAUCUCAUUUUACCAAGGAAUAAUCGAAGGCUUGAAAGGUCGAAUGGAUGUUGUAUGUUGGUGAUUGUGAGGGUCUUGUCCUUGUGGAUGAGGAUUCCUUCUUUAGAAACUACAUGUCCAAGUAGAAUUCCUAAUUUGACAAAGAAAAUACACUCGUCAGGGUUCAAUGUGAUAUUGUGUUUAUGGCAUUUGAUGAAGCAUUUCUCUAAGCAUUAGAGAUGAUCUUCUUUUUUGCUAAAGACACUGAAGUCAUCCAUAAAUACUCACAUAAAUUCGGUGAGGUAUUCUCGAAAAAUGUCAGUGAUGAUCCAUUAAAACAUGAAUGGUGCAUUAAAGAGACUGAAAGGCAUGCGAAGGUAGGCGUAUGCUCCCCAUGGAUUGAUGAAAGCCAUCUUGUGUUGGCCUUCAUACGCAAUGUGUACUUGAUUGUAACUAGGUUGUAUCUUUAGGUAUUCCAAGGUUAAUUUCUUGAGCUGGUUCUUCAAGGUUGAGUAUAGGUGUAAGUCGUGAUCCUUCUUAUCGUAGACCUGGUUGUUCUUGGAGUGGAAUUUGUUGAUGCGCCAGUUUAAACUAUUCAAGUUUGAUGCUUGAAUGUUCUCAUUAUUUUUUCAUGUGUGCUGGUGUUGUCUUUUCUUUCAAAUCUUGGUGUUGGAAAUCUUCAUUUUGAAGUUGAGGAUCUUGAUUGCUUGUUUUGUUCAGGAUGAUUCGGUUGAGAUCGACUUAGAUUAGCAUUUUUAAUUCGGGGUAUGCCUUGAGAAUUUGAGCUUCUUCAUAGCUGUCGAGUCUUUCAUUCUAGUCAUAUUGUUUGAUUGUGGUUAGUUAAAAUUUUUUUGCGAUCUUCUUUAUAAUACUGGUAAAUAGUUGUGGAGCAUCUUUAUGUCCUCCAAGGGUGAUGGUAUUGUUCCUCCAGUAUGUGAUAAUGUCUAUUGUCUUGAGCCAAGUUCAUUUGAGAAGUACUUUGUAGCAGCUUUGGUCUUUCGCCAUCUUGAGUAUGAUGAAAGUUACUUUAAAUUCUUGAUCUUUAAUCUUGAUAGGAAUGUUGUGCAUGAUUCCUGAUGGUUGUACACUCCAAUUGUUAGCCAUCUUGGCAUUGAAGGGUGUAGAGUGGAUUAGUCCAAGUCCUAUUGCUUUGCAGGUUGAAUACUUGAUAAUGUUGACAUUUGCUCUGCCAUUGAUGAUUACUUAUAUAACUUUGUUCUUUUUUAUCGUGAUUGGGAUGUAUGGUACAUCUUCAUCAUAAUCGCUAGGUUGGAUGUUUGCCUUAUGGGAUGAGUUGUUGGUUUUAUUCUUGACUUGAGCUGAAGUUUUUUGGUGGAGAAGCUUGACAUAUCUUGAAAAGUUGUUUUCUCAAGUAUGAAAUUACUUAUAAAAGUUCUAGAAGGGUAAGUGUGAUACUUUGUUGAAGAAUGUUGGUGAUGAGCUUUGGUUGCUCCUCUUUUCUUAACAGAGUUUCAGUCAUAAUUUCCUGAUCAUCUUCAACUUUAGGUUGUUGUUGUUGAAAGGUUUGUUAAAUUGUGUUGAUUAGCUCCUUGCUUUGUUGCCAUUCAUGCUUUGAAAUUUUUUGCACUUCGUCUUAGAGUUCUUGUUCUUUGACUUUUCCUCAAGGUUAUCUUCAAGAGUGUAGUGUUUUUUCUGACUUCGAGUUAGAGCUCUUACCUUAGGUUCAUCUUCAAAGUGUUCAUCUUUGAUUUGGUCGAUGUUGACAUUUCUUGUGGUUGGAGGAGGUCUUCGAUGUUGCUAAUCUUACUAAGGAGGUUGAUUUCUUUGAUUUUUUUGUUGUUGGUAUUGGGGUUGGAUUUUUUGAGUUUGAGGUUGCUAUUGAUAAUUGUUGCGAAGAAAUACUCUGGGUGGUGGAUCAUAUUGUUGAUUUUGCUGUUGAUAGUUUAGUUGUUGUAGAGGUGAUCUCCAUUGUUGAUUGUUAUGGUACUAUUGUUGAUAGUUGUUUUGCCGAGAUGGUGGUUUCUAUUGUUGGUUGUCUCGAUAAGGCUGUUGAUAAGUCUAUUGGUAUGGUCACUAAUACUGAUUGUCUUGGUUGCUAUUGUUAUAUUGUCGAUAGUAUCUAAGGAUAGAAUUAUAUGUACCUUGAUUCUAGUAGUUCAGAUACCACUAUUAUGGUUCUUAUUUGGGUUGAUUGUAAUGUCUUUUAGUUGGUGUAGGAGUUCAAGGUAUGUCCUUGACUCGUGUGACUUCAGUUGCUCCUUUGUAUCGACAGAUCUUUACUAUAUCUCUUUCUUUUUUAUAGAUUUAACACUUAGGAAUCAGUAGUUUACACUUUGGUAGGAUAUGUCCUUUGUUCUUACAUUUCGUACAUCAUACUUCUUUAAGUUUGUAACUUUCUUGAGUAUUUUGGUAAAUUCUUGAUUCUUGUCUUUCUUCAUGAUUUCGAGUUUGUAUUCUUCCUUAUCAUCAGAAGAGUCAUUUGUUCUUGUUGUUUCUACUCUUAAAAAUUUUCAAAGCUAUUUCUCGAGGUUUUUAAUUUUCUUGGAAAUAUUGUCAAUAGAGGUCUUAGCAUCUAAAUUUUCUUCCGUACUUGCGAGAGCAACUAUUUGCUAGUAUAUCUUCUUCAAUCUCUGUACAUACCAAAUAUGCUUACCUUGUUCAGUGAGUAGAUCUUUGUAGUGCUUUACGUAAUAUUUGAGUCUUUGGGUAUAGCCUUGUUUGAUGCUCUUGAGAUGUUCUAGGUAUUCAGCUGUUGUGCCACUAGGUUGGUACUUCUCUUUGAAUCACUUAACUUUUUCCUAAAAUUUAAGUUUUUCAUCAAGAUUAUAAUACCAUUCUAAUACUGUCGCGAAUGUGACUUCAGGUAUCGAAAGUUACCUGUCGGCUAGUCCUUACGGACACUUUUACCUUACUGCCGCGAUGGCAGGAGGUCGGUAUUGCUGGACCCGUUAUCAGUCUCUGCCUAAGCUAGUUGAGAAACUGGUCCUCGCGUGUGCACUUGACCAGAUGAGCAUAAGGAAGGAAUUCCUAAGUGUCUAUUUAGUCAAGCAUACUUGACCUGGUUAGAGAAACUCAUUCGUUGACUUGCACUUGCUAGUGUUGGGAACCCCCACGAUAUUGAGCUUAGUCCCUCAAUAUUCGCUAGAUGAUAGCUUACCGUGUCUGCCAAACACCCUCGUUAUCAUGCCCUUUGUGUUGGUCUCAUUUCGGUCCCAAAUGCUAUUUAUGGAAAGUGUCCAGAUUUGCUCAUUUGGCAUAUCUACGGAAUGUAGAGAUCAUCCUAAACACAAUGGUGUUCGUCCCAUGUCCAAAUUCGCAAUCUAGGGACAUUCCAUAUUUAGUAAGUUUUGAGCUUGUCCCAGAGACUAACUCUUGAUACUAAGGGAGGCUUGGGGUGAAAGCCCAAAGCGUGUGUUCCUCAAGGGGGGGGGGGGGGCUGUGGGGGGUUCCAAAUGUAUAGUAGGGAUAGUGGGUAGGUCGGGCAUGGUCGACCAACCUGAGGCAUAGUCUAGCUCCCGCUUGCAUGCCUGUCCUUGUUCUGCGUCCGGCUUGGGUCUAAGCCCAAGUUCCAUUCCAUGCUAGCUGGUAGAGUACCCAUGUCCUCACAUUAGGCCACCGGUAUGCCAAAAUAGCGCCAGACUCCGUUUGGCUCCGUUUGGCUCCGUUUUGCGUGCUGGUCCUGGCAUUGGGAUGCUGGUUGCUCUAGGACUAUUCCAAGUCGCUCCGGGCUCCUAUUCCUUCGCUCCUUGGGCUGUACGCUCGGGAGUUGCUCCGUGGUUCGGUUCCAUCACUCCUUGGCUUUGUGCUUGGGAGUUUUGGCACCGUUCCUUCGUUCAGUGGCCCAAGGCCCUGAACCUUGGGUUCUUGUGGACACGUGGCAUGGACACGUGGCAUUUGUCACGUGGCACAAAGAGGGUUUAGGUUCCGCUUCGUGGUGUUAUCCUAUGGUAAAUCACCAUAGGAUAAAGGGUCAAAACCACAUGCACUACAUUUGGUAUCAGAGCAUGAGUCUCAGCGAGUACUAUUCAAUGAGAUUGGGCAACUAGUCUCGUUGCAUACGCAGAGAUGAAAACGAUGAUCCGAGUGGGUACACGUUUUGGUGCAAAGACUUCGCAAUCGUUCCUUGGGUAUGGAUUUGGUUACCGUUUUGUACCGUAUUAUAUGAGCUUGCUCUUGGGCUCAUAAGAAGGAUUGAGUUGUUCCAGUAGCACGAGUUUGCGCUUGGGCUCGUGAGUGAGGCACAUUAGCAACUCAAGGUUACACUUAGAGUUGGCAGGAUUAAUGUUAGCCUAUCAGUGGUUCCAUGAGUUGUUCCAUGUACCAUGGGUGAAAGUAAACUUUCCCUAGGUUUGCUAUGAGUGGCAAAUAGGCUGGUCCAUAGCUGUUUAGCAUGGCACUAGUGGAUCCUUCCUAUGCAUGAUUACAAGUGAGUCAAUCAAGACUAGAGAUUAGUCUAUUAGUUCAAGUAGUCAUUGCCGUGCUCUCUCAUAAACUUUUCUUGGAUUAAACUGAAGGCAGUGCGAAAGCAAGCUUGAGGUUUGGUCAAAGAUGAGACCGAAAAGAGAGUCAUCGAGGACGGAAGAUCAAAUACGUAAAUCAUCUUCUCUUCUUGGAGAGAUGAUUUGCAACGAGGUGUUAACUCAUUGCUUGUGUUCACAUCAUGCAAUCAAGAGUCCCUAUCUUGAUGCAUGUUGGAGAUGGUGGUUUUACAAUGGUGAGUUGUGGGAUGGAUAGCGGUGAAGCGCUAAACCAUUUUAUCUAAGCUUGCUAUUGGAAGACUUGGGUUGCAAUGCUCAAUUCUUUUCCGGGGAACCUUGCUACUACUCCUUGAGUAGCUUGGUGUUGGAUUAGUGUUGAGUUUGGUCGGAAAGAGAGUGGCAUGAGCUUGUCCGUGUGGUGAACAAAAGUUAGUGAUGUUGGGUGUUGUAAAUCUCUAUUGGUGGAGUGUGGCAUUUAUGUUGCAUUUUGUCGAAUCGAAUUGGCAUUUGAUACUCACAUAAACGUUUGAAGUAAUGACAUAAGCCUUACUCAUUGCGUUACUCAAUUGAUGAUCAAGUCAUUGUGAUUUCUAUAUCAUAUCCAUGUGAUAAUGAGCAAUGUGUUUACGAAGUUGCUUGGGUAAAUGAUGAUCAACCCCAAAGUGGUUGAUGGAGAAGCUAGUCUACUUGCACGAAGUAGCAUUGUAGUAGCCUUGACUGGAUUCUCAAUGGUGGUCCAUUAUGCUAAGCUUAUGUUGGUACCUUGUUUCCUUGAGGGUUUGCCCAUAAGGUGUUGGGAAUGGGUUGUAGCAUUCAUUUGCUAUAGCUCAUCUGUUGAUCCGUUAGCACUUGGAGUAGAUUAUUGGAUGGAGAAGGUGUGAGGUGGAUGCAUUGACAUCGUUAGCACUUGUGUUAGUGGAAGUGGCAUUGUUGAUUCGAGUGAUGAGGAAUUUUCCUUAGAGCUUGAUUUUCCAUGUCAUUUUUCUUGUUAGUGUUUUGGCUUCACAUUGGAUCUUGAAGGUGGUUGAAGAAGAGUGUUAGUGCAAUGUGGAUAUCCGAAGAUGUGGUCUUCGUGAUCAAGCCUUGGAUGUUCAUUUUGCACUUUGCGGAUGUCGGUGUUGGAUAUCGGUUAGAUGGGUAGAGAUGUUCGAGGCUUAAGCAUACUAUGGGUCAUGAGAAUUUGUGUUGAGGUGAACCUAUGUGAAGUUGUUAGUAGGAGGAAAUUGGUUGAGUCUUGAAAGUUUGUAUUCCUAGACUGAGAGUCAUUCUUUCUCUAGGAUGGAAAGUUUUCCACAAAUUUUCUUAGGCUUUUUCAAUGGCUGAUCUAUUGAUCAUUUUGUCCGGAAACCAUUCCAUUUCCGAAAGCCAGUACAAUCUAGUGAAGGGGUUGGAGUUGACUUCGGUUAGCUUAGAUCUUAGUAGGUAGUUUGUAUGAUGCGACCCGAAAAGGGUUCUAACUUUUGGGGCUAAAGCAAUUGAGUUGGAUAGAGUCUGGAGUUGGUGUAAAAAAAGUGGCUGUUGCGCUUUUCUAAGAAAGGUGACCCUUGUGCCUUUCUUUUGUAGCAUUGUGCUUGGUGGCAAGUUGAACCUUGCAUUACGUUAGACUCUAUGAGAGUAGUGAGCUCUCACUGAUCUUGACUUGGUCUUGGUAGCCCUGCACCUUGGCUGAGGAUGGUGAUGUUCAACUUAGUUGUUUGAGGUUGAGAUGUUGGUACCUAUACUAUAGCUUUGUCUAUGAGGAGGUUGUGUACCGAUAUGAGUCCAUCUUAUGGUCUUCACUUUAGUUUCGACUGAGUGUUGAUUGCAUAGCUAGCCUCUUCAAAGCAUGCUCAGAGCUAGUGGCUAAAUGUUUUAGUGAGCUUAUUGCGGUUGAGUUGGAUUUGAGUGGGCAUUUAGUUUGUGCUUGUCUAUGAACUUUUAUCUUGUACCUGGGGUAUCACGUUCAUAUUGGGCAAGUAUAUAACUUGAUGACAAGAGUUGGUGUUUGGGUCUUGUGAAGGCAAGUUGAGGAGUGAUUAUUAGUUGCUUUGUGACUAGUGAUUACUUGUAGACUUCGUCAAGGACUGUUGACACUUGCUUUGCUCGAUGAUGAUUUAGCAGUGAUGGGCUUGCUUUACCAGAUGGUGUUGCGGAGGAUCGUGUCAUUAGGCUGGCAUGGUUUUUCCAUGUUGGCAUGUCAAUUCCUUUGUCGAUAUCAUUUGGUUACGUUUGGUCUAUAGUGCUGGAUUUCAUUGAGUCUUGGAUGUGGUGAUUCACUCCUUGAUGAUGUGUUAUCUGUCACUGAGUUUUGCUAAAGGAUUAGUCUCGGAUACUAAGUAUAGUAUUUUCGACUUUGGUUAGCUUGGUUGCUGGAAAGCUUCGAGUGGUGAUUCACUCUUGCUUUCUUCUAGCUUUGUCCUGGUGUUGAUGGCAUUGAAGUGAUGCCUUGUCAUUGAUAUUGUUGAUAUUGAGACUUGAGUGAAAUGAAAUAUCUUUCCUUAGGAUUGAUAUUGAGUUUCAUUAGUCUUGAUGAAAAGUGUUGAUGAUUUGGCUUUAGCUUUGUGUUGUUGGUAUUCAUGCAUUUGCUAGUUAGCAACUGUGUUGACGUUCAAAUGAACUGAGUGGUAAGUUGAGUUAGUUGUGUUCUCGAUGAGUUUGUUUAGUAAGGGUUGAGCUUUAAGCUUGUCCUUGAAAAGUGAUUCAGUCGUGGACUAUGCUAACUCUACAAGCGAAAGAGUUAGUGAUCAAUAUUGGAAAGUUUGAAUCCUUAUUGGGUUUGAAUUCGAAUAUAUUGAUCAUUGAUGAUUUGCCUUGUACUUGUUAUGACGUGAGUUACGUCUUGCUGUAGAUGGAUUCAUGGAAGAUCGUUUGAUGAUCACUUGUUAAGCAUAGCUUCAUUGUGCUUAGCUUUUGGAUUGAUGCAGAAAUGCUCUUCAUUAGCUUUGGCAUUAUGAAGUUUGGCUUAUAGAUGUGUUGAAGAAGACAUUGUGGGUUGCACCAUGAUUUCUUCUUUAGCAUCGAAGUUAGCUUCUAUGAGACUUGUGAUCAUUAUUAAGCAAGACUUGGCUAUAGGCUUCUUCGAGCUUUGGUUCUUUGAGUUUUAUGCUCAUUGUUCCAUUUGUUAGAAGUUGUUGGGGAAGGCAUUUUGGCUCAUUAGCUUCGAUGUUGAAGUUAGUAUUUGCAUCUAGCAAUCAUUGGUGAUGAUUGACUAUCAUCUAGGAUAAUUGAUUAUCCAUGUCAAAAAGUUUUGCUUAAUUAUUGUUGGUAUAGAAUGGUUUGCCGUUCUUCGGGAUGGUGGAUUCCUUCUUAGACGAUGAUUAUGCAUCUCUUUAUUGAUGGAAUGAUUGAUGAUCUUUCAUGAUGGUUAGUUGUUCUCUUUGAUAGCUUAUGGCUUUUCGCAAUACCAUAUAUUAUUUUUGGUUUGCUCUAGAUUGGUCUCUUGGGUUUGAGACAUCAGUAGGAUGUUAUUAACACUUGCUUAGGCAACUUGAGUUCCUUGGUAUUGUUGGCUGGGAUCUAUUCAGAUUGGCUUUUGUGAUAGUUGGCAGGCAUGAGUGUUUGUUGGUCUUACCACAUUCAUUCUCUUCUGUUGAUUGUUGCUCGAGUUAGUUUUGAUAGAUUUGGAUGUUAUUUCCUUUGGGUGAUACAUUCGUGAGCAUUGUGCUUGUUAGUCAAUGAUACUUUGUGUUCUUUGAGUUCUCUCUAGUAAGUUGUUGGCUUACUGUCUACUCUCUUCGGUAGUUAAGUUUCAUCAUUGAGUUUCCUUGAUGAUAUACUAACUAUUGAAUUUUGUUGGAUGGUCAUUCCUAUGUUUGCCAAAUUAUGAUGAUCUUGGUGGUUCCUAUCUACAAUACUACUGGUUUAUCGGAUGAUAACUUGCUUAGAAUACUUUUGUGUUCUACUCUAAGAUAUAAUCACUAGUAAUUAAGCUUCUCAGAUAUCAUUGUCUCUGACUUUGAUAUUGUCCAUCUAUUGCUCUUUGAGUUUGGGCUAGUAUAGGCAGACUGGCUUCAGCACUUCGUGUGCAUGUUGAAAUCUCUAGUCAUGGGAUAGCUACUAUCGACUGGUCACAUCACCCGCCUCUCUGUCGAUGUUCCUUAUUCCGUGAAAGGGCGUGACCGUGUAAACAACUCUAACUGCCUGUUGAUAGUAGUCUAUCUAAACCUUACUGACGGGUUUGGUUUCUUUGCUCAGGAGGGUUGGGGCCUCUGGCUUCUCUCUCUAUGUCCCUGCGGGCAGGGCAUAUCACACUUUUGUAAGCUGGGUGACUCCCAGAGCAGCAGGGGUGGCUGACUCCGUUGGUCAUUUCCUUGUCAGUGACGGCCGGAAGGUGUCUGAGCUAGUAGCGCAUCCGCGUUAGACAAAGAGGUUCCCCCUAACUCAUUUAAGUUGGUGCAUUUCUCACAUAGUGUGAGUACCGUGAACUUUUUAUGGAGUUGUUUCCUUGGCGGUAUUCUAGACUGGAGUAUGCAUCGACGAGGACGUCGAUCUUCCCAAGGGGGGGAGAGUGUCGCGAAUGUGACUUCGGGUAUCGAAAGUUACCUGUCAGCUAGUCCUUACGGACACUUUUACCUUACUGCCGCGAUGGCAGGAGGUCGGUAUUGCUGGACCCGUUAUCAGUCUCCGCCUAAGCUAGUUGAGAAACUGGUCCUCGCGUGUGCACUUGACCAGAUGAGCAUAAGGAAGGAAUUCCUAAGUGUCUAUUUAGUCAAGCAUACUUGACCUGGUUAGAGAAACUCAUUCGUUGACUUGCACUUGCUAGUGUUGGGAACCCCCACGAUAUUGAGCUUAGUCCCUCAAUAUUCGCUAGAUGAUAGCUUACCGUGUCUGCCAAACACCCUCGCUAUCAUGCCCUUUGUGUUGGUCUCAUUUCGGUCCCAAAUGCUAUUUAUGGAAAGUGUCCAGAUUUGCUCAUUUGGCAUAUCUACGGAAUGUAGAGAUUGUCCUAAACACAAUGGUGUUCGUCCCAUGUCCAAAUUCGCAAUCUAGGGACAUUCCAUAUUUAGUAAGUUUCGAGCUUGUCCCAGAGACUAACUCCUGAUACUAAGGGAGGCUUGGGGUGAAAGCCCAAAGCGUGUGUUCCUCAAGGGGGGGGGGGGGGGGGGGGGGCUGUGGGGGGUUCCAAAUGUAUAGUAGGGAUAGUGGGUAGGUCGGGCAUGGUCGACCAACUUGAGGCAUAGUCUAGCUCCCACUUGCCUGCUUGUCCUUGUUCUGCGUCCGGCUUGGGUCUAAGCCCAAGUUCCAUUCCAUGCUAGCUGGUGGAGUACCCAUGUCCUCAUGUUAGGCCACCGGUAUGCCAAAAUAGUGCCAGACUCCGUUUGGCUCCGUUUUGCGUGUUGGUCCUGGCAUUGGGAUGCUGGUUGCUCUAGGACUGUUCCAAGUCGCUCCGGGCUCCUGUUCCUUCGCUCCUUGGGCUGUACGCUCGGGAGUUGCUCCGUGGUUCGGUUCCGUCACUCCUUGGCUUCGUGCUUGGGAGUUUUGGCACCGUUCCUUCGUUCAGUGGCCCAAGGCCCUGAACCUUGGGUUCCUGUGGACAUGUGGCAUGGACACGUGGCAUCUGUCACGUGGCACAAAGAGGGUUUAGGUUCCGCUUCGUGGUGUUAUCCUAUGGUAAAUCACCAUAGGAUAAAGGGUCAAAACCACGUGCGCUACAAAUACUUUUCUUUUAAGUGUGAAAGAAAAUAGAAGUUCUUUGUUGUCUUUUUGCUAAUUGGCUUAUAUAAUUUGGUUGAAUUGCUAGAAAUGUCUUUCUGCAUCUUCAGAUUUACUACCGGUGAAGAUUGGAUAUGUAAUCAUGACGCUAUAGGGUGUUGCUAGGUUUAUGAGCGCCAUUUUUCAAUUGUUGGUGAUGGUUCAGUUUUUGGAGAAGCUAGAUAAAAUUAAAAGUUAUCGGUGUUGUAAUCUUCGUAAUCAGGAGUUUCGACUGGUGGUAAAUAUUGAUCUAAGUCUAAAUUUUAGUUAAUUGUAUCUUCCUCGGCAUUGGUUGUGUUGAUGUUGCUUGGUUUGCAACUUGUGUGGUAGAUGGUAUACUAUUACCAAAUAGAGUUUGGGAUAGUUUCCAUCGAACUAGACUACCUAUUUCCAACUUACUUGAAACAUCAAUAAAAGAAGAGAUUGAGAUUCCACUAUAAUCCCACCCAUCUUGAGAGUCUACAACAAUAACUAGUCCCUUAGCCACAAUUGCAUGUAUAGCAUCCACUAUCUUCACAAAAACUUUAUACCAUAUACUACAAGCAUUUAUAUUUAUAGGAGAAUAACCAGAAUUAGGGAUAUUCUUUCCUUUGGAAAUAUUUUUACUCUCUAUCUUCUAUGGAAUAACAUAUUCAUCAUUAUUCCUUUAUGUUUUAAUUGUACUUCCCUAAGAGAUUUUGGUAGGAAAUAUCUCUAUUGGAGAUAUCAAUUGAUUCUACUUCUAUAUAGAAAACCCACUAAUAUCCAACUCACCUAUAAAGAGGAGUAAUUCGAGUUAAACACCUUAAUAGUGCAAAGCAAAACACAUCUAACUCUUAAAGAAGCACAGUGACAAAUGUAAGUAGCAUCUAAAGAUUACAUUCUUCCCUUUGCAAUUGAUCCUUUAUUAUCCCAAACAAUCUCUAUUACAUCUCCUUUUAACAACUUGAGAAAAACAAAGAAAAUUACAAAUAUCAAAACACAAAUAGAAGGAAAAAAGUACAAAAAAAGAUAAGCAAAUAGGAAAUUAAAAAAAAGAGCUCCUUUUGUGAAUAUGAGAAAACAAAACAUGAAAAUAUGUAGCAAAAAUAAUAAAAAAUGCAUAAAAUAAGCACACACAAAGUCAAAGAAUUUCUAGCAUGCACUUGUAUGCUAAAGACUCAAUUUAAUGUAUUAAUGAAAGAAUAUAAACUCACAAUAAACCAAAGUCAAAUUAAGAGAGAAACAGAUUGGUAAGUGCAAGUUUGUAAAAUGACCAGAGAAAUGGUGGUUACUGAACAAGUAUGGUCUCACACUCAUUCUUAAAAAAUGUAAGGAUUUCUAAAACUUUCUCUCUCAUGGUCUCUUGUGUUUUUUAAGCUAGAGUGUGGGCUCAUGCCUAGCCAAACGUCUCCAAAGAAGCUUGAGAUUUCUUGGCAUGCACUUGUACACCUAUAGACCAGUUUUGGAUGACUCUCUCUUGUAAAUUUUUGUUCUUUUGUUUUGAGAUUUCUAGGCAUGCACUCUUAUGCCUAUAGACAAGUAUGGGAUGACUCUCUUGUAAAUACACUACACUAUCAUAUAGUCUCACGCCAAGCAAUACUAAAAUACGAAUGUAUAUUCUUUAUAAUAAUGGAAACCAUAUGUUUUGAGGAAAGAAAAACUUACCAUGGCCAUAAACAAGCCAAAACAGUGUGGGAGAGAUAUGUGCUUAGGAUGUGCUAGAGAGGAAGGAAAAAUGCCUCCUAAGAUAAGUAGUGGCGAACCCUAGAGAACCCAAAUAAUAAAACCUAGGCUAAGAGGGGGAAAAUUUGAAAUGCAAGCUUGACAAAGAAUUUGAAAUGCAAGGGUAGUGUUAUGAUACUAAUAUCUUGUAUCAGUUUUUGUUUGAAUUUAGGCAGGAUUAUUAAAUAAUGUAGUACAGAUAUUUAAUGUUGUCAUAUAGUUCAAGAAGAGACUCCAUAAAAAGGUUUUUCAAAAAAUGAGAUAACUAGAAAUUUUUUUCAUAUUUAUCGAAAUUUUGUUUACAAGAUUAUAUAAUGAGAAUCAUGGCUUGAAAUUUAUUAUUGAAGACUAUAUGUUGCAUAUGUUGUAGUUUAUUACUCUAUUUUAUUCUAUUUAUAUUCUAUGUUAUAUUUUACCAUUUUCAUUUUAAAUUUUAUUGUUUUAUAUUCCUGAAUUAUAUUGUUUGAUCCAUUUUAUUUAUCUUUGCUUCGCUCGUGGCUCCAAAGAAUCACCCCAGCCAAAAAAUAUUCCUCCUUCCACGACUACUACUUCGCUACACUGCUCUACCAAAAUCCACCCAGCAACAGUCACUACUACCUGUGGAGUGUGAUUUACAAUUCCACGUCUUGCAAGUCAUCUCCAAACACUCCGGAGGAACUGGCAGCUUUGAAUCCCACUGUGCUGGACUGUUGAUGGUGGUGCCGAUGAAUUGAACUUUCCUGGUGUUGGUUUUGCUGCUGCUGCUCGACCAUCACUGGCGGAGUGACUUCCAGAGCUGGAGGUGGCGGCAACGAGACGGUCAACGGUGCUGCUAGAUAGUGAUUCGAAUAGAACAUUGCUGGCAAAGAGCUGCUCGAGAGAUGAUCAGGCGUUGGCCCCGGAUCGUUUCUCAUAUCCUGUACAACCGGCUGAGCGAAUGCUGCUGUUGCAAGCGGUCCAUUUCCGUUUGAGAAUGCCGUGUCGGGGACAAAGGCCGGUGCCAAGGAAGGAUCCACCGAAUGGUUGCUGUUGAUAUCUGGAGCAGAGGCAGCAGCGGCCGCAGGCACGAAAAAUCUCGCUGGAGCCAAAGGCUUUGCGCUUGCCUUUGGCACCACGCCAAACAGUGGAGGAGAGUCCAAUGAUGUCUUGGAUGGUGUUACGCUACCUUUGCUGAAUGUAUCGACAUAUCUGCAAAAACUUCGUGAGACUGGAGUGAUGGGAAUGACCAAAACGGUACCUUGAUCUAACAUUUUGAUGUGCGCGAGCUGCGUACUGGUUACUACUUGGAGGCAUUGGUGGGAUUCCACUCACAACCGGUUGCAGCCUUUCCGGAGUUGGCUGUGGUCUCUCCGGCAACAUGGAAAUAGGAGCGCCGUUCUCCUCCACACGUGAGACGAGCCUGUUUGCCGUGGGAGGAGGAGCCAACAGAAGCUCUGGCGCUUGUGCCUCGGCUCCUUCUUCAACCCAGCGCUUCAGUGUCUCGUCGUAUCUAAACUUGUUGCUGUCGCCAAGCUUUGCCUGCAUCACGUACCAACCAUCAAUCAGCUAGCGCUCUUUCCAAAGCUUCUACAAACCUCCUUCGAAGGUGUUUUUAUGAAGCCCAUCGCUCUUUGCACGAAAGAAGUAAAGACGCCUCUGUUUGGCAUUCCUUUCGCUGGACUAACAUCUGAUGAAGGAAUACAAGUCUUAAUCGAAGGUACACAAGAGCAAGUCGAGUUACCUGUGCAGGCCUAAAGUCAGGCUCAGAAAUGCUUCUCACUGGCAUGUUGGAUCUUCUUGUAUUAUCCUUAUGGGUUCCAUUGAUGCCGACGAGGCAAGUGACACACUGCUUCUGCUUGCAGGACGGUUACUAAUAUCAAGCUUUUGGGGAAGAAGGGCCUAUCAUCUUGUGUAGACCAAUAUUGCCAAAAAACCGUUGCACAAUUGACGUCGAGCCUCCCUGGAUUUCUUUGCACACAUCAGCUGCAUGGCCCACUGUUUUCAAUGUUUUCAACACCGCUUGGCAAUACCUUCGAAGAGAAACCUUGUGUUAACGAAGGAUACAGUUAAAAAUCACUACCAACCUUAAAGCUUCGUUUAUCUUUCCAGCUUCAGCAAGCAUCGAUGCAUAAAUAAGCUUGUAUGGCUGAAAAGGAAGUAAAAUAAACUGGGAAUUGCCGGUCACUCUUGCAAAUUCGUACACUUCCAUUCGCUGAUGAAGAAAAGGUUAACAUGUUAUUGAGGACAAACACGGCUUACCUGGAUAGCUUCUGGACUAGCGUACGUGCGUGGAUACUUACAAUGGUCGGCACCUAUAAGACAAAGUCUGGCAGAGAUAGCAAAUAUGGGCUCCACAUAUCUGCAAGAUAAAACUAUGAGAAACAUCAACGUGUGACCAUGUAUAUACCUCAUCUCGAUGUCUCCAGAGACAAUCACCAAGAUGCAUAAUCACUCUCUCGUCCCCAUUAAUUCGGUUAGCUGCCAUUAUAGCCAGGUUUUCCUGCCAUUCUUCGAGCAUUCCUUCUACUGCGUCCUGCAAGUCAACAUGCACUCCUUAAGCAAGAGAGUAGCUUGAUAAAAGUAUUUCACCUGUGUUGCACCAUCUACAGCGGACGCUGGAACCGGUUGAGGUUGAAGCGCUGUUACGUUCGACGAAUUAGUGUUCCCUACGAACACUCCAGCAUGUUGACCAGCAUAAAGAAGAGUUAGAGUCCGGAGGGUUGAAACUGACGUUGAGCCAUCUCCACUAUAGUGUGUAGAACUAUUAAAAACCACAAGACCAUCACUAACGGUCUCUACAAGACUAGGUACCUUCUCUCCCAGCUGCCGGGCCAUAAGAAGAGCACAUCCCCAAAGUUGCCCGUCUUGGGCAGCCCGUAAAGCCUCUUUCUGCUUUCCGGGAAUCAGUGGCCUUUUCACCUCAAAUGCAGUUGCCUGUCGCCAGAAAGUCUUCGUUUGUAUCAACUCAAGAGAAAAAGACUGCCCAACCUGCAUUUGCUGUUCGGUUGGAGUUGUCUGUAGACAGGGAGAGCCAAAAGCCCAUGACUCUACAUCACGCUCCUCCUACAAAGCCUCGGCUUCUUCCAGAUGCCCUUUCCUCCUAGAGGAGCCAAAAGCUCCUCUAGUAGAUGGCUAUGCCACGGCUAAGGCGAGCCAAGGUAGUGCUAGCCAUGGCUGAGACCUUGUGCCACCAUCGCUGUGCUUGCUAUGGGCCAUUGGUGGUGUAACUUUGGCCCUAGCUGUAUGGUUAUAGAUACCACAGCCAAGGACAACAUCAGGUUGCCAGUGGUUGUGGUAAGCUUGGCAAAACAUUAUCUUUUAUGUUGAGAAAGGACCAAUUCGCACAUUUAUUUAGUAAAAAAGAACUUAAGCGACCCACUUUAAAAAUUAAGAAAGUUGGGUUCGCACAUUGAAAAAAUUUGUGUUGCAAAGUAAACUUAUAAGGACUUUUGCAUUCGCACAUGUCUUAGAUUUACAUGGUCACACGUUGAUGUUUCUCAUAGUUUUAACUUGCAGAUAUGUGGAGCCCAUAUUUGCUAUCUUGUUGCAUUUUGAGCCUUUCUCCCCUUCUGCCAGACUUUGUCUUAUACCAUUGUAAGUAUCCACGCACGUACGCUUGUCCAGAAGCUAUCCAGGUAAGCCGUGUUUGUCCUAACAACUGUUAACCUUUUCUUCAUCAGCAAAUGGAAGUGUACGAAUUUGCAAGAGUGACCGGCAAUUCCCAGUUUGUUUUACUUCCUUUUCAGCCAUACAAGCUUAUUUAUGCGUUGAUGCUUGCUGAAGCUGGAAAGAUAAACGAAGCUUUAAGGUUGGUAGUGAUUUUUAACUGUAUGCUUCGUUAACACAAGGUUUCUCUUCGAAGGUAUUGCCAAGUGAUGUUGAAAACAUUGAAAACAGCGGGCCAUGCAGCUGAUGUGUGCAAAGAAGCGGCUGUAGCCUUGGAAGAGCAUCUUCGUAUCCACUCUCAGGUUUGUAAGCGAACACUUGCCUUUUAUACUCACUUUUCUGUUGCUCAACGUCAAUUGUGCAAUGGUUUUUUGGCAAUAUUGGUCUACAUAAGAUGAUAGGUCCUUUGCCCCUGAAAGCUUCCGAUAAUGCUGAUAUUAAUAACCGCCCCACAACAGCUUCUAGCAGAAGCAGUGUAUCACUUGCCUUGUCAGCAUCAAUGGAACCCAUAAGUGAUAAUACGAGAAGACCCAACAUGCCAGCGAGAAGCAUUUCUGAGCCUGACUUUAGGCCUGCACAGGUAACUCGACUUGCUCUUGUGUACCUUCGAUUAAGACUUGUAUUCUUUCAUCAGAUCGUUAGUCCAGUGAAAGGAAUGCCAAACAGAGGCGUCUUUACUUCUUUCGUGCAAAGAGUGAUGGGCUUCAUAAAAACACCUUCGAAGAAGGUUUGUAGAAGCUUUGGAAAGAGCGCUAGCUGAUUGAUGGUUGGUACAUGAUGCAGGCAAAGCUUGGCGACAGCAACAAGUUUAGAUACGACGAGACACUGAAGUGCUGGGUUGAAGAAGGAGCCGAGGCACAAGCGCCAGAGCUUCUGUUGGCUCGUCCUCCCACGGCAAACAGGCUCGUCUCGCGUGUGGAGGAGAACGGCACUCCUAUUUCCAUGUCGCCGGAGAGACCACAGCUAACUCCGGAAAGGCCGCAACCGGUUGUGAGUGGAAUCCCACCAGUGCCUCCGAGCAGUAACCAGUACGCAGCUCACACACGUCAAAACGUUAGAUCAAGGUACCGUUUUGGUCAUUCCCACCAAUCUCACGAGGUUUUUGCAGAUAUGUCGAUACAUUCAACAAAGGUAGCGUAACACCAUCCAAGACAUCAUCAGACUCUCCUUCACUGUUUGGCGUGGUGCCAAAGGCAAGCGCAAAGCCUUUGGCUCCAGCGAGAUUUUUCGUGCCUGCGGCCACUGCUGCCGCUGCUUCAGAUAUCAACAGCAACCAUUCGGUGGAUCCUUCCUCAGCACCGGCCUUUGUCCCCGACACAGCAUUCUCAAACGGGAAUGGACCGUUUGCAGCAGCAGCAUUCGCUCAGCUGGUUGUACAGGAUAUGAGAAACGAUCCGGGGCCAAUGCUUGAUCAUCUCUCGAGUGGCUCUUCACCAGCAAUGUUCUAUUCGAAUCACUAUCCAGCAGCACCGUCGACCGUCUCGUUGCCACCACCUCCAGCUCUGGAAGUCACUCCGCCAGUGAUGGUCGAGCAGCAGCAGCAAAACCAACACCAGGAAAGUUCGAUUCAUUGGCACCACAAUCAACAGUCCGGCACAGUGGGAUUCGAAGCUGCCAGUUCCUCCAGAGUGUUUGGAGACGACUUGCAAGAGGUGGAAUUGUAAAUCACACUCCACAAGUAAGUAGUAGUGACUGUUGCUGGGUGGAUUUUGGUAGAGCAGUGUAGCGAAGUAGUAGUCGUGGAAGGAGGAAUAUUUUUUGGCUGGGGUGAUUCUUUGGAGCCACGAGCGAAGCAAGGAAGCAAGAUAAAUAAAAUGGAUCAAACAAUAUAAUUCAGGAAUUAAAUUCUAUAAAAAAAUAAAAAUUUAAAAUGAAAAUGGUAAAAUAUAACAUAGAAUAUAAAUAGAAUAAAAUAGAGUAAUAAACUACAACAUAUGCAACAUAUAGUCUUCAAUAAUAAAUUUCAAGCCAUGAUUCUCAUUAUAUAAUCUUGUAAACAAAAUUUCAAUAAAUAUGAAAAAAAUUUCUUGGCAUAUAGGGCAGGAAUGGACAUAACCCGCUACAUCACCUUCCAUACCAGACCAGAAAAAUCCCUUUUUCAAUGAAGCCAGAGCAACUUUGUAAACACAUCACUCAUUAUCACAUGAAUAUGAUAUAAAUAUCACAAUGAUUUAAUUAUCAAUUGAGUAACACUAGGAACAACAACCAUGUCACCCAUGCUUAGGAUGUGCUAGAGAGGAAGGAAAAAUGCCUCAUAAAAUAUGAUCCAUAAACCAGUAGUGGCAAACCCUAGAAAUCCCAAUUAAUAAUAAUACCUAAUAAAAAACCAUAAGGCUAAGAGGGGGAAAUUUGAAAUGCAAGCUUGACAAAGAAUUUGAAAUGCAAGGGUAGUGUUAUAAUACUAAUAGCUUGUAUCAAUUUUGUUUGAAUUUAGGUAGGAUUAUUAAAUAAUGUAGUAUAGAUAUUUAAUGUUGUCAUAUAGUUCAAGAAGAGACUCUAUAAAAAGAUUUUUCAAAACAUGAGAUAAAAAGCUUAAGUUUUAGGAAAAAGUUAAUCGAUUCAAAGUGAAGUACCAACCUGGUUGCACAAUAGCUGAAUACCUAGAACAUCUCAAGAGCAUCAAACAAGGUAGUAAAGAAAAUAUCAAAGACUAUACUUGAAGAUUCAAAUAUCAUGCAAAGUGCUAUAAAGAUCUACUCACUGAACAAGGUAAGUAUAUUUGGUAUGUAUAGGGAUUGAAGAAGAUAUACCAAUAAAUGAUUGCUCUCGCAUGUACGGAAGAAGAUCUAAAUGCCGAGACCUCUAUUGACAAUAUUUCCAAGAAAAUCAAGAACCCCGAGAAACAGUUUUGAAAAUUUUUAAGAGUAGAAACAACAAGAACAAAUGACUCUUCUGAUGAUAAGGAAGAAUACAAACUCGAAGUUAUGAAGAAAGACAAGAAUAAAAAAUUUAUCAAAAUACUCAAGAAAGUUACAAUCAAGAAUAAACUUAAAGAAGGAAUAUGGUGUAUGAAAUGUAAAAACAAAGGACACAUCCUAACAAAGUGUAACUACUGAUUCCUAAGUGUUAAAUCUAUGAAAAAGAAAAAUAUAUAGCAAUGAUCUGUCGAUACAAAAGAGUAACUGAAGUCACACGAGUCGAGAACAUACCCUUAACUCCUACACCAACUAGAAAACAUUACAAUCAACCCAAACAAGAACCACAACAGUGGUAACUGAACUACCAAAAUCAAGGUACAUAUAAUCCUAACUCUAGAUACCAUCAACAAUACAACAAUGGCAACCAAGACAAUCAGUAUCAACAACCAUACCAACAGGCUUAUCAACAGCUUUAUCGAGACAACUAACAAUGGAGACCACCACCCCAGAAAAACAACUAUCAACAAUAGUACCACAACAAUCGACAAUAGAGACCAUCUCUGCAAUAACUAAACUAUCAAUAGCAAAAUCAACAAUAUGAUCCACCACCCAGAGUAUUUCCUCGUAACAACUAUUAAUAACAACCUUAAACUCAAAAAAUCCAACCCCAAUACUAACAAUAACAAAAUCAAGAAAAUCAACCUCCUCAGCAAGAUCAACAACAUUGAAGACCUCCUCCAACAAUAAGAAAUGUCAACAUUGACUAAAUUGAAGAUGAACACUUUGAAGAUGAACUUGAGGUAAAAGCUCUAACUCGAAGCUGGAAAAAACACUACACUCCUAAAUAUAACCUUGAGGAAAAGUCAAAGAACAAGAAUUCCAAGACAAAGUGCAAGAAAUCUCAAGGCACAAAUAGCAACAAAACAAGGAGUUAGUCAACACAAUUCAGCAAACCCUUCAACAACAACAACUUGAAGUUGAAAAUGAUUAGGAAAUUGUGACUAAAACUCUGUCAAAAAAGAGGAACAACCAAAGUCUAUCACCAACAUUCUUCAACAAGGUAUCACACUCACCCUUCUAAAACUUUCACAUGUAGUUUCAUACUUGAGAAAACAACUUCUCAAGAUAUAUCAAGUUUCUCCACCAAAAAACUUUAGCUCAAGUCAAGAAAAAAAUUAACAACUCAUCCUAUAAAGAAAACAUCCAACCUAGUGAUUAUGAUGAAGAUGUACCAUGCAUCCCAAUCAGGAUAAGAAAGAACAAAGUUAUAUAAAUAAUCAUCAACAGUAGAGAAAAUAUCAACAUUAUCAAGUAUUCAACUUACAAAGCAAUGGAACUUGGACCAAUCCACUUUACACCCUUCAACAUCAAGAUGGCCGACGAUUGAAAUGUACAACCAUUAGGAAUCGUGCACAACAUUCCUAUCAAGAUUAAAGAUCAAGAAUUUAAGAUAACUUUCAUCGUACUAAAGAUGGCAAAAGACCAAAGCUGCUACAAAGUACUCCUCAAAUGAACUUGGCUCAAGACAAUAGACAUUAUCACAUAUUAGAGGAAUAAUACCAUCACCCUUGGAGGACAUAAAGAUGCUCCACAACUAUCUACCAAUAUUGUAAAGAAGAUCAUAAAGAAAUUUUAACUAACCACAAUCAAACAAUAUGACUAUAAUGAAGGACUCGACAGCUAUGAAGAAGCUCAAAUUCUUAAGGCAUACCCUAAAUUAAAAAUACUAAUCUAAGUCGAUCUCAACCGAAUCUAAAGAAAAAAAGCAAUCAAGAUCCUCAACUUCAAAAUGAAGAUUUCCAACACCAAGAUUUGAAAGAAAAGACAACACCAGCACACAUGAAAAAACAAUGAGAACAUUCAAGCAUCAAACUUGAAUCAGCCUACCGAAUGAAUCCCAACAUACAAACCAAAGUCAAGGAAGAGCUUAACAAACUCAAAAAUGUUAGCUUCAUCUUCCCAAUUCAAAAUCAAAAAUGGCUAUCACCACUAGUUAUUGUCCCCAAGAAAAACAGCUUGUUGACUUCAACUCCUUUGUAGUGAAGGCAUGUGCAGUUGUUUUGAAGGGGGACGCCUCUUCCAAUGCAAUUGUGCUUCCUUUGAUGUACAAGAUGGUUUCCUAGUCAAGAGGAAUCGGGCUAUGGUUCCUAGAGAUGAUGUUCGUUUACAGUGGAUUCUGUAAGAGUGUCCAUUGCACCAAGUGCAAGACAUCGAGGACGUGCGUUCUGGUAGAGAUGCAUUUAUUUUGGCCUGGAAUGAAGUCAGGUGUUGAUAAGUAUGUGCACAGUUGUUAGACCGGCCAGGCAGUCACAAUGGAUUGUGAGAAGCAUGAAGGUCUCUACCAUAGUUAACCUCAACAGAAGUGGGAUAGCAUUUUCUAUGAGUUUCAUAGUAGGUGUUUCAAGGCAAUGAUGCUAUCUGGGUUGUUGUGGAUUGUGUGAUGAUGUGAGCUCACUUCUUCCUUGUGAAGACGAAUGCUAAGGCUUUUGACCUUGCUCAGCUGUAUUUCUCUAUGGGUUGCCUAAGGAUGUUGUAAGUGAUCGGGAUCCCACGUUCACUUUGGAGUUUUGGCAGACAGUGUUCCAGAAGCUUGAGACAAAGCUGAGCAUGAGCAUCCACAGUCAGAUGGACAAACAAAACAAGUUAAUUAGGAGCUGGAAGACAUGCUAAGAUCGUUUGUUGGUCAUCUGAAGAGGCAAGGUAUUUGGGAGAAGUACCUGCCUUUGUUAGAGUUUGCCUAUAACUGUGCCUUCCAUUUGGCUAUUGAGAUGGCUCCGUUUAUGGCAAUGUAUGGCUUUCAACCUCGGUCCCCUGUUGGUAAAAACUUGGCUUCUCUUAAGGUGCACCAGGCAAAGGAGUUGGCUGAUGAGCAUCGUCAGCACAAGCAGUUUCAGGUUGGAGACAAGGUUUUCCUUCGGUUGUCUGAAGCUCAAUGAGCUCUUCAAGGUGGAGGUAGUUCUAAGUUGUCGCCACAGUACUGUGGGCUUUGGAUUAUUCUCAAACGAGUUGGAGACCUUGCCUAUUGUGAAGAUUCAUCCCGUCUUCUAUGUAGGAAGUUGAAGGCGUGUUUGCAUUCUGGUAAUAUCUUGGACCAGUCUGCAAUCAAGAUUCCAGAGAUAGAUGUUUGAAGGUUGGCCCUACUUGUGUGUUAUAGCAACAGCUAGCGUGCACACAUCGUAAGACUUGGAGAGAGUUACUUGUUCAGUGGAAUGGUUAUUCUCCAUAUGAUGCUACAUGGGAAGCUGAGAAUGAUGUUGUUUCCUAAUCUUGAGUAUGACUUGGAUGACAUUCCAGAGGAAGAGGAGAAGUAGUCGCUUGCUCCUAUCCUUUCUUUCUUUUCUGACCCCGUUGAUGGCUGGAGGUGUUGUGUCACGUGAGACAGUGGUUUUGUUAGCGGGAUGCUUUGCUAGCUUCUCUCUCCUUAGCUACUGUUCAUCAUAGUUGGAGCAGAGGGAAAAAUGUCACCAUAUUUCGUGAUGAACCAGCUGAUUCUGGACCUAGGUCUCUGAUCAAAGAGCCAAAUACCAACUGUAAAUUUGCAUGUGAAGAGGUGUUCAAGCAUCUCCACGGGGUUUUCAUUGCAUAGAAUACAAAGAGUUUUGUGAACUGUGAGCCAAUCACCAACAGGGAUGCUGUCCUGCACAAGAAGCCAGCUUACCUUAGCUUCCACCAGUGUCUUCCACAUGUUCACAAUGUACUUCCGAUUCUUCAACUUCCGCAUAAGCUUGGUGUCAAUUUUAUCCAUCAAAAGCUCUCUGCCAUGCUUAGACCUGUACAUAAAAAAAGACACACUGAACUCAUUACCUUCCCAGGAUAACUGAGCCGGAUCCUAUAUAAGAUCAGAUAUAGGUACUCCCCAAACUAGUGUAUUGCAGAGCAUUCUCCCAGUUGAACCUUAGGAUCCAGUUCAGUGUAUUUCCCUCUCUGAUGUAUCGUCCUGAUCCUUUUACCGAAGGCCAUCCUGGGAACCGGGACCUCCUCGGGAACUCUCCAUGGAAACAGUGCACCACUGUUAUGGGGAUAAAAAACAAUACCUUGAGGUGAUGGGGUUGUUUCCAUAACAAAGAUGAUUUGAGUCUCAGCACCAUCAAGCAUUAUCCAAUCACGAACCUCGAUAACUUCAGUUUGUAAAGCAAGAUGAAGGUGAUCACAAGCAAUGCUGCCUUAAGCUUUGAUGUGGAGUUUUCAUCCUGGGUUGUAAUGGGUUGUCAUGAGGCCAUCCGAUGAGCAGGGUUUUCUCCAAGCGGACGUUAAACAAAUACCUGACUUGACCUUUUUCAUUGUAUCAUAGCUUGUCCACUGCUGAGGAAGAAAAACAAGAUCCCAACAAGAACUUUGCUGUAAGUGAUGGCUUGCUAGCUCUUUGUAGAUCCAAUAAGUCUUUGAUCGAAGCUCCCACAUUUCUAUGCCACCUAGGCCAAAAACCUCUACCCAAGCCUGGAGCUGAACAGUCACCUAUAUACUGCUGAUUACUGUUCUUAUGCGCUACGUUGAAGAACAAGCAAUCAGCUAAUGCCUCUGUCAGAUGGUCUGGUUCUUUCUGACUUAACCUGGGUAGGAGUGUGACUUCCAUAUCUUCAACAUCUCUUUUGCUAUUCCAUCCUGGACUUUCUUUGUGUUGAGAGGAGCAAUGCCAAUCGAUUCCUUGUUUAUAGUUACCACCUUGUCUAGGCAAGAUCUUCUGCAGUUGAGCUCUGAAGAGGAGGUGCCAGCUUUGGUUUCGUGGAUAUAAACCUGACACAAGCACUUUGAAGAGAAGAGCUUUGGAUUGAAUUCCUGGGUGUGGCACAUUCCGAAUAACUGAAUUCCACUCUACUUUUGCCCAGACUUUGCACCCGCUGGAGUUUCUAAAGUUUCUACAUAUGUCGUUGGUGAUCAAGUGUUGGUGAGUUAUUGGGUGUUGCGGAUCCAAGGUUUUUGCUGUGUAGGUCCUUAUCACAUCGUCCAACAAGUUGGUCCACAAAUCUAUGUGGUGACACUCAAUGCACAAUGUCAAGAGAAGAUCCAUGUGAAGCAGUUAGCUCGAUAUUGUGUGUGAACGGAUUGAUGUAAGGAUUCUACCAUAUAUUCUAUGGUAGAUAUAGAUAAACUCAACAAGAUUGGAAUAGGGAGUAAGUUUUAUGGCCCAGGUAAGUUAGAGGAAGGGAAAAAAAAGAAUUAAUUAGAGUGAAAAUGCGAGUUAUUGUGAAAUUAGAGUAUAAAUGUGAGUUAAGAGUUAACACGAGCUAAGAGUAAAAACGUGAUGUAGCAGCUUAAAAGAGGGAAGUAGGAAUGCUCGGAUGGAGUUCCACCAGGUAGAAAAGACAAGUCAUACCUCAAGCCUCGGAUUGCUCCCACCCGGUUGCGUACUUUAACCAAGCCCCGAACCACCCAGCAGUCUUGGCGCACAGGGAUGACAUCAACCCUAACCUCUUGCUCCACUGCUCCUACUUCUGAGCUGCUAGCAGCUUCUCCCCUCCUUAAAAAAAAAAGGUCUGUUGUUCUCUUGGAGUUCAAGAGGCAUCCUCUUCACCGUCUCCUCUGUUUUUGCUAGCUAGUUACUCUUACAAGAAGGAGCACAAGCCAAGUUCAGCUCCAUGCUCAGCCUAUCAUCUCCUCUUUAAGACACCUCACCUCUUUGAAGCCAUUCAGGAGAGCUAGCACGCUUCACGUCUAGACGUCCCCCCCUUUUUUCUUUUUGCGAUUGUCUCUUCAAACUCAUCAUACCAAACCUUACCAAGCCGAGUGCAGGUUUUGAAACCCCAUGAGUCACCUUGGCCUUUUUCCAUCUUCCAGUUGAGCUCUCCAACAAUCUUGACGUGCGGAUGCGUGCAAACUGCUCCUUGAGCCAGGACCAUUUCUCCAGGAGAUAACUUAUGCUACAACACUCUCCGCUCGACGAUCUCAAUGUGGAAAGAUCCACAAAACUGUCCCACUCAUCAUAGUUGUAGAAGAAAUCAUCCUCAUACUGCAUCUGCAACCUUGCUCGAGCCCAAGCCUCCACCAUCGCAAACUUCUCCCUCAUCUUGAUCAGCUCACACUUGAGGCGGCAAAACAAGUCCAGGUCCUAAGGAACAACAAUGGAAUACACCUUUCCCGGGUACCUGUCUCGAAACCUGUGAAAGUACAGUGGACGAUGUGGUGUUUUAGAUCGCAGCGGAAUGAUAACUUGAUGAAAGCAACAAAACCAUUGAGCUCGCUCUUUGGGGAUCAAUUAUCAUCUCCUCCUUUGAAGUAAUGAGCAGCAGGCCUUGAUUGCAUCCAGAAGUACUAGAGAUAGUCUGCAAAAGCAGGUUUGACACCAGUUAUUUUGGCAACACAGAAGAAAAAGAAGAAAAAUAAUCUCAAGUUUCAAAAUUUAUAGAGAUCCAUACAAUCCAAAUCAAGAUCAAUCCUCCACGAACUUAAUGCCGCUUUCAGCACCUCCAAGCUCUGCCGAAAAACAUAGCCACGGUAUGCCACAAUCGUUCGCUUGAAAAUCUGAAGAUGUCGAUCGAAGCAUGCAAGCAAAAACAUGAAGUAAAGAAGCGCAGGUGGACAACAAAGGAGAUGAACUGAGCGAGGCCAAGAACACAUAUAAGGACUGAAUGUAAGCACAUGAGGCCUCGUGCGGUUUUUUCCUCCAUGUGUGGCUUCAUGUGCGAAGAGUUUGGUGUGGUAAGGUAUGUUGCGGAGCAGCCAGAAGCCCAGGGUGAAUAUAAGUACGUGAGGCCUUGUGAGGUUUUACCACUGCCCGAAGACUCCUGUGCAUGGGCCCCGGGCGAGAGUCAUUUGCGAAAGUGUUCUGCAUGAAACUGGUACCCUGAAGCUUCUGGCCCCAUGAAGAGCAUUUUUUAUUUAAUUUGUGUAGAGUGUGGUUUAUUUUUGCAUAUUGAGUGCAUUGAUAUCUUUUAGUUAUUGAAGAACUGAAGACUACCUACAGUUAAGUGCAUGCAGCAACAGAUCAUAUAAAAAAUGAAACAAAUCGGGAUUUCUAGGAAGUUCGUGCGUGUUGUUAGUAAUAAUAAUAAUAAUCAUAAAAACCUGAUGUUCAGCCAGUUAGAAGAUUGUCUGAAAAUUAUGCAUGUAUUGAUUCUUCAGCUCUUGAGCAACUGAUUGCUGCUGGCUCACUUUCUAUAUAUAUCAAAGAGAUUUCUUAUUAACAAUAAACAUCUAAGCUGCUGCAGUUAAGCUGUGACAUUGUAUAAAAAGGAAAAGAAUUAGAAAAAGAAAAAAAGAAAACACGAGCUUUUUACUACUACGGUUAAGUAAUAACAAAUCGGGAUUUCUAGGGUAUGCGUGCGGCGCUAGGGUUUGUGUGGUGUGUGUGUCAUUUCUCAACAAUCUCAUGGAGUUCAGGGAUCCCACUUUCUGGUGGGACAACAGGUUCAAGAAGAAAAACAAGUUCUUCUCAGAGUCCUACCCGGAUUUCAAACAUGUUUCUACCGGAGAGAGCCUGUGGAUCGCCAACAGGAAAACACCAACCUGGGUCUCUGCAAAACUCGAGUCGCUCGCUGACCCAGCUGUAGGUAAGGCCACCACGGCCCGCUACAAAUCUCCACAUACCCCACCUGUAGCUGGUGAUGAACCGGUGAGUUUAGGGAGGCUGAUACACCGCGUGAGAGACUCAGCUGAGAGCAGAUCCCUUUCUUUGGGAAAACAAGCCCAUGAAGCUGUGCUCAAGAGUGAUGAGCACAAAAGCAACAUCUACUUGUUGACGGGAUUGAUCGAUAUGUACUGCAAGUGUGGCGAGCUUGAGGAGGCUCGCAAGAUUUUCGACUCCAUGGGAACCCGGAGUGUUGUGUCCUACAACGCGAUCAUCCACGGCUGCGGCUCGAACGGGCAAGCUGAAGUUGCUCUGGAGUACUACUCUGCCCUGAGAGCUUGUACCACCAUUCAACCCAACGAUCGGACACAUGUCGCGGUGAUCAGCGCCUGCUCCAGACUUGCUACCGAAUCCAGCGAGAAGAGGGAGAGAGCUCUACGCAUCGGGAUGGAGAUCCAUUCAAUGCUGAGCAAGGAGAAGAAACAGCUAGAUCUGUUCGUGGCGACUUGCCUGGUAGACAUGUACUGCAAGUGUGGCGAGCUUGAGGAGGCUCGCAAGAUUUUCCACUCCAUGGGAACUCGGAGUGUUGUGUCCUACAACGCGAUCAUCCAGGGCUGCGGCUCGAACGGACAAGCUGAACUUGCUCUGGAGUACUACUCUGCCCUGAGAGCUGAUAACACCAUUCAACCCGACGAUCGGACACAUGUCGCAGUGAUCAGCGCCUGCUCCACACUUGCUACCGAAUCCAGCGAGAAGAGGGAGAGAGCUCUACGCAUCGGGAUGGAAGUCCAUUCAGUACUGAGCAAGGAGAAGAAACAUCUAGGUUUGUACAUGGCGACUUGCCUGGUAGACAUGUACUGCAAGUGUGGCGAGCUUGAGGAGGCUCGCAAGAUUUUCCACUCCAUGGGAACUCGGAGUGUUGUGUCCUACACCGCGAUCAUCCAGGGCUGCAACACGAACGGGCAAGCUGAACUUGCUCUGGAGUACUACUCUGCCCUGAGAGUUGAUAACACCAUUCAACCCGACGAUCGGACACAUGUCGCGGUGAUCAGCGCCUGUUCCACACUUGCUACGGAAUCCAGCGAGAAGAGGGAGAGAGCUCUACGCAUCGGGAUGGAAGUCCAUUCAGUACUGAGCAAGGAGAAGAAACAUCUAGGUCUGUACAUGGCGACUUGCCUGGUAGACAUGUACUGCAAGUGUGGCGAGCUUGAGGAGGCUUGCAAGAUUUUCCACUCCAUGGGAACUCGGAGUGUUGUGUCCUACACCGCGAUCAUCCAGGGCUGCAACACGAACGGGCGAGCUGAACUUGCUCUGGAGUACUACUCUGCCCUGAGAGCUGAUAACACCAUUCAACCCGACGAUUGGACUCAUGUCGUGGUGAUCAGCGCCUGCUCCACACUUGCUACCGAAUCCAGCGAGAAGAGGGAGAGAGCUCUAUGCAUCGGGAUGGAGAUCCAUUCAAUGCUGAGCAAGGAGAAGAAACAGCUAGAUCUGUUCGUGGCGAAUUGCCUGGUAGACAUGUACUGCAAGUGUGGCGAGCUUGAGGAGGCUCGCAAGAUUUUCCACUCCAUGGGAACUCGGACUGUUGUGUCCUACACCGCGAUCAUCCAGGGCUGCAACACGAACGGGCGACCUGAACUUGCUCUGGAGUACUACUCUGCCCUGAGAGCUGAUAACACCAUUCAACCCGACGAUCAGACUUAUGUCGUAGUGAUCAGCGCCUGCUCCACACUUGCUACUGAAUCCAGCGAGAAGAGGGAGAGAGCUCUACGCAUCGGGAUGGAGAUCCAUUCAAUGCUGAGCAAGGAGAAGAAACAGCUAGAUCUGUUCGUGGCGAAUUGCCUGGUAGACAUGUACUGCAAGUGUGGCGAGCUUGAGGAGGCUCGCAAGAUUUUCCACUCUAUGGGAACUCGGAGUGUUGUGUCCUACACCGCGAUCAUCCAGGGCUGCAACACGAACGGGCAAGCUGAACUUGCUCUGGAGUACUACUCUGCCCUGAGAGCUGAUAACACCAUUCAAGCUAAUGCUUGCACCUACACCUGCGUCCUUGUUGCUUGCGGGAGUGUGAUGGCGAUCAAGCUCGGGAGGGAGAUUCACCAGCUGGCGAAGCAUGAAGGGCUGCUGAAAAACAAUCCAGUUCUGGGCUCCAGCCUGGUGAGCUUCUACGGCAAAUGCGGCGAUGUUGAUUCUGCUCAGGAAGCGUUUGACGAGUGCCGAGCUCGGGACAACACGGGUCUCUGGAACUCUCUCAUACAGGCUUACACUCUCCAGGGCCGAUCGAUCGAGGCCUUGGAGCGUUUCUAUUCCAUGAUUCAGGAGGAGGGCUGUAAAGCUGACAAUGUGAGUUUUGUGUCGGUGUUGAACGCUUGCAGCCAUGGUGGUCUGGUCGGGAAAGGAAGGCAGCUUCUGGAUGAAAUGCCCAAGCAGUAUGGAGUCAAGCCACGUCUGGAGCAUUAUGUGUGCCUGAUCGAUAUGCUUGGGCGAGCUAACCUCCUCGACGAAGCUGUGAGAGUUCUCAGAGCCAUGCCUUUUGAACCGGAUGCAGUGGUUUGGACGUCCCUGCUCGGAGCCUGCCGGAAGUGGAAGAAUUACACGAUCGGCAAACUUGCGUUUGAGCGUCUUGUGGAGAUGGAUCCCAAGAGUGGCACGCCCUACGCAUUGAUGGCCAAUAUAUUUGGAAACCUGGGGAUGCUCAGUGAAAGGGCUGCUGUUGUGGAGAGAAUGAGAGGUGAAGGCGGCUUCAGGGAGCCCGGGAGAAGCUGGUGGACGGAUGUUAGCUCAGGAAAAGUGCAUUCUUUUUCUGUUGGGGAUAGGAGUCACUCACAGAGCGACGAGAUUGCGGCCAAGCUCAAGCAAUUGUUGCUUAAAAUGAAAGAGGAGGGGUAUGCGAGCGAUGUGAUCAACGUUCUAAAAGACAUACCCGAGGAAGAGAAAGAGGAUCACCUGUGCGGCCACAGUGAGAAGCUUGCGCUGGGGUGUGCUCUGGUGAACUCGCACCAGAAGGAGACCAUCAGAAUUGUGAAAAAUCUCCGAGUUUGUGACGAUUGCCAUGCGGCCACUGCUCUCAUCUCUAAGCUGGAAAAAAGGCUAAUCAUCUGCAAAGAUGCCAGUCGGGUUCAUGUGUUCCAGGAUGGCAGAUGUUCCUGUGACAACUACUUUUGAAAACAUGUCAUUGCUCUUUCUUGCAGUUAUCCCUGGUUUUAAACCCUCUGUGAGUCAAGCAGAAACAUGGGCCGCUGAGUGAUCAUACCGCCGUCAGCCUGAACUUCACGGAGAAAAAAUUAACAUUUAAAAGUUAAAACUAUGCAAAAGGAGGAUGACACGUUGUCUUAAAUUUAAAUUUCUUUUUGGUAGCAGAAUCGUGACUAAACCUGCCAACAGGUGCCCCAAAACGGAGCGCCCAGAUUCAGAUAAUAAGCCUUAGUAUGAAGACUUGCCGGUACCCAAACUCUUUGCUGAUAGCAAGUACCGCCUCAUGUUCCGGGAGCAAGGUGAUGGUGGCUUGCGGCAUGACCAACUUUGGGUUUGUGCUCCUAGAGCACGUUGAAGACGUGUGGAAGCUGGUGACGAUGGCAUUUGUUUCUUGCGACAUACUCACCAGUUCCUCGGCGACAUCUUCCUUCCAGAUUUUUUGAGCUUGUCGUGAGUGGUGACUUGCUUGCUCUCCCCUGUGACGACUUCUUCCAGCCUCUGGUGCCCAACCUCAAGGCUCUCUUGUGGAUGGAGCUAGCCCUACACAGUGUGUGUGUGUGUAUCAACCAGCAGAUGCACAAAUCGUUGAGAAUUAGCUAGGCUUAGUACGUAGUGUACUAGUGUAUAUGUAAAUGUGUUUCAGCUAAAUAUAAUGGGCCAAAUACACCGAAGAAAGAAGAGUAGAAACAAAUUAAGAAAUGUAAAUUAAGAAGUGCAAAAGAAAUGAAAAUAAAAAUUGUCCAUCCUCAUCAGUUUGCUGAAAUUAAGUUGGGUUCAAUUCUCUCCAAAUAUUGUGUGAUUGAGUUGUAAGUUAAUUAAUAGUAGAAAAUAAGAAAAAAAAACAAAAAUUGAAAAAAUAGUGUUUGAUAAUAUCUUCUUUUUUAUUUUCGAGAGAAAAUUAGUGGGGGAGUGUAUAUCUUUGCUGUUUAUUGGUGGUUAAUUAAAUGAGCAUGUUUAGAGAUGUUUAUAAGAGUUUAGCUCUAGAGUUACCCGAAAAUUAAAGUUCAAAAUUUACGUUUUCCCUAUUUGCACAAUAACUUAAGCUAAAGUAAUGUCCUUACCCGUAUUUUUUAUGGGAAAAUUAUUAUUCGCAUUGUGAGUGCUUGGAAUAUGGAAAGGGAAUACAGAAAUGUGCAUAUUAAUUAGCCCAAAAACCCUAGUUUAUAUACAGGAGCGAGUGGUCCAGAUUAAAACCAAUCCGACGGCUACCAAAAUCUUACUACGCUAAUAUUAGUAUACGGCAUCGUAACCGUACACUUGGCCCUGACAUCAUCCCCUCCUCUCGGGAUAAUGGAAGACCAUCAGGGUUCUCUUAAAGAUGGGUUGGGAUCCGGAGGAAUGUCAGGAGGAGGCAUCGGUGGAUCUAUAGGUGGUAUUAACUCCUCUUGAUCCCUUUGUAUGAAGCGUUUUAGCUGCUGCACAUGCACAAUCUCUGGAGGAUUGGCCUGCUGAACGUCAUGCCGAACCUCAUAAACUUGUGGUCCAAUUUGUCGCAACACUCGAUACGGUCCUUUCCAUUGUGCAAGAAGCCCCUUAGAUAAACCACGUAUCGUAAGAUGGGGAAAACAGACUAACACCAAAUCAUCCACUUUGUACUCCACAGGUAGACGAUGAUGGGAGUUGUAGUGCCGUUGUUGUCCCACUUGUACGCGGCCUAAGUGUUCGGCAAACUCUGCUCGGAAAAGUGGAAGAAUGCUCGUCAAAUACUGAUCCCAUGAUCUAGCAUCGGCAGCACGUGGCAAUCGCGAAGGUAAACCCAGUUCCGUUGGUAAUAUUGGAUCAUGACCAUAUAAGAGUUUAUAUGGUGAAGCACCAACAGAACUCUGCACCCCUGUAACAUAUGCAUACCGAAGAGACGGCAAAUAACCAUCCCAAUCCAAAUGCUGAAAGUUCACAUACUUCGCAAUCAUCCCUUUGAAUGUCCGAACAAGCCGUUCCACCAGAUCGUCUGAUUGUGGAUGAUAAGCACUCGUGAAAGUGUGGCAUAUCCCCAACCGAGAUGUCAAAACAUGAAAUGCCUCAGCCAUAAAUGCGGGACCAUUAUCCGAAAGAAUCUGCUCUGGACAAGAAUGCUGGAACACCACUUGAUUGAGGAGGAAGUAUCCAACAGCAGUUGCAGAGGCGCUAGCAAGAGCACGAACUUCCACCCAACAAGUCAAGUAGUCAGAAGCAAUAAUAACAUACUCAUUGCCAGCAGUCGAUCGUGGAAAAAGUCCCAUAAGAUCAAAUGCCACUAACUCAAACGGAUGGGAAACCGCAUUUAACUCCAACCGUCCUUCCGCAGCACGAGGGGGAGUAUUACGAGCUUGGCACCAAACGCAGCUACGCACAUACCGGAUAAUAUCACGUCGCAUCUCUGGCCAAUAGAAAGACCUGUGCAGCUUCUCGAUGACACGACGGUGUCCCAUAUGCCCACCUAGAACAGGAGAAUCAUGGUAGGCAUGGAGAAACCGUGGAAUAAACACCGAAGGCACCACUAGCCAUAAAUGAUCAUCAGGAUCUGUCCCCACAAAAUAAAGAAGGCCAUCGUCAAGGCGAUAUUGAGAAUGUAAAUGCCGGAAAGGCAAGUCAUCAGCAAGUGAUGCAGGAUUCUCAAACCCAUCUCGAAGCCUCCGAAUCCACAGCUCAAUCUUUUGAGCCUUGCAGACCUCAUCAAGAGAAGGUAGAUCUUGCUCUGCACCUUGUGGACACUGAACGUCAAGGAUAGCAACCGCCGACAGCAUAGAAUCCUCAUCUAGAAAAUCCACAGAUGCUGGAACAACAGGUUUGUCAGAAACAUGAGAAGUGAGUGAAGCUCUAUUUCGUUAAAGUGGGAUUUAUUCAGUAAAAUGGGACUAGGUACAAAUUUUCAAGUAUUUGAAAAUGACGUGAAAUUAUAUGUUUUUUGUCUAGGGGCUAGACAUAUCUGGGGCAUGGUGACUAGCGCGGUGACUUUGUGUCCAGACUGAGUCCAUCUGGUUGUAUAAUAAAUCUCAUUGUCAAGGUGAACAAGCCGAAUCUGAAGCUAAAGAAGAGCGAUGGCAUGCGCGCAUACACUAUUUGUUUGUUCAUUGAGCGUGUGGUGAGCUUUCUAAGAUGAACGUCAUUCCUAUUAGCUAGACAUAUAACUUAAUGGUGAGAACAUUUAGAUAUUAUUCAAUGUUAUCUUUUUCUAACGAAUCUAAUUGUGAAGGUGUAGCAAGAGGCAUUGCUAGUCUGGAGAAGUCAUUUAACUCAUUUGACCCUUAGUGUAUUUUCAUGAAACUAAAUAACAUUCAUAUUAUUAAGGAAUUUCUCUAGUACCUUUUUUUUACCACAUAGAGGCUUGCAUUUCUUUCAAAGGUGAUUUAGUAAAAGGCCUGAGGGCACAUGCCAUUCUAUUUCUCAGACCGGUAUUAAGAUAUACUAGUGCAAAGGGCCACAUGCCAUCACGCCUCCUCUGAUUCAGAUUCGGAUUGUUCACCUUGAAAUAAAAUACAUUAGAAACUUAGUAAAGGAAUAUUAAUGAAUCUCACCUUGAACCCGGGUUAUGAAUGCUCUUGCUGCAUCUCUUGCAUGGUCUGGCAAGGUGAUGGUGGCACUCUGCUUCCGCAUCCAACCAUGCACAACAUUAUCCACCGAUAUGCUCAUGCUGGGAUCCCUUGGAUUCAGCACCCAUCUCUUUUCUAGGCAAUCCUUCGUAUAUCCGGAACUUGGCUUGAACCACUCCACAGUUACAUUGAAGGAGUUAGUUUCCGCGUCCUCCUCUGCAUCAAUGAUGCAGUGCCCCACCCAUAUCAUUUGUUUUUUAUUACUGGGCCUGACAAGCACCACCAUUCCUUUGCAGACCUGUACUGAAUUGAAUGCUGAAUCUGGCUUCUUGUUCCUCGGCCCACAAUAGUGAUCCUCAACAUCGUUAUCUGUCACUGCAUUUCCAGAGGACAUUGUUCCGCUACUAUCUGGUGCUCUGGGUUCUGGCCAAAAGGACUCUUCCAAUUCUUCAUAUACAACCGGCCCAUUUUGGAUAGCAGAUAUAAUCUUCUCCCAGUAUUCGAGCAAAGGCUUGCACCUCUUAAAAUAGGAUUCUCCACCAAACACCAACCCCCUCUUCCAGAAGGCAAUAUGCUGUCUAAUCCCGGCCACUAUACUUUCCUGGUCUUUGAGUCCAUCCGGGUGCAUCGGCCGUGGGGAACCCUGAGGAAUCAUAGGUUCCCCAGUUAUGGGAUCUCUCUUGAAGAGUUCAAUGCCAUCCACUGGCAGCCACACUGUGUCCCAUUCUCUCAUCUUGUACCUCAUCACUGGAGCACCGUCACGCAUGCUGAAAUGAAACUGAAGAGGCUUGGAGUGGCCAAUCAGCGUUUCGGAUCCGUCCCUAAUGUAGCCUCUUACAAACCCCUUAAAGUCUGGAACCUCUGUCACAAGUGCAGCUUCAACAGUGCCUUUGAUGCAAUUUUGGAAUUCAUCGUAGAGUUGUGGGAGGGUGAGGACAUUGGAUCGCCGGAGGGACUCUGCCAGGUGACUGAACAUGGCAUCGACGUCUUCAUGAGUGUGCCCAACCAUGAGAAAGCCAAGUGUAACCAUUUCAAAUAUGCCUUUGGCAACAAGCAUCACCAAGUACGCGAAGACGUACAUGUUUUUGUUCUCACUGCCAGCAUUGUUUGUUUGGAGCAGAAGAUGGGGUGGAAGGCCACAUCGGCCGCAAGAACUUCCUUGAGAUUCUGCUUCAUUUGGAUGAGGCUGUGCAUUCACCGGGUGACCAGCCUCGUCGGAAUGGCAUGAGGCCUCACAUGAUAACCCUACAAUCUAACGGCCAACAUAUUCACUGGGAUGGCAUGGGGCCCCACGCGAUACUGCAAGCCUUUGCUCCUCCUCCAGCUGAACCCUGUAUGGGGUUCGAUCGACAAGGGCCUUAUGCAAGGGUUGGCCGUUCAGCUCAGUCUGCGCACUUUGCAGAGACCUUAAGUGUUUUGCUAGGGACGCAAUCAUCAUGUUUGCACCCCCGCCACCCCAUAGAGGUACAAAGAAGUUCCCAUAGUUCUGGGCACCAUGCCCAUGAGCGAUUAUGCCAAACAAAGACACAGGCAGCUGCAUGGAUGAAGAGAUUGCCUUGGGGGCAGGAUUGAGUCGAGGUAAGCACGUCUUUUUCUGGUCCAUUUUGUCAUGGAUGAUGUAGAGGUAAGAGUCAGGUCUCUCCAUGGAGAGAAUCCUGUUAUGAUAAUAUGCAGUCCUGCAGCUUCUCUGCUCGAUGUUGUGGUCGAGCCGCCUUCUAACCAACGUCUCUCGCUCUUGAGCGCUGCAAGAAUUCUUCGACAAAGCCAUUUUGAUAGCAGUGCACUCGUCACACUUUGAAAAGCUGGAGUACUUUCCUAUACUCACAUCCCUGAACCUGUUGCUCCACAAUCUACUAAAUCUAGAUUGGCUCAGCUUCCUGUAGCCAUUACUCUAGAGUUCCCGAUUCACAUCUUCCAAUAUGGCCCCCUUGGUAUACAUGGAAGGGAGAACUCGUUGGGUGUCUCGUGUUCCAUCUUCCAAGAGGCGGGUUUUAUGUGGUUGCUGCUCGCUACAUGUCUCGACAAACUUCUUGAAGAUUGCCUCUCCAUAUACAACAUGACCCCUGGUUUUGUGCGUACCGUCGUUCCCAUGGACUGCCUGUUGAACCCUUUGUUCCUCGAACUCAGUUUUGAUUCUGUAGAAUGUGCUUCGAGGGACUCCAUAAAUGAUUCUCCAUGCCUUCAUGUAGACCAAACCCCUCUGGAAGACCAUGCCCCCCACCUGAUGUUCUGAAGCAUCAACAGAUGACCAUAAUGCCUCAUACACAAAAUUGCGAGCUGCCUUCCAGGACAAUGUCUUGUAUCUUGCUCUCUCCUCUUCAAUAGCAUCCCAAUCAGCAUGUUGACAGCACCUCCUCUUGCAACAAGCAACUGUCGAGACCAUUCGAACCUCCAUCGCCAUUUUCUGCCUUUUCGGUUCGUUGCUCAGAUCCCUUUGGCUGCGCUAUAGGAAGGUGUACUUUCUUUUCCCAUAAAGAGAUUUUCUGUCAUCAGUUGUAGUGGUGUUUGAUUGUGAAUCCUUCACAUUCUCAAACACUAAGUGCCUCAAUUUCCACCGCACAAUGCUUCCAAUAGUCAGACUGUUUUCUUCUGUGUCAACAACCUCUAAAAUCGCAACUCCAAUAUCAUCCCAGCCCAAUUCUUGAUUAGCAACUGCAUCUCUUGGAUCGACAACUGUGGCUAAGCCCUCAGCUACCACCUCCCCCUCGGGGUUGUUUAGAAACACCUUUGCCUGAAUCCAUGUAGCACGGUUUUUAAGAUCCACAGAGGGAACAUGCGUCGCACUUGCGCUGUCCCCAACAUCUGCUUUCUUCUGCAAAUUUUUCAAGGCAACAACAACAUUUACCCCGACGACCAUCUCUCCUUGUUCAAUAGCGACCACAUUCCCAUCGAAGACAGUCUCUACUGAUACAGCAGCAUUGCCUUCCCCAAGCCUUUGACAGUGUAUAACAAAGUUCCGAUCCAUAGAUACAAGGGUCCCUUUUGCAACUCUCUUCCCACCAUUCAAAAUGUAAACCUUUUCCCCAACCCUGAAGGCCAUUCUGAAAGUGCAGAAAAGAAGUUAAGACCAUACAAAAAAUGAUUGGAGAAUGGCCUAAAUCAUAACAUACCAAAUAGCAUGAGGCCACAUGCCAUUAUUCAAACAUGCUAUUGACACCCACGUGAAAUUUCGCAUUCACAAAAUUGGCAUGAGCCCUCAUGCCAUUAGUGGUACCACUAAUGGCAUGAGGCCUCAUGCCAUCUUNNNNNNNNNNNNNNNNNNNNNNNNNNNNNNNNNNNNNNNNNNNNNNNNNNNNNNNNNNNNNNNNNNNNNNNNNNNNNNNNNNNNNNNNNNNNNNNNNNNNNNNNNNNNNNNNNNNNNNNNNNNNNNNNNNNNNNNNNNNNNNNNNNNNNNNNNNNNNNNNNNNNNNNNNNNNNNNNNNNNNNNNNNNNNNNNNNNNNNNNNNNNNNNNNNNNNNNNNNNNNNNNNNNNNNNNNNNNNNNNNNNNNNNNNNNNNNNNNNNNNNNNNNNNNNAAAAAUGAUAGACCUAGGAAUGAGUUCGAGAAUUCAAAAAUAACACACGCUUGAACGUCACAUCAAAUCCUCUGACAAACCAGAUCUUAUGAUUCCUCUGACAAAUUUCAAACUGAGUAGCUUCUAGACUUUGCUGUCGGAGGUUGAACUUUGUCACAUCAUGUCCUUGCCUCGAUCCAGCUGUGCCAUGUCAGUGAUUCGAACUUUGCCAUGCCGUGUCAGCGAUCCGCGCCAAGAUUAUUCGCCGUGUAAAGGAAUAAUUAUGCUGUGUGUGUACGUCCAUUUAUGGCAAUAUAAGGCCACACGCCAUUCAAAGAAUAAUGCUAGUCGAGCAUUUUUUGGUGCAUUUUUGGGUUCAAAAUUGCAUGAGCCUACAUGCUAUAAAGUUUACUUGUACCAAAAAUAGAAACAGCUUUAUUUACUUGGGAAUUUAAGUGGUUGAGGCAUUUUUAAACUUACAAACACAUGCCUUACUUACAUUCCUUUGGUUGCUUAAAAUUCAAAAAUAUAUAAACAUUUCUUUUUGCAUUUUCAAUGUUUUCAAUUAUGGUUUUUGAUUUUCGCAGGACCAGCCUAGUAAUCUAUUUGCAUCCUGUCAUGUUUAUAGCUAGCUUUCGUUUGUCCCCUUCGCUAGCCUGAGAUACAUCUGCUCGGCAUCUGCCUCUUACAGCAUUUGCCCAGAAAGGGCAUCUUUCUUCACGCAGCAUUUGCCACAUGUUUAGGGUUUAGGGUUUAGGGUUUAGGGUUUAGCAAUUCAGUAGCUUGAUAAACAUGCAAAUACAGAACUUAAUGCAAAAUCCUUUGAUAUGUCACAAUGCCCCUAGGACCAUAAACACAUUUCAAUAGAGAGGGUCCUUUCAUUUCAUAACUCCUUACGUAGAUCUUGGUGAAACCAGAGUUAAUGAAGUUGGUUUCUUGUGAUCCCGCAUCUGAUUGUGAUGUCCCUUUGCAGUGUCGAUGGAAAGGUCAAUGCACACCAAACUGUAGAAUCUUGGAGCAAAAUAACGGUCGGAUCUAUGGCAAAUGCCCUUGAAACAUUGUAAGGCUCGUGUGGUCUCAUGUGGUGUCCGAUCGAGAUGCUUCUUUGCAGGGUCAUCAAGAAGGACAUUGUAUACCAUUCUUUAAAAUCUAGUUGCAAUCUAACGGUUGGAUCUCCAGGAAACUCAAAACAAUCUCACGCAUGUCAGAAUAUUCUAGGAAUAUACUCCUAUGUGCUCCUGAAAAUGGCAUGCGGCCCCACGCCAUUCAAGAGAUAACGCCAGAUGACACCGAGCAUUUUUUGGUGCAUUUUUUGGGAUCAAAAUUGCAUGAGCCCACACGCUUGAACGUCACAUCAAAUCCUCUGACAAUUUAUUUAGCUGAACAUCUGGCAUUUUUGGAAAUACAAGAUGCUUUGGAAUAUCCAAUCAUGCAUGGUAUAAAUAUAGCGAGGGUAUUAAAUGAUAUCCCAAUCAUGAUCUUUCUUUUGGAUUUCGCGUGCAUGCAGUCCGAGGAAUGAUGACGUUGCGGAUUUCUCUUGGAUUUCACGCAUGCGCGCGGCGAUCCAGAAAUUAAUGGUGGCGCCCAAGUCCGAGGAAUGAUGACGUGGCGGGAUUACCAACCGUCGUGACAUUUCGCGCGUGUGAGGUUAGGUUUUGCAUUUUGCUUCGUACUCGCGCUCGCACACUUGCGCUCGCAUCGCACUCCCACUCGCGCUCCCACUUCUCUACAGGUUUCUCAUGUGCAUCGGCAUCCACUCGCGCUUGCAUCACACUCGCGCUCGCAUCACGCUUGCAUCGCGCUCGUGUGCAUCAGCGUCCACUUCAAGACACACCCAGUUUGUAACUUCGCCGCCAACUCCGCCGCCCACUCCACGCAGCCCACUUGGCGUCCCGAGAGAUUUCAGCGCCGCUCUCCAACUGUAAGUGGCAGAGUAGCCUUGCUGCUACGAUCCGCUGCACACACAGUGCACAUUCGCUAGCGAGUCCGGUUGUCACGCCUCCAUUCGGCUUCAAAUGGUAAGUCUUUUAGGCCAAGUAGAAAAUGGCAUGAGGCCACAUGCCAUUCAAUAGCAACAUUGGCAUGCACCGAUUGGGCUCUCGAGUGCAGUCCGGUUACUGAUGGCGUGUAGCCUCACGCCAUCUUAGGAUGCAGCCUCAAGACAUCUGAUGCAGUGGUGAAUGGCGUGUGGCCUCACGUUAUUUCCAGCUACUAGCUUUUCAUCUGUCAGCUCUAAUUGUUGUGCAUUUCUGAACAGGCGAGGAAUUGCGUUCUUCUUCCAGCCACUGUCAAUGUGGAUGCAGAGAAGGGGGAGGAGCUCACCAGUUGGACUUUCGGGAUGGAAGGCGAGGAUCUGAGGCUGUACAACACAGAUGGUGGGAGAAAAGAAUGCAUGGGGAUCCUCAUCCAAGUGACAGACACUCCAUGCAGUUCCAUGCAAGAAUAUGGACUGGCACUUGUGGUAGAGACAGCGUCUGCCUUCAAGAUCCACCUUGCACAUCCUAGCGGCUUCCCGGAGGGGGGCAGCGGCUAUGAGGAAUUCCUAGAGGGAGCUAGGGAGAGGUUGUCCAGGAGGCCCACAAUUUCAAAGACGCUGCGGGUCUAUGAAGAUCACAUGGAAUCCACGGACCUCACCUACGGCGAUGUUCAAAAACUAUAUUCCAACAUUGAGCCGUUGAGAGUGCCUCCAGUUCGCGAAGCGAAGGGGAAGGGGGUCGAUUUGGAAACUACCCCGAUGCAGAAAAGGGUGGUCAAGCUCAAGCCGACGUCCGACUCUCCUCCAAAAAAGAAGCUACUCGGUGAUGCCAUUGCCUCGGGUUCGAACACUACACCCACCAAAAAGAAGAGCCGCAAAGAGCAGAAAGAGCAAGAAGAGGCAGCAAAAAUUGUCACAGAUAAUAGUACUUGUUACUAUUCCAACAAAGUAUAUACAAUCGACGUGAGCCAUAUCGACAUCCAAAGCAAAUACAACCACAGGCUAGUAUCUGAUGAGUGGGUGGAGAAACUGAAGCAAAAGAUGCUGGCAAGUCCAGUAACACCCGACAUUGCAGACGUAAUCCCCUACUACCGAACAAUGAAGGGCGAGACGAGGUUUCUAAACUUGAUCAAUAGGAAGGUGUUGGACGAUCAGAACAUCCGGUUUUAUGCCGUCUCCGGGCAGCAUUCUAGCUUGGUGAUGCAAGAGAUAGUUGUGGAUAUUAUGGUGGGCGAGGAAGUGAAGAAAGUCUUCAAGACAAGAGUUGUCCGCCUGAUAAAAGGCAACUCGCCCCUCCGAUCUAUCAUAUACAUCUCCCACGCGCAGAAUGUCAAGAAAGAAACGUGCUACAAAUCGGGUCUGCACGAGACAUUGGCACGAACACGGAAGCUUUGGGUUCAACUGAAGAAGCCACAAAAACCAGGACAAGGACGUGCACUAGCAACUAGCGCCUGGCAGGUAAGCCUCGUUGCAUGUGGCAUAGCAUGUGGCCUCACGCCAUUUCCAUUGUAGGAAUUCUCGAGUCUUCUCUCGAAAACACUGGGGGUCAAUGACACACUCAGCAUCCAUAACAUUCUACUCGCGACAAAAGUUGUUUUUGACAAAUGGGUAGAUGUGCUGAGGAGGUACCAUGACGGGGAGUUGCCAAACUCAAUGGGUGUGGAGGACGGCCGGAAGCCCAAUGAUUUGAAGCUCAACGCCUUGCGUUUCUCGCGGUCUCUAGACGACGACGACCUUCUGACAGUGGCUAAUGCUCUUCUACGUGGUGAGGUAGUCUUCAACAAGACCAAAAUGACUCCCGGCCAUAUUGUGACAUACGAGGACUUGUGCACGACUCUGAGAGCUCGUGCGCUAUUGAAGGAUUGGAUCUUCGAGCAAGUGGCCAUGGAGAGGGUGAGCAUCGACACCACGCAAGAGAUGAUGGAAGCGCUGGAUUUGUCAAAUGAAGACAUCGAUGACUACGUGAAGGGGGCCCCCAAGUUCAUCGAUCUGCUGCGGGAUGCCACAAAAAGUAAAGCUGAGAAGUUGGAUCAGUAUCCAAAUUUCAUUAAGAGUGAUGUCGAGCGCCGGCUUCAUCGACCCCGCAGCAGAGGCCUAUCGAGAACCUUACCGGGUAUACUUGAAUUCGGAUGAGGAUCAAAGGUGGAGGAGCAUCGUUUCCCACGGAGAUGAGUAGGUCAAGAACAUCUUUUGUGUGAUGGACUUCACAAACGAGGAGAUCACUCAUGCAGACAAAGUCAGCUCCAUCAUUAACUUAAUGGUGGGACUUGCGGAGGUGGAAUCUUCAGUCCACUAUAUGAUCUACGACUCCGAAUCCUAUCACAAGUUCUGGAAGGCCUUGAAUGAGGUGAAGGCUCGGUUGAAAGGCAAGGAGAUGCGGGAGAUCCAUGGGAUAAUGGCUAAGAAGAAGAUACCGACGAAUGUCCGCAUCUUCACACUCGCCCUUGUUAUUGGUCCUGUAGCAGAGUGGGACUGGAGUGACUUCCCAGCUUCGUUCGACAAGGCCAAUCGAAUUGAUCUGAGGGAGGUCAAUUUACCCCUGCCUGAGGAACUGAAGACGGCUAUGGAGCUUUCGAAUCCAAAGAAAGCUCCAGGUGCAGCAUGGGAAAUGCUUAGCUGGGUCUUCAACGCAAUAGCGGGUGGGUCACCUGCUUCCGACUCCAAGGGCAAAUGCGUUGUCGAGUACAACUGCGGCGGACUAUUCUUUCGAGCCGCACUACUCAAGGGUGUCCCGUGUGUUGCGGUGACAAACUCCAUUGAAGAGGUGACUUCAAUGGAGCAUAUAAUUACAGUUGCCAAAGAAAAACAGUAUCUUCUCUGCGAACCUGGUGAGUACGCACUUUAAGUUUAAAUGUUAUCUCACAAGCUCUGUAUGCAGGAGCGUGGCCACCCCCAAAUGCUGAAACGGCAUUAACAGCUACUGUUGAAGAUACCCAUGUUGGGCCGAGCUCACAACCUGCACAAGGUAAGGUCACAUGAGGCCUCACGCCAUUUUGAUUAUAGAUCGUUGUGAAUAUUCAGACACGAGGACUAAAAAGCGCACUGGUGGCGUGUCGAAGAAGGACAAACAGACAAGCAAUAGGAAAAAAGGAGGUACAAAUUAUAUUUGCAAUGGCGUGUGGUCUCAUGCCAUUCCUUGCAGGAGACACUUCUUCAAAGGCAAAACAGGCAAGCACCAGCCAAGCUCAAACUGACAGUGGUCAUAAAAAGCGAAAGCACGUUGGACAGUCGUCGGGAUCAGAGGCAUUUGAUUCGAAAAGGAAGAAGGGCAACGAAAAGAUGAUAGGUAAUGCCUCGCGGAUAUGGCGUAUGUGCUCAUGCCAUUCAUUGCAGAUCAAGGGCUGAGUGAAAGCAGGUAGUCACCACCUCCUGACUCAGAUUCCUAUGGCGGACUCCCCUUCCCCAAUCUCAAUGGAGAGGUACAAUGGAUGAGGGAUGCUUUUCAAGUCAGGGCCACGUUUUUCUCAUCUCGUCGUCUUCGAAGGGUGCAAGAACGUGCAGAAACCAUGUUAAGACAAUCGGGUGAGGAUACAGUCCUAGGUCACGCACUAAAACAGGCUAUGGAUGUCUUGUAUUUUGAGAUGGAGACUCGGCCAGAUGAUUUUCCCAAGAUGGUCCUGGAAGAACAAGCCAUCCAGCCUGAGCAGCCUAUGGAAGAAAUGCAGGAGGGGGAUGAGGAGCCAGAGAAAGAUAAUGAGCAGGAAGAGCAGAAGGACGAAGAGGAGGACAAAGAAGAGGAGGACGAAGAAGAGGAGGACGAAGAGGACUUGGAUGGUCCUCACAAUGGUGACGAUCACAAUAACGACGACGACGAUGAUGACGACGAUGGCCAGCCUGAGGUGGCCAAAGAGCAGCGGAGGAAGGUCAUACAAGACAAACCAUCAGGUAAAUAAUAGUACAUCCAUUCCUAACCUUUUACCAUUUCUAACAUUGUCCAUGUAGGUCGCAGAGCAAAUGGUAAGUAGAGAUUAUUCAGUUGAAUUUACAAACUCUAGCCUUUAGUGUCGAGGAAGGAUAGUGCCAAGCAAGGGUCGAAACGUAUGUCCAAUCCUUCAGAAUCAGCAGUGCGCCCAAGUGAUAUCGGUCCUAGUUCCUCAAUAGCAGUUGAUGGUAAAUACAAUAUAGUCGAUUCAAUGUGCUAAUGAGUUUGUUUUUAGUAGCACGGGAGGAUACCAUCUCAAUCGAAGGGAGAUAUUUGGACAUGCAUAUGGAUCCGCCAGUGGACUCUACUUGGCUGCAAGAGUCAUCAGAGCUGGUGGAGGCUACUAUCCAUAUCAACGCCAAGCAAGCUGACCACGCUCCACUUGAUGCUGCCCAUACCAUUGAGUCAAUCUUGUCCACGUAUCCAACUGACGGUGACCAGGCGCCAUUGGACCUGCAUGAGGCCGCCCCAGCCGCCGAGCCGGUCGUAUCCUCAUUUCCAACGGACUCAACGUGUGCCCAAUCGUCUGACUACGCGCCGUUGGAACCUCCCUACACCGCCCCUGCUGCUUGUUCGGUCAUGUCCACUUUGCUAACGGAGGCACCAGCUGAAAUGGCGUGUGAUCACACGCCAUCGGAACCACCCCAUGCCACUGUUGAGCCAGUUGUACCAGAGUCUACAGCUGAAAUGGCAUGUGCCCACACGCCAUCGGAUGCGAUUGACCCCACAUUGCAGAGGAGAGUAUUUCCGCCCUUCACGUUUCCUCGACCAAAACCCUCUCAACGACUAUCGGGAGCAUCAUUCGCUAAUAUUGUAGAUGGUAAAAUUGACUUGUACCAUUUUUUAUGCUGACGCUUUUUCAUUUCAGAGUCACGGCGAAGGUACUGUAUCAUUUUUGAUUUGAACGGUGUCUUUUUCUCCCAUGAGCGUGGCUCGUCCUCGAAUGUCAUUGCACCCUCCAAAGCCUGCGGUUGCAAGUUGGUCAAAAGAGACAGAUUCACAUUAAUCACACGGGAGAAACUACAGGAUCUAAUAAUGACCAUGCGACACUUAAAACAGAGGGCCGGGUUCAAUUUGCAAUUGGGAGUUUGGACAUCCAUGAUGCGCCACAAUGCAUUAACGUUGCUACAGAUGAUGCACGAUCAGAUGCGAGUAAUAUUACCAUUUGACUUUCUCCUAACGCAGGAGGAUUGCUUGACUAUGGUCCAUGUGAGGGGUAGCAAGCCCAUCUUCGUCAAGCCAGAGGCUGUAGUGAUGAACCGGACUGCUAGGUCAAGUGAAAUCCUCAUCAUCGAUGACUCGCCGAUUAAAACUGCAGCGAACACGCACACAUAUGCAGUGCACCCCAUCUCUUGCAGUAUGGAAACUAGGGAAAUAAAACCGUAUGUUCUGGGGGACCUUGCAAAACGGCUUGGAGCGAUGGUGAUAGAGAACCGGCCAGUCCAGGAGGUGGCUGCAGAAAUCAACCAAAUGGCAGAUGGAACGGUAUAUCAGAAGCCAUUUGAUCGGACAGACACCAGUCAUCAUUUAUGGCAUGUAUAUUGUCUAGCCAAGCACUAUCCGCAUCUCCAUAAUCUGCUCAACCGGAUGGGUUCUUCGACUACUGAACAUGAGCGUGGACGUAUUAGAGAAGAGAUGGCAUUACUAUUGGGUUUAAAUCCUGAUAGUGUGGAGAGUGAUGAAAUUCCAAGAUUAUUGUAUAGGCGUUGAAGGCAAAAAAUAACAGUCUGAGAUGGCAUGUAUUUAUUUAAAAAUGUAACUUAUUAUGGCAUGGGGUUCCAUGCCAUUGUAUUAAUAUUAAAAGACAAUUCUUUGAGAGGAUUUGCAUUAUACUAGAAGUGUUAUAGCAUGUUAUUGGAAGUCUACAAAGUUGUUUUAUUAAUAAGGGGAAAGUAAAGAUUGAAUGGGGACUUGGGCUCCACCUAGACUCGGAGCAACUGAGCCAAUAUUAAAAGGAUGGAAAGAAAUUGGACGAUGAUGACAAGGAGAAGAGAGAGGUGAAGUAGUGGCAGGGGGAGGAGAAGUGAUUGAGUAGACAUUUCCUUGUUUAAAAUAAAAUGGCAUGUGCCUCAAUGCAGUUGAAUUUUGUUAUAUUUAUAUACUAUAUAAAGGUUUGGAAACCUUAUUUUACAAGUGGGAUAAUGACAAUUCCCACUUUAACGAAAUAGAGCUUAGUGGAGAAGGAAGAGGAGCUUGAGAAAGGGCAUCAGCAUCAGCCAUAGAACUCCCUGGGCGAUGAACAACAUCAAAAUCAUAUAUCUGAAGCUUCAAAGCCCAUCGAGCCGUACGACCAACUAGGUUCUUCCGCUUCAAUAAUGAAAUAACAACAGCAUGGUCACCUUCAAGUAACGUCUGAGAACCAUGUAGAUAGGCAUGAAGUUUCUCAAAACCCUAGACUGUUGCUAAACACUCCUUCUCCGUCGUGGAGUAGUUCAUCUCCGCUGAUUGUAAUGUACCGCUUAUGUAUGCAAUGGGAUGGCGCUGACCCGGCACACUCGAGCUCUCUUGCAUCAACACACCUCCAAGACCAAUGUCAGAAGCAUCCACGGGCAAAAUAAAAGGUCAAGUGUAGUCAGGAUAUGCCAAAACCGGAGGAGUCGUCAAUAGUUUUUUGAGAUCCACAAAUGCUCGCUCACAAUCCGGAGAAUAGAUGAAAGAUGAUGUUGAUGACUUCAGCAACGCUCGCAAUGGUGUAGUGCGAUCGGAAAGAUGAUCCACAAAACGACCGAGAUACUGCACCUUACCCAAAAAGAGCUGCACAUCAUUCACACACUUUGGUGUAGGGAACUUUAGAAUAGCCACAAGUUUGUCAGGAUCAACUUGCAAACCCUCACGAGAAAUACGGUACCCAAGAUAAGUUGUGUCCUUGGACCCAAACACGCACUUUGACCCUUUCAGUUUUAAACCAACGUCGCAUAGCCGAUCCAACACUUUACAAACAUCAUGAAAGUGCUCCUCCCACGUCCCCUCCGAGUGGAUCAAGACAUCAUCAAUGAAGUGAGAAGUCACCUCCGGCAUAUCGCAAAGAACCUCAUCCAUCAUCCGCUGGAAAGUUGCUGGAGCAUUGUUUAAACCAAACGGCAUCACCAAGAACUCGUACAAACCAAAUGGUGUACGAAAAGUAGUCUUAGGAAUAUCUUCUUCGGCCAUCGGUACUUGCCAAUACCCAGAAGCAAGAUCUAGCUUGGUGAACCAACGACUUCGCCCCAGACGAUCCAAAAGAUCAGCAGUGUGAGGAAGAGGAUACACAUCUGGGAUUGUCACUUCGUUUAACGGACAAUAGUCGAUGCAGAAACGAAUACUCCCAUCAGGCUUCGUCACAAGAUGAGGUUCACAUGCCCAAGGACUCCGCAACUUCCGAAUAACACCCUUCUCUAGCAUUUCCUUAACAUUUGCUCGUAAAAUCUUGAUCUCCUUAGGUGACCAACGAUGAACAGGAACCUUGAUUGGACGAGCAUCCCCAAUUGGAAUCGGAUGAUGUGUGGCAAUCUUGGCCCUAGACGAUAAGUCAAAUUCAAAGAGAUCAGAAUACUCCUUCAUGAGCCGGUCAACUGCUGCAACACAAAAAUCGUCGGAGGGAUCGGAAAAGGGAAAAGCAGAACAAGAUGGAAACACAAAAGGAAAGAGUGGGGGAACAAAAGUAACAGAAGCAGAGGUAGAAGUAGAGGGACGAAGAGGUAUGGAAGUGAGAGGAAUGGAUGAAACAUAAGGAAGUAUGAGACAAGGGGGAGCAAAGUCACACUUGGCAUGAUUGCACUGCAACCAAUCCAUACCAAGAAUGAGGUCAAAAGCUUGACUCGGCACCACCCACAACGGCUGCAACUCAAGUUUGAGAUCGCCCACACACACAACCAGGUCCACCUCAUCCCGUGCACAUGCAUGUGUACAGCCGUUGCCAUAAAGAAUGAAAACUGGUUCCGCCGCACGGCGCAAGUGUAAAUGACAACGUGUGGCAACAGGUCAAGCAAUAGAAGAUAAACUCGAACCUGUAUCAACCAACACGGAGAGAAUAAUAGGAGACCUCUUGUUAUAAAAACGAGCUUGGAAAGUACACACUAGAUGAACCGGUGCCGAGUGAACCCCUUGAUGAUACUCCCGAAAGAAAGAUGGAGGGGUCCCUAACUUAUUCGUGCAAGGUCCCUCCGUUACUCACGCGACUCCUCGUUUCCCAGAUGCAUCUCGGUGUCCAGACCUUCCACUGCAGCAACACCCAUGGGACGUUGCUGACGCCAAGGUCUCCACCAAGGAAAUGGAGGUCGCCAAUCCGGAAAAUGACGGCAACGCCGAUAAGUAUGACCAACUUCAUCACAUGCCCAGCAGCAAACAUCACGGCCACGACCAUGUCCUCGCACUUUUCCUUGGACUCAAGCAGCAGCAGCAUCAACCUCCAUUGGAACAGGACCAUCACCCAUAGGAAAUGGAGCAGAAGGACGUGCAGCGAGAAGUGGAAGAGGUGACGUCUCAUAACAUUGUGCCAAGCGAAGAGCAUCGUCAAGGGUGGCAGGAGCAAGUGCAUGCACAAGGCCGACAAGAUCUUGAUGAAGUGCUGGCCACAACAUUCCUAGCUUGAUCCGCUCCGACAUAUUUGGCUCCGCACGAAGCAAAAAACUUUGGAAACGAACGCCAAAUUGCAUCACCAACUCAGAUGGCCCUUGGUGAAGAUGAUGCAAUUGUUGGAAAGCAUCAUCACAAUCAUCGGCAUGUCCAAAGGCGCGUUUGAAGACGUACGGGAGAACACUCCAAUCCCCACGAGUGGCUGUGCUCAAACCAUUGUACCACUGCAAUGCCGUCCCUUGGAGACACGUGGGAAACUCAUGCAACCGUCGAGCAUUAUCCCAAGAAUGAUAUGUGGCAAUCACCGUGAAGUGAUUAAACCAAUGGUACACAUCAUCCCCAGGAUUCCCCCGAAAGAACUCCGGCCGAACGCGAGGAUUGGCACCAAGAGCAGGAGGAGUUGGACCACGUGUUGUGAAUGCCGCCAUCAAUUGAGUUUGGUUGUUCAAUUGCAAGUGCAUAGCAUCAAGCAAUUGGACCAACUGCUGCUCGAGAGUCAAAGGAGGAGAUUGCUAAUCUGCCAUGGAGACGAAUGAAAAAGAAAGAGCAAAAGAAGAGAAAUGACAAAAAGCUAGAAGGAAAUGGUAGAUCUAGACAAUGCAAAAAGCUAGAUCUAAACCAAAAUCCUGAAAGGAAAGAACAAAAAGAAGGAAAUGGAAAAAGCUAGAUCUAGACAAUGCAAAAGUUAGAUCUAAACCAAAAUCCCAAAUCUAAGCACUCCUCAAGGACAAUCAAAGGUGCCCCUCAACUCCACCAAUGUGAGUGUUUGGAAUAUGGAAAGGGAAUACAGAAAUGUGCAUAUUAAUUAGCCCAAAAACCCUAGCUUAUAUAUAGGAGCGAGUGGUCCAGAUUGAAACCAAUCCGACAGCUACCAAAAUCCCACUAUGCUAAUAUUAGUAUACGGCAUCAUAACCGUACACUUGGCCCUCACAGCACGAAAAAAAAAGGCAAAUUUAGACUUAAGUAAUUUUCAAAAACCCCAACCAAAUCUAAAGUGUUGGGGUCAUUUUAAAAAUUAUUCCGGAAAUAUUCGAGAAGAUUCUUAGGUAAGGCUUUGGCGUGCCUGCGAAGAUCUGAUCUCGCGGCAUGGCCCGAGAAUUAAAACAUGGCAGCAGCCGCGGAGAUUUAUGAGGAGAGGCCUGAGGAGGUGGAGGAAGCAGGUAAUCCGAUUUUAGGGUUCGAAGAGGAAAUAGAGCUCUGGGAAAUGGGGCCGAUUGAGAUGGAUCUGGGCCUCCUCGUGCUCUAUCUUCACCAACAGGAGGAGGAAGAGGUGCCCAUGCGGGGUGGCCGGGGUUGGCCGCGGAUCUCUGAAUUUGGCCCCGGGAGGAUUAGGCCAUGGUUCCGAGGCGGCUCGAGGAGGGGGUGCCCCAGGAGGAGGAGGCCAUGGUUCUACUCUAGGAGGAGGAUGCUGCGGUUCUUCUCUGGGAGGAUGAGGCCAUGGAUCAUCGCCAGGAGGAGGCCAAGCCUCGGUGAUAGGAGCCAAAGCCACAGCGGGAGGAGUCCAAGCCACGCCCAGAGGAGCCCAAGCCACGUCUGGAGGAGUUCCCCUGGAGCACAGCGUGCCGGGAGCUCCAACUGCUUUGAGAACCAGAGAUGGCGGUGAGUUUACAUUUCUUAGGUUGCAUGCAUGCAUGAGUGAUUGAGAGCUCCCGGCAGGGUCAUAAAGAAGAGGGAGAUGACAGUGUCCCCGAUCUGGAACAAGACCUAGAUGCUCACAUGGAGGAGCUCGACCACGAGGCUGUCCAGUUUGUGGAUACCUCGGGUUUUGCUGCACCUGCUGCUGCGAAGAGAACCCAGGGAAAGAACUGGAACCAUGCUGAGACCAUGGUCCUGAUUGAUCUAGUUCAGGAAAAACAUCUCGCGAAGAUUGCGGGGGAGGGAGGAGCAGCCAGCAUGUUCUCAUUACGAAGACACAGCGCUGGAAUCUCAUCUUUCACCGUUUUGCUUUAGGGUUUAAAUGCACAUUGCGGAUGACAAGAGCCCCGCUGCCAGAUGAAGAAGACCGUGAAUUUGAGGUUUGUUGGUGUUAGGCGCCAGCUUUGACCACUUGGUCAACAUUAGUCAAAGGGAGGCUCAAGGGUAUAUUAAGGCAUGUUAGGGUAAGGGAUUUAACCUACCCUAGGGCUCAUAGUGGAGUUUUUGAUGUAGUUCAGGGGUGGUUGGGUGGUGAAGAACCUCAAGAGGUGGUGUAGCAUAGUCUAUGGCGACUAGAUCUCUGUCUUUUUGCGCCGGAUCAUAACAUUAGUAUUAAAGGAGUUGGUUGUGAUGGGUGACCAAGUUGAACGCUAGAAUCCUAUUGCCAAUGGUGGUGCCGACGAUGGUGCCGAUGAAGCUGCAGAGAUUUGAACCAUUCAAGAUGUGGUUCGUGAGCUGCGAGCCCUUAUGGCCAAUCUUCUUCUCACGGUAAGUCAGAUACUAAAAAGUUGCGCGAGGAUGACGAAAACGACCAUUCCGGUCAGACUUUCAAUCAUUGCUCGUCAGCUUAACUGUGUGUGGAACAAGAUGGAGCUUAAGGAUACGCAUGAAUCAACUUUAAUGCUAGAGGGCAUGUUCCAUAGUGAUUUAAUGCAGAUUUUACUGGAUAGUGGGAGCGAUGACAACUUUGUUUCGGCAAAGUUUGUUGUGGAGCAUGGCCUGGUUGAACGCGGAGUUCUUCCAUACACAGUGGAAGGUGCAGCUACCUCUGCUCAGCAUUUCGAUGCUUGUGUCGAGGGGCUGGAAGUGUUGGCUGGCAAAACCACACUUGUGGAGACUUUUUAUCUCGCGGAUAUCCAUUGUGUGGAUCUCAUUCUUGGGAUGCCAAGGUUGGUGAAAGUGGAUCCAAAGAUAAAGUGGAGUAUUAAGCGUAUUUCACUGAAGUAUGGUGGCAUUAAAGAUGUGUGGUUUGGCGAGGGCGUUCAGCCACCAGUUGUUAUGCUCUCUACUACAUCUUUGAAGCGGGCUUAUCGUAAUGGAAAAGCACUUUUGAGUUACUUGUUGUUUGUUCGUGAUUUGAGGGACUAAGGCACAUGUGGGGGAGAAGCAGCAGUACGGGAUGUACUUGACGAGUUUUCUGAUGUUUUUCCAUUUGAACUUCCUCAUAGAUUGCCUCCGUUAUGAGGUGUGGAGCAUGGGAUUACAUUGGAGCCGGGGACGCGGCCAAUUUAUUGGCAUCCAUUUGGGUUAAGUUAUGCGGAGGAGCAAGAAGUUCAAUGACAAAUCAAGGAGUUACUUGAGUUUGGAUUUAUUCAGCUAAGUAAGUUUCCGUUUGGUGCUCCGGUCUUGCUUGUGAAGAAGAAGGAUGGUUCAAUGCGAAUGUGUAUUGACUACCACGCUUUGAACAAAAAGACAAUGAAGGAUAAGAUGCCGAUGCCACGUGUGGAUGAUAUCCUAGACAAGCUUGAUGAAGCACGAGUGUUUACCAAGAUUGGUCUGAGGAGUGGAUAUCAUCAGAUUGCAAUGGAUGAUGCAUUUAUCUCCAAGACGGCAUUCAACACAAGCUUCGGACAUUUUGAGUUUACAGUUAUGCUGUUUGGUUUUACGAAUGCACUAGCCACAUUUACUCGGUUGAUGACAGAGGUAUUUGGGCGUUAUCUUCAUGAGUUUGUGGAGAUUUUCCUGGACGAUAUUCUUGUUUUUAGCAAGAAUAUGGAGGAGUAUAAGGUGCAUUUGCGCAAAGUUCUUUUGUUACUCCGAGACAGCAAACUUUAUGUGAAGAAGAGCAAAUGUGAAUUUGCAAAGUUGGAGUUGGAAUAUCUAAGCCAUAUUGAAACUGGCCUACACCGAUAAUAGUGGCCGAGUUAUGCAGUUUUCUUGGUAUGGCUAGUUACUACCGAUGUUUCCAGCAUAAGUUUGCAGAAGUGGCUAUUCCUUUGACACGGUUGUUACGCAAGAAUGUGCCAUUCGAGUGGAAGAAGCCACAAGAGGAGAGUUUUGUGGAGCUGAAACGAUUGUUGAGUGAGACUCCAGUGCUUCGCAUUGUCAAGACCCCUGACAAGAUCAAGACUGGAAAAUGCAAAAAGACAAAGAGAAAAGCUAGUGGAAACAAAGAAGAGGCCUUAGACUGGCGUUGAUUCAAAUUGUGGAGAAAUGGAACAAGGCUAACCUAUAUAUACUAUAGGUUGAUGAAGCUCCACCACUCUUGGAUCGAGGACGGCCUAAAUAUAGCUGAGGUCAAGGAGGCGCCACAUCAUCAUUAGGAAUGUGGCUCGAGACUCAGGAAUCGGGAAGUGUCUUGAGAGUCAGGAAUAGGGAAGUGUCUUGAGAGUCAGAAAUGUGGUUUGCAGGUCAGGAAUCCGGCGAGAGUCAAGAAUGUGGCAAGAAUUGGAGGAUUCCUGACAGCACCCCCUCCUCAAGAACGAGUGGAACAAGGAUGUGAACGAGAACGAAGAGGAGGAUGAGAUGAGCGGCGAGGGAUGGGAGAUGGAGGAAAAGAAUGAGGACUGGGACGAGAAGGAUAGCGGCGGUGGAAGUCCUGAACAAGGUCAGGAGAAUGAAUCAGGUUGUCCGCAGGUUCCCAAGUGCGUUCCUCAGGUCCGUAACCCUUCCACUCCACCAGAUAGUAGAGUUUAGACCGUGAAAUCUUGGAAUCAAGGAUGUCCUGAACCUCGUACUCAGACCCAUCCUCGAGCUGCACUAGUGGAGGCGGAGGAAUGACCCGAUUUGGAAUAGGAUUGGGAAUAUAAGGCUCAAGGAGAGAGGAGUGAAAAAUGGGGUGAAUUUGAUAUGAGGAGGGAAGUGCAAGGCGAUAAGUGAUAGGAUUAAUGAUGGCAGUGAUAGGGAAAGGACCAAGGCGUUUGAAAUCGAGUUUUGGACAGGGCCUGGUGGUGGAGAUAUUUCGCCUGAGGAGCCAGACUUUAUCCCCGAUAUUGUAAGGGGGACAAUCCUGAUGAUGGACAUUGGCAAAUGUUUUGUGAGAUUCCUAAGCACGAUGGAGGUGGAAGGAGAUGGAGUUGUGGAUUUCCUGGAGGUUGGAGAUAAAUGCCUCAGAGCGGGGAUUUGAACGAGAGAAUUCAGAUGGAGAAGGAAGUGAGAGAUUGAAUCAAGGAUUUCGGCCAGAGUUUGCAAAGAAGGGGGAAACUCGAAGAGAGGAGUGAACAGAGUUGUUAUAGGAGAACUCAGCAAGAGGAAGGAUAUCGAACCAAUUAUCCUGAUGAUAGUUGAUGAAGCACCUCAAGAAUUGUUCCAACGUCUGAAUCAUUCGCUCGGACUACCCAUCAGUUUGAGGAUGAUAUGCCGAAGAGAGGUUGGCCUUCACUCCAAGCAGCUGCAAAAACCGUUGCCAGAAAUGAGAGAUGAACUGAGGCCCCCGAUCUGAAACCACAUCUGUAGGAAUCCCAUGAAGUCGGAAAAUUUCCCUGAAUACCAGUUUUACCAUGUCCUCGCCCAAAAACUCCUUGGUACAUGGCAAGAAGUGCGCCAUCUUUGUGAAGUGAUCCACCACGACUAAAAUGCUAUUGAAGCCUCCAGAACUCGGAAGAUCACUCAAGAAAUCCAUGGAGAUGGAUUCCCAAGGACCUGAAGGGACCGGAAGGGAACGAAGCAAACCUGAAGGAAGGUGGCGAGGUACCUUAUUCCGGGCACAAGUGUCACAGGAGGUAACAAAAGCUUUGAUGUAGUCGUCCAUGUGAGGCCACCAAAAGUCCCGUGCAACUAGCUCAUAGGUUUUCGCAAUGCCGAAGUGACCAGCAGUUGGGCUAUCGUGGCACGCCAUCAGGACCAACCUUUGAGCAUCACCUUCAGGAACGUAAAGCUGCUCCCCAUGGUACAAUAAACCAUCUAAGAACUCGAACUCAUCAAAUCACCGGCAGUCGGGAGUCACUGGGUGUCCAGCUUGAAGAUGGGGGAAAAUGUUGCUGGCAAGGUUGUCAAAUUGAAGAUCGCUUCUAAUCAUGUCCAUCAAGGAGGAGUCUUGAGGGGCCAGGGAAAUUGCCAUAACUUGAAGCCGAUCAGGACCGAGGAUAACUUGAUCCUGUUGAUCGAAGGCAGGAUUACCAGGCCUGAGACUGAGAUAGGAGCGCCUUGAAAGAGCAUCAGAAAGGCCUUGAAACUUUCCAGGUCUGUACUUGAUAACAAAGUCAAACCGAGUUAGGAAUUGUGCCCACCUUGCUUGACGACGGCUUAAAACUCGGGAAGUGGCAAAGUACUUGAGAUUUUUGUGAUCCGUCCAAACUGUUGUUUGAUGGCUCGCCCCCUCCAAGAAACGGCACCACUCUCCAAAGGAAUCCACGAUGGCAAGGAGCUCCUUGUCGUGGAUUUCGUAAUUGAUCUCCGCAGGCUGGAAUUUCUGAGAAUGGAAAGCGACCGGAUGAAGUUCGUGAUCUGCUCCGAGUUGAGACAGCACAGCACCAAUGGCAAAGUCGGAGGCAUCAGCCUCAAUGAAGAAAGGUUGUGAGGAAUCAGCAUGGAUCAAGACAGGAGCAGAACUGAAGGCCGCCUUGAGUGUGUCGAAGGCCUGCUGGGCAGCAGCAGACCAAGAGAAGGGAACAUCCUUGCGAGUGAGAUGUGUGACAGGAGGGACAAUGUCAGAGUAGUGAUCAAUGAAUUUGCGGUAGAAGUUGGCGAAGCCAAGGAAAACCUGAACGUCCGACAUUGAUUGUGGAGGCUCCCAUUCAAGAAUAGUCUUGACUUUGGCAGGAUCCAUCGUGAUACCCUCAGGAGUGACAAUGUACCCAAGGAACUCCACAGACUGCUAAUCAAAGGAACAUUUCUCAAGCUUCGCCUAUAGGCCGUGUUCUCGCAGCUUCGCUAGCACCUUGCGUACAUGUUCGUCAUGCUCCUCCUGAGUUUUUGAGUAGAUGAGGAUGUCAUCGAGGUAGAUGAUCACCAUCUGAUCAAGAAACUCCCAAAAGACGUCGUUCGCCAUGUGUUGGAAAACUGCUGGAGCAUUUGUCAAGCCAAAUGGCAUGACAGUGUACUCGAAGUGGCCAUAGCAGGUUCGGAACGCAGUCUUCCAUUCAUCACCAGGCUGGAUCCAGAUCAGGUUGUAUGCUCCACGGAGGUCGAUCUUGGUGAAGAAGCGGGCACCGCCGAGACGUUCCAACAGGUCCGAGAUCAGGGGCAGCGGAUAACGGUUCCGAACAGUCACCUUGUUCAAACCUCGGUACUCUGAUGACUAGCCGCAAGCUCCCAUCCUUCUUCUUGACAAAGAAGACAGGCGCUCCAGCCGGGGACUGCGAAUGCUGAAUGUAGCCCGAGGCAAGGUUCUCAUCCACGUACUCUUUGAGGGCCUUAAGCUCGGAUGGGGAUAACCCGUAGAUAGGCCCCCAUGGAGGUGACGCUCCUUCCUGUAAAUCAAUGGGACAAUCAUAAGGCCGAUGAACAAGCAGUACACUAGCUUUUUUCUUGUCAAACACAUCCCCAAAAUCAUGAUACUUCUCAGGAAGACUGACAGGAAAAACAUGCAAAGCAAAAAGAAAAAGAGGUUCUUCAUGAAGGAGUUCUUUCAUAGUGAUUGUGGAGAUAGGAGGAGGCGUACGACUAAAUGGAAUGAUGAGACAAGGAUACGGUCCAGUGUAAGAUGGAAGAGAGGAAAAAGAAGAGGGUGAAAACUUUAUAGAGUCAGGAACAGAACCCCGAUUUGAGUUUAGGGAACUUUUCCUGAUUCGGACUCGAUGAAAAGUAGGGGAAGCCGUGGGAGAGAUGAGCUGUAAUUCCUUCCAACAGAUUUGAGGCUGAUGUAGUUGGAACCAAGGAAGACUGAGCACCACAGAGGAGGACUUGCUGUUGAUGAUGUUGAAGGCGAUAUCGGUGACAGUGGACCCGAUGUGUACUUGAAUAGGCAACGUUUCCCUAAGUCCAGAAGAUGGAGACACAAAAUGCCCGCUGAUGCCUUCAACCCUCAAAUCCCGUAUGGUAGGAGAAAGAGGAACGUGAUGUUGGGCAGCAAAGUCCGUGUCCAUGAAGCAGGAAGUUGCACCCGAGUCCAGUAACGCCAGAGCCUUGAGUCCUGAUUGUCCGGUGAAAGAAAGGAGACAUGGGAUGCGGAAGUUGCAGGAAUUGGUGGUGGCUUUGAUGAAAGGUGGUGAGGAGCUUGAUAAAGAAGAAAAGUGAUUUUUAUUCGGGGAGUCCAAACAGACAGCUCCUACUCUGUUUGGACAGGGUCGUUUCCCGACUGCAAUAGAGGUGGACUUUGAGGCAAAGUGAACUCGAGCAGUUGAGGAGGCUUCUUGGGACAUACAGCUGCUUUGUGAUUAGGAUCAGCACAAUAGAGGCAAAGAUUAUGAGAUAUUCGACGUUGCUUCUCAGCAGGACUCAACUUCCCUCUAAUGAGUCGGGGAGUACCAGAAAUAUCCAUUGGAACCGGAGCAGUAGGUUCAGGAGUAUGCCCCGAAGACUCAAGCUGGGAUUUCUGAGUCUGGGACGGAAAAACAGUGGCACGGGGACUUUCCUGACGACGUUCAAAGAGACGAUUGUCACAUCGAAUAGCUUUGUUGAUGGCAUCCGACAGGUCCUUGGGAUCCUCCAUGGUGAGCAACAAAUCCUUGACACCGUUGUUGAGGCCGAAACGAAAUUGGUCAAUUAGGGCCCGCUCAUCCCACUGAGUUUCCAAAGCAAGGAGUUGGAACUCUGCAGCGUAGAUCGAGGCAAGACAAGACCCCUGAGAGAGACGUCUCAUCUUUGUGAUAGCAGCCCGAACCCGAUCCGUCUCGCCAAAACAUGCUUCGAGCUUCUCUUUGAACAAUUGAAGAUCCAUCAGUUCUGGAACCACGACCCCUUUCAUGCUCUUCUCCAAAAGAGGAGAAAACCAUGACAAAGCUGCACCUUCGAGCAACGUCCUAAUCGCGCCGAUUUGAGACUCGGGAGUAGGGUACCGCCGAUGUUGAAGUGCGAAGAUCAACUCCAUCUCGUUCAGGAAUCCACGAAGCUUCGAAUGCUUGCCUGAAAAUUUCGCCGGGAAGCUCACCUUCGGUUCAGGAACUUUGCUGGAUCCUUGAGCCGAAAGUGAAGCAAGUUCCUGCUGCAUGCGAAGAAGGGUCGCCUUCAGCUCGGUAUUCUCAGACUGGAUUUUUGCAAGGACUUCAGCAAAGAAAUCAGGAUGGCUUGGAGACUCCAUUGGCAAGAAGAAAGAAAAAAGGGGAAAAAAAAAGGCAAAGGUAAUCAAACAAUCAAAACGAGCUAAAUCAAAAAACGAAAAAGCACAAUCUGAAUCAAACUGUUAAGACUCCUGACAAGAUCAAGACUGGAAAAUGCAAAAAGACAAAGAGAAAAGCUAGUGGAAACAAAGAAGAGGCCUUAGAUUGGUGUUGAUUCAGAUUGUGGAGAAAUGGAACAAGGCUAACCUAUAUAUACUAUAGGUUGAUGAAGCUCCACCACUCUUGGAUCGAGGACGGCCUAAAUAUAGCUGAGGUCGAGGAGGCGCCACAUCAUCAUCAGGAAUGUGGCUCGAGACUCAGGAAUCGGGAAGUGUCUCGAGAGUCAGGAAUAGGGAAGUGUCUCAAGAGUCAGGAAUAGGGAAGUGUCUCGAGAGUCAGGAAUGUGGUUUGCAGGUCAGGAAUCCGGCGAGAGUCAAGAAUGUGGCAAGAAUUGGGGGAUUCCUGACACGCAUUGCUGAUCCAUUGAAACUUUAUGAGGUGACAUGCGAUGCGAGUGGUUAUGCACUGGGAGGAGUUCUCAUGCAAGAGGGACAGCCUAUUGCAUAUGAGAGUCGAACUUUGAAUUCUGCGGAGCAACGCUAUUCCACAAAUGAGCAAGAGUUACUCUCUAUUGUUCAUGCUUUGCAGACGUGGUGGCACUACCUUUAUGGUGCAGUGUUCGUAGUGUUGAGAGAUCACAAACCAUUUGUGUAUCUUUUCACACAGAAGGAGUUGAACACUAGGCAAGCUCAUUGGAUGGUCAAACUCAUGGAGUUUGGGGAGUUUCCUAUUGAGCAUCAUCUAGGAAAAUCAAAUGUGGUGGCAGAUGUUUUAUCUCGUGUUCAUCAUGUGGUGACGUUACAAACACGAUUUUGUCAUCAUUUGAGUAAGGUGGUCAUUGAGUUUGGGCAGUUGGUUGAGCAUGCUUAGGCUUAGGAUGCUGAGGUGGCCUCUUUGCGAGACCAGAUGGAAGCUCUUUUCUCAUUGGUGGAUGGGAUUCUCUACUACAAUGGCCGUGUAUAUUUGCCACAGGUGGAUGCGUUAAUUACUCAAGUUUUAUUCCACUAUUAUGAUCGUCCAGAUGCCAGUCAUUUUGGGGGGAAGAAGACGUAUGAGUUGAUUAAGUGCAACUUUUAUUGGACGAAUAUGAAGGUUGAUAUCCUCAAGUAUUGUAAAUAAUGCGAGCUUUGUCAGCGGGUUAAGGUGCCAGGGGAGAAGCUAGGGGGACUUUUGCAACCUUUACUUAUUCCUCAGAGCCAUUGGUGUAGUAUCUCUAUGGACUUCAUCACUUGAUUGCCACAAACACAAAGGCAAAAGGAUCAAGUAUGGGUCAUAGUGGAUUGGUUGACGAAGUAUGUGUGGUUGUUGGCUCUUCAGAAGAUUGUCACUGCCUCAAACCUGGUUGCAGUUUACUUAGAGAAGGUUUUUCCUGAUUUUGGUUUGCUAGAGGACAUCAUUAGUGAUUGAGAUUCAAAGUUCAGCAGUGGAUUUUGGAAAAGCUUUGCAAAGGCUAUACAAGUGACUUUGAAACUCUCAAGUGGAGAUCAUCCUUAGAUAGAUGGGCAAACCGAGCGUGUGAAUUAGGUGGUAGAGGAUAUGUUACAUUGUAGCAUUGGUCAAAGGCAAGGACAGUGGGAUUUAUAUCUUCCGUUGGUGCAAUUUGCUUACAACAAUAAUCAACAUAGUGGAACCAAGCUAAAGUCCUUACUUUGCCAUAUUUGGAAGGCAUCCUCGAAUAGCGGUGGAGUUGGGAUUGUAUUUGAGUAAGGACGUUCAAGAUAAGCUUGAUUCCGAGGCGACUAAUCUGGCCACAGAACUUGAUGAGAUUUUAGUGGUGUGCAAACGGAAUUUGCAAGUAGCUUGGGAUAGAGCAGAGAAGUUUGCCAAUGAGCAUCGCCAAUUCCGGGAAUAUAAGAUGGGUGAUCUCGUCUUUGUGCGUGUGAUCUUUCCGUCAAGUGAGCAGCGGAAAAUAUUGGUGCCUUUACUGACAGGGAAGAGUGAUAAACUUUCCUAUCGAUAUGCUAGUCCAUAUGAAGUGCUGGAGUGCAUUGGUAAAGCGGCUUAUCAGGUACGGCUGCCAGCUGGGGUGAAAAUUCAUCUGGUGUUUUAUGUUAGCCAGUUGAAAGGUGUACUAUCUCGGAGUGACGGGCCCAAUGCCUCCCUGAUGUAUACGGCUAUGGAAGAUGAACCAAGAGCUUGAGCAAGGUUCCCCAAAAAGGGUGAUCACCAGUACAACUCGUCCUUGGGAUAAGGACUUUGUUGGGGGCGAAGAAUUGUUAGGCACCAGCUUUGACCACGUGGUCAACGUCAGAGGGAGGCUCAAGGGUAUAUUAAGGCAUGUUAGGGUAAGGGACUUAACCUACCCUAGGGCUCACAGUGGAGCGGUGGUGCAGUGGAGCUUUUGAGAUAGCUCGGGGGUGGUUGGGUGGUGAGGAACCUCAAGAGGUGGCAUAGCAUAAUUUAGGUGACUAGAUCUCUGUCUUUUUGCGCCAGAUCAUAACAAUCGGGCUGUGAUUGGGAGGAGGUUUUGCAUCGGCCUGUGGUGGGUGAAGCCUCGAAUGUCACCACCUGGAGUAAGUUUUCUUAGGAGUAUUAGGUGGAAGAGGAAACUUCAGAUGGAGAAGAGGACCUUCUUCACCAUUUGUGGCAUGCUGGAGAGCAAGAUCCGGAAGCAAAAUACCUGUUGGAGGAGUGUGGUGCCGGUGGAUGUUCAACUGGGGGUAACUUUGUACAAGCUUUUCAAGAACACAGAUUACUUGGAUCUGGUGGACAAGUUUGGCAUCGGGGAGUCCACAGCUCAUGAGAUUGUCAUGGACACUACUGUGGCGAUUGUCAAGUGUCUCAGGUACAAGAUUCAUUUUCCUUCAACUGCCAAGGAGGUUCAAGCUGUUACUGCUGGCUUUCGA
rnacentral:lncRNA from 1 species